rnacentral:lncRNA from 1 species
UAGAUUGGAGAAUCUACGGCGAAUUGCGCUUGUACUUUUGUAGCCUGUCCAUGGUCUGGAAUUUUUGUCUUUUUCGUCUACUCGCGAGAUGGUAUACGAGUCUGUAAUAUUAGUUUUGUAGUGCGUGAGGUAAAAUGAAAUGUAUUGCACACUGUAUUCGUUUUUUGAAUAAGAAAUAAAUUAUGAUCUAGAUGUCAUGCUGCUGCGAGUGGAGGAUCUUGGGCAUGCAAGCUAGUAGUAGUAUAGGAAAGGAGGCAGCAUUCCCUCGCACAUAACUGAAUGCUUGAAAGGUAAUACUGAGCCUAAAUGAAACAAUUCAGGUACGGAUCUUACUAGAAGCAUAUGCACGCUUUGCCCCGCCGUUUUUCAUUUACAUGGCAAAUAUACAAAGUUGUUUAUUUGCACAGUCAUGGUGAUCGAUAUGACAAAUAGUCCCGAUGUCUUAGUAAAAAAAAAUCAAUAGUAUUGUAUUAGUAAUAACCAUAAGAGGGCUAUUACCUUAUCUUGGUCCAUCCAUGUAAUAUCAAAGGAUGCAUGCAAACAAAGUAAUGCAAUCCUUAUACCACAAUCAUUUGUCUUUUAUAUGGCAAACUGUGAUAAACCACAAUCAUUUGUCUGUACCUCAUUACCAAACUAUUUACACAUGUCGAAGAAAGUAAAGCGAACUAACAGAGGAAUUUGGCAAGAAAAACAAUCUUUGGUAAGAGGUCACAAACUAAAUGAAAAGACUCAUGGCAAUUCAAGCAUGGGUUUCUUCAAUACGGGGAGAGCAAAUGGGUCUACAUGUUGUCUGUCUCGCAAGCUCUGCAUGUCGUCUGUGUCACAUAGUGACUUAUGUCCUGCUCAUUUACAUGAAUUAAACAAAUUAUAUCCAGCAAGCCAGGCCCUGCAAAACAGAGUCCCCUAAAAGACAGUACAUUCCAGAAAAACAUCAGAACAGCUAGAAAUUGAAGCAUGUUUAAUUUGUUGUCUUCUGAAAACUAUCAUUUUUUUUUGAAUUACAAAAGAACUCUAUUUGAAUAGUCAUGAUUAUAAGUUUGAGAACUGUCGAAAUACAAAAUGUACUACGACAUGAACAAAGCAUACGGCAAACUUAAAACAAAGAAAACCAAAUUCAGGUUAAGAGUUAUUUUAAUACAAAAAGACAUGCGUAUGAAACAAUGCAUUGUAUCUGGUAGAUCAUUCUAUUUAUUGGUCAUGGACAUCUUAAGUAUUGUCAAUGAAUGACCAAACUAUAACUGUUCUUUGCCUAUUUUUUAUGAUCAGUUGCAAUAUCUUCGACUUCGAGAACUCUAAACUAAAUAUUUUUUUUGUUCAUUACUGAUUCUACAAAACCGACAUGACAAGCUCCUAUUGCUGAUGAGAAAUUCAGUAACAUAACCAUUAUGUACACAAGCAAAACCAAGGCCUACAACUCUUUUUGCCUAGCUUAAACCCAAAUUUAAUCAUGGGCAAAUAACUUUGAAAUUGUGCCUUCACCUGACAGUUGAUGGAUAAAACUGAACUCCGACGGUGCUAUUCCGAAGCAGAAAGAAUCAGGUGUGGACUGUGGAGGAGGGGUGGUACUGCGCGACCACAACGGCGUCCUUCAGGCGGCGGCGACUUACUCCUACCUGGCGACGUCAAGCCCGGAAGUUGCUGAAAUCUUAGCUUGCCCAUCAGGUCUGCAGUUGGCUCAGGAGCUAAACAUACAAAAAGUUCACGUGGAGCUAGACUACAAGGGUGUAGUGUUGAUGUUGAAUUGUCAUGCAAAUGAUCAAGGAAAGGCUUUGGACAUUUCAGGAAUCAAAGGUGGACUGGGUAAAACGUUCAGCAAAUGAGGCUGCACGUAUAUUUGCUAGCUAGAGAGGGACUUUGUUUAGAUGGCUGAAUGAUUUGGGACAAUGGCCCCCCAGACUCUAUUGUGCGUAUUAUUGUCUCAGAGAUUUCUGAGAACUUUGUUUAAAUAAAGCACUAUUUUCCCUUAAAAAAAUAGAGGAAAGAGUACAAAAACUGAUUCAGCUGAAAUGGGAUUAUAUGUUUAACCAUCAUCACUAUUUACAUGUUUCUUUUGUAGUAAAACCAAACCAUCUAAGGAGCACAAUAGUACAAUAUAAGUAAAAGACAAUUCACCCCAUAUUUCAUCUGUACAGUCUGGCAACUGCCGCAUAUGCUCACAAGGCAUUAUGAACUUCACAGUUCCACAUUGGAGGUACACAUGACCUAGUUUGUUUGCCUAACUCAAUCUAAGCAAUGCCCAAGAGUAAAAUUUCGCAUUAUUAUAAGCGGCAAUGUCAGGAGGCUCCUCAGAAAAUAAUCCAAGUAAUAUGUAAACUGUCUCCGUGUCCCGUAGAGUCCUUGUAGCAUUCUACCAUUGCAACUAUCAACAAAACUAACUUAUCCUAAUGUCCCACUGAAGAUUGUGAAAUGGUAAAUGGUAUGACAACCCUAUUUUCUUAUUUCGAAGAAUUAGACCAUGGAUAAAUUCAGUGACACAUUAUUAUAGUGCCUGAUUUCAGAAGCUGCAUCUGUGAACUAACUAAAUGAACUAUCUCUUUCCACCACAACAUAGGCUAGAGUAAGGUACUACCUUUCAGAACAUGACAUAAAAAACAAUAGAUUUAUUGUGUGUUGUCAUCUAGGAGUUAUUGUUGGAAAUAUGCCCUAGAGGCAAUAAUAAAUGGUUAUUAUUAUAUUUCCUUGUUCAUGAUAAUUGUCUAUUGUUCAUGCUAUAAUUGUGUUAUCCGGAAAUCGUAAUACAUGUGUGAAUACAUAGACCACAACAUGUCCCUAGUGAGCCUCUAGUUGACUAGCUCGUUGAUCAACAGAUAGUCAUGGUUUCCUGACUAUGGACAUUGGAUGUCAUUGAUAACGGGAUCACAUCAUUAGGAGAAUGAUGUGAUGGACAAGACCCAAUCCUAAGCAUAGCACAAAAGAUCGUGUAGUUCGUUUGCUAGAGCUUUUCCAUUGUCAAGUAUCAUUUCCUUAGACCAUGAGAUCGUGCAACUCCCGGAUACCGUAGGAGUGCUUUGGGUGUACCAAACGUCACAACGUAACUGGGUGACUAUAAAGGUACACUACGGGUAUCUCCGAAAGUGUCUGUUGAGUUGGCACGGAUCGGGACUGGGAUUUGUCACUCCGUAUGACGGAGAGGUAUCUCUGGGCCCACUCGGUAAUGCAUCAUCAUAAUGAGCUCAAUGUGACUAAGGAGUUAGCCACGGGAUCAUGCAUUACGGUACGAGUAAAGUGACUUGCCGGUAACGAGAUUGAACAAGGUAUUGGGAUACCGACGAUCGAAUCUCGGGCAAGUAACGUACCGAUUGACAAAGGGAAUUGUAUACGGGAUUGAUUGAAUCCUCGACAUCGUGGUUCAUCCGAUGAGAUCAUCGUGGAACAUGUGGGAGCCAACAUGGGUAUCCAGAUCCCGCUGUUGGUUAUUGACCGGAGAGGCGUCUCGGUCAUGUCUGCAUGUCUCCCGAACCCGUAGGGUCUACACACUUAAGGUUCAGUGACGCUAGGGUUGUAGAGAUAUUAGUAUGCGGAAACCCGAAAGUUGUUCGGAGUCCCGGAUGAGAUCCCGGACGUCACGAGGAGUUCCGGAAUGGUCCGGAGGUGAAGAAUUAUAUAUAGGAAGUCCAGUUUCGGCCACCGGGAAAGUUUCGGGGGUUAUCGGUAUUGUACCGGGACCACCGGAAGGGUCCCGGGGGUCCACCGGGUGGGGCCACCUGUCCCGGAGGGCCCCAUGGGCUAAAGUGGGAGGGGAACCAGCCCCUAGUGGGCUGGGGCGCCCCCCUUGGCCCUCCCCCUGCGCCUAGGGUUGGAAACCCUAGGGGUGGGGGGCGCCCCACUUGGCUUGGGGGGGAAGCCACCCCCCUUGGCCGCCGCCCCCCCCUCAGAUGGGAUCUCCAGGGGGCCGGCGCCCCCCAGGGCCCCUAUAAAUAGUGGGGGGGGGAGGGAGGGCAGCAGGAGCACAGCCCCUGGCGCCUCCCUCUCCCCCUGCAACACCUCUCCCUCCCGCUUGCGGUUGGCGAAGCCCUGCCGGGAUCCCCACUACUUCCAUCACCACGCCGUCGUGCUGCUGGAUCUCCAUCAACCUCUCCUUCCCCCUUGCUGGAUUAAGAAGGAGGAGACGUCGCUGCUCCGUACGUGUGUUGAACGCGGAGGUGCCGUCCGUUCGGCACUCGGUCAUCGGUGAUUUGGAUCACGGCGAGUACGACUCCAUCAACCCUGUUCACUUGAACGCUUCCGCUCGCGAUCUACAAGGGUAUGUAGAUGCACUCCUUUCCCCUCGUUGCUAGUAUACUCCAUAGAUGGAUCUUGGUGAAGCGCAGAAAAUUUUAAAAUUCUGCUACGAUCCCCAACAGUUAUAACUAUCACUGGUGGGAAAUCAAACAGAGGGAUUGUUGAUGGACCAAAUGAUGGUGCAAAAGUUAGUACUGAUUUCGCAGUCGGUUGCUAGUAGAUGCUAUUUGGAGAUUCAACUCUACUUUCAUGAUUGUGUGUACCGGUAUAAAGCCAUUUUUCCUCUACUAUAAUUAUUACAUUAUCUGAAUAACUUUGACACAUACUAUUACUACCUGAGUUAGUUUAUUAAACUUUGAUACUGGAUGGGCAUGCCAUUGCACAUGGUCUCAGUUCGACUUUUUUAUUUAUAACAAAGGAACAUAUUGUGGUGCUGCAGUGCAAGUAAAUAUGUGCAUAAUGGAGUUUCUUGGCUCUUAAUUCAGUGUGUGAUCACUAACACCAAAUGACCAAUUUGGUGUUGUGGGAGGCACUAUCUCUCCCUUCAUUGCAAAUGGAUCAUUCGGUGUUAUUAUAAAGGGCAUAAUCACUAACACGAAAAAACCCCAUUCGCAAUUACUUAUGACCCUCUUUUUUCCUUAACCACAAGCUGCUCCUAGUUGCUAGGCACUACCAAGCGUGGUCCUCGGUAAGCCACCCGCUAUAGAGAACAGCAGCACUCCGGAUGGAACCCUUCUCUACGUCUUUUUAGUACGUGUCUCCCCAAAAAUUGUGCAUAGUGCUGUACUUGAUACAAAAUUUGAUCCACAUAUUUUCUGUUCAACAUGAGAAUCGCCUGAUGGAUCUGAGAACAUCAAAAUUAUACAUCUCAUGGACACACAAGGAAAUGAUUGAAAAUAGAUUGGAAACUCCUGACAAUCUCUCACAACAAGCUCACAGUUGACACCAAAAAAAUCCCCUCCGUCCGAGUGAAUUGCAAAAAACAUCAACAUUGAAGGCUAGAGUUGCAGAAACCAUAAUUCUUCAGUUUUGUGCCAAAAAUCACUAAUUCUGAGCCUAAUUUUUUGCAAAUAACACUAGUUGGCCUCUUUACGUGUUUUGAUGACAAUUAUGACAGACGGGAUCCACAUUUUGCCGACGUGGCGUACCGAUUCGCGAUAGAUUGACGUUAGACUGGGUAUUUUUCUAAAAAACUCCUCCCCCCUAGCAAUAUCUCCCUCCCCUGCCCAGGGUCGGGAUCGGUCGUCGUUCCCCGCACACCAUCGGCCUCGUGUCUUCUAACGUCGUCGCCGGCGGAUCGCCGGCGGUGUACCCGUGCGCCCAACAGUACCGCCGCCGCGGCCUGGCCAAAGGUGCUCGCCGCCCCCUUCCUAUCGGGCGCUCUCGUGGCCGUCUUCCCUGUGGCCGUCGAGUGCACGUCGAGAUGGACAACCUCCGCUACGUGGCCGCCGGCGACGUAGAUCCGCCCUCGCGCGGCUGCCGCGGCUCCCUUCCACGGCAUCCCGCGGCAGCGGGACUUGAGCACCUGGUUCCCGCUACGGCUCCCGCCUCUUUCCUUUGCAGCUGCGUGGGAUGAAGCCGUCGUCGCCAGGCCGACGAGCUACAUCGACCCAGCCGGUGCGCCCGAACAGCAGCAAGACGACUCGCGCGCUGCCGUACGUGGCCGCCACCAUGAGCGGCGUUCGCGGCUUGUAUGCCUUGCUCCGGCCAUACCAUAGCCCAACGUCAUUAGGCGCUCCCGUCUUGGUGGAUGUCGAGCGCGCCGGCGUGCGCGCCAACAGCAGCUUCACCGCGCCUCCCUGCGCCGUCCGGGGCACGAGCAACAGCAGCUCCACCGCGCCUCCCUGCGCCGGUCGGGGCACGAGCAGCAGCAGCUCACCGCGCCUCCUUGUGUCGACCGGGGCACGAGCAGCAGCAGCUCACCACACCUCCUUGUGCCGGCCGGGGCACGAGCAGCAGCAUCGCACCACGCCUCCCCUGCGGAUGGGGUUGAUUGCUUUUUCUAUUUUUGAUUGAAGGGUCUCUAAGCAAAAAGUCAGGGACUCUUCUGUAAAUUUAGAACUAACGCUGUCUGACGCGAACAGUUCUGCCACGUCAGCAAAAGCGGGACCCACCUGUCAUAAUCGUGGUUGAAAUGGACUAAGUCGCCAACUAGUGUUAUUUGCAAAAUAUUAGGCUCAGAAUUAAUGAUUUUUGACACAAAACUAUAGAAUUAUGGUUUCUGCAACCCUAGCCUUCAAUGUUGAUGUUUUCUGCAAUUCACUCCCUCCCGCCCCAUCCGUCCCAAAACCUAGCUAAGGCUUGAUGGAAUUGCACACAACCCGUGUGAUGGAACCAGCAAACACACAAAAAAAACUAAAGAGGAUGGAACCUUACCUCGCGGCAGGUUCACUGGUCAGCAGGGACGGUGAAGCCGGGAGUGGAGGGAGGCAUGUGAGCUCUACUGGAAGGCAGCAGCUGGUGGGGGUGGGGCGCCGGAGGCGGCGCAGGAAGCCGGGGACGGGAAUACACGGGGAGGACGGCGCCGGGUUGCGGAUCGCCGGCGUGGAAGCUACACAAGAUGCGGCGGCGGCGGGAAGAGCGAAGAGGCGGCGAGGGGAAUGUUUUUUUUCGGUGGGACGGCGAGGAGAGGUCAACGCGAGACCGACCGCCAGGAUUACCGAGGAGGCCCACACAAAUUUACGAAGAGAAACAAAGGCUUUCAAUUGGGCUCAGAACCGACCUUAAACACUCGAGCCACCCCAGGCCAGCAUUUCCUGGGAGCUUAGAAACUGUACAGAUGUGAGAUCCGACGGUGGGAGAGCAUGCCACUGGCAUAAAAGAUCGAUGUGCGCUGUCGUUGGGUUGGGGAGCAAGUACUAUAGAAUCUGAGCCUGUGAUGCAAAAAUAGAAAGAAUGGAUCUGUACCAUAGGAUGGUAGAUUGAUGGUCCAGAUUCGGGUGAGAUGCUCUGCACGCAUAGUUUGCAAAAAGUCCAUCUCUGCAAGCUAAUUUUGUCCCCGUGCCCUCCCCGUCAAACCCAAAUCCCGUACGCAGCUGCAGUGCACAAACUAAAUCUCCCCCGACGGCGGCACAAUGUGGUUGGGCAGCAAUAUUGCAAAGGGAGAGGUAUGGUACUAAGACAUGAUACUAAGACUCUUUCCAUUUCUUGUGAAAGAACUGAACCAAUUUGUAUGCUAUAUUCUCCAAGAACCUUUGACAUCAACAUGUGCGCCAAGUCUCACAAAUAACUCAAUAGAGAAUACUUCAAAAAAAUCCAACCAGAUACUAGAUUAGUCAAACUUUUGAAGCAAAAGCUUGCAAUCUAUCUAUUUUGAGUCGCAGGUUGUAUUCUGGUUCUCAUAUUUGCAGUUGCUAAAAAUGACAUAGAAACUAAACAAAAGAGCAUGCUUGGAAAUUAGAAUGGAAGGCAUGCGAACUCGAGUUUGUCUCAACUCUAUAUUUAAAUAGUUGCAAUGCCCGAUUCCACCGGUUGUUUGCGAAUCUCGCUAUAUGAAAUAGGAUGCACUGGAGUGGUUUUUUCUUGUACAAGAUAACUAAUGUUUACACAAAUGUUUCAUUACUGGCAAGUAGUACUUCAGAUGUUUUUGGGAUGAAUGUGAUUUCUUCUUUAUUUUCCCGUCAUGUGAUAUGUGCAUCACACAGUAGAUGGUAUUGUUGAUGCAUAUUCAUUUAAUUAGCUCGUGAGUAAAUAAAUAAAUAAGUGUGAACAUAUGAUUCUUACACAAACAUGUGCUAAUUGAAUCAUAUUGGUUAGGUAUGAUCUCUCCCAACACAAGAAGCUUGAUGAACGAGAAGCACUAGAACUGGAGGCAAAGGUUGCAGCUUUUCUGUUGUGUACCAUCAGGCUUGCCAAGUUGAUGCAUUUUUAAUGACAAUGCUUGUUGAGCUAUGAUUAUUAUAGUCGUUCAUAAUUAGUCUUGCCCGUGUUGUACCCAAAAAUGACCCUCUCAUGCAAUGUAACACUUCAUAUGUAUGUAUCUCUUCUGUUGUCUUCUAGGACCAUUGCAGUUUGAAAUGUAUGUUUAGUUGUGCUUGAAGUGGAUGGAUUAACUCUCAUGUACUCAAAUAUUUCUGAUGAUGUUCACACACUCAUUUUAGUGACCACCAUGUUCAGAUUCUUUCAUGAUUCGUGAUGUAGCACAAGGUACUAACGAAAUCAAAUAUGUAGAAGUUCCGUGCAGUCCAUAUGGGCAGAUUUUUUGGAAACCUAAGAGACGAGGGGCAUAUGUACAGAUCUGAAAAGUGGCCUUAUUAAUGAAGGACUGAUUGAUUGAUACAUCAAAGCUUUGAGGUGGUUACUACAAAUCUAUCUUCUAUAUGUAAUUAGUUAGGGGGUUUCCUGAAAUUUGCAUUGAGAAGCCUCCACCUCAAUCUGUACCACUGAUGCUGAAUCCGACGACUCUGGUUCGUUUUUCUAUUUUUGCACCAUAGGCUCAGAUUCUAUAGCAGUUCUCCCCGUUGUUGCAUUAUGUCGUGUUGAGAAGAAGACGAGAAUGAUCAACAGUCCGCUCAUGUACAGGACAGAACACAUACAGUGCUGCCCCCUAUGGGAUUCAAUCUAGACCACCCAUUUUGACCCAAUGGUACAGUGACUUUGAGACUUUCAUGCUCGAAAUCGCUGAAUCUCGGUCCCAUGUCGGGAUGUGCAUAUCUUGGGUUAGAGAGUGUCACUUCACCAUCCCGCGGGGAUUGUAUUUGCCUCUUGCGAUUGCUGGCCCGCAAAUGUCUCUUCCUAUUCGGGACGAUCGCUAUCUCCUUUACCAGGUGAGGUGGGAGAAAUAAAUUGGUUAAUUGACUCUGCCUCGUCACCAUAAAAUCGUUCCUGGUGCCUUUCAAGCCUACACAAUUCACCACAGAUGCUUUCCACUAUCCAGAUAUAUGGGCGAUCUCUCGUUGCUAGAGGAAAUAGGAACUGAAAAUGAGAGGGUGAUCUCCGUCCAUCGUUGCUAGAGGAAACUAGAAUUGGAGUCAGAGAGGCAUGGGAGAUACUGAUAUUUAUUAGUUGAGGUAUGAUGACACGAAGGUGCCACACUGGCCCACCGCAUUGCAUUUCUUUUGUGUGCUUUCAAUACUAUUUUAGCACAUGGGUUACGCUUCUCCAAUGAUAUAUCAUUUGCUAUCUUCACCUUUAUGCGUAGUAAAUCAUAAAUUCAUCGGCUCACAGACUCUCACUGGGUGCACGCCUCCAUGGCUAAAUCAUCGGUCAUCAAACAUGCUACAAAAUCCGGUACAUAGGGAAACCACAUAGCAUGGCUUCCGUGGACGGCACCAACACACAAAGUCACCCUAAUGGUUUACUCCAAUCACAAGGAUAAAUCACCCUAAUGGUUUCAUUAAUUUGAAUGGAUUGAUGUGUUGUACCAUUGUAGGGUCCUCAUCGAAUGUAUGAAUUCCCUCGAGGGAGUGGGAAACAAAUCAAAUUAUUUUCUAUUGAUCGGAGCAGUGGAAGUAUCGAGGGAAAGUGUACCUCUUCACUCAUAAACUUCAUGCAAGUGAGGAUUGAUUUCUGUUAUUUAUAUAAUUCAAAAUAGGAAGAUCAUCUUCUUCAAGGAAGAUUGACCUUCUCGCUCUCGGCACAUCUGCGCCUCAGAUUCUUCUAUAUGUUCUUGCGUUGAGAAAUUAUUAUUAUGACUAGUACGAUGCAAUGCAAUCUUACACCGCACACAAAAUUUUAAGAACCAAUCAACAUUGAAUAAUUUCAGUAUGUGAGUAUUGCAUGAUCUAUCAGGGAUUGGCGCUAAAGAUGGAAUAAUUUCACAGGUUAAGCUCUCUGGUUCCAUCAGCAGUCAAUACUUGAGUUCCUCGUUGAUGGUUGCUCCUUUGGCUCUUGGGGAUGUAGAGAUUGAAAUUAUUGAUAAACUGAUCUCCAUUCUUUAUGUUGAAAUGGCAUCGAAAUUGAUGGAGCGUUUUGGCAUGACUGUGGAGGACAGAUUCUACAUCAAGGGAGGACAAAAGUACAAGUAAGUUCUACAUUGCUUUACUUCUGAUAGUGGAGUACAAAAGCAUGAUUCUAGUUUUCUGUCUACCCAAAUAUUUAUAGACGCACCCCCAUUUGAAUUAUUGAUAAACUAGGAAAUAAAUAUUGUACAAAAUCUGUCGACUUCUCAGUAGCUUUGGAGGCGCACUGUACUAGGAAACCAGUGUCUACUACCUAGGCAAUCGACCCUGCUACCUACAAUGCAUUGCACAGUUCUAUUUUCUGGACAUAUACUCGAUCACACCAGAAGUAUCAUCCAUCUUAAAAUUGGACUGAAAAUAGAGAACAUCGGCAGUUGUUUGGCAAUGAUCAUCUAUGCAGAUGAUUCUUGAUUUUGCUUCUUUUAUCUUAUGCCUUGCUGCCAUAUGGCCCAUCAGGAUACACAUCCAUGCUUUUACUGAACAUACUCUUAUGUGCUUGGAAACUGUUAGUUUAAACUUCAUAAAAGUUGGAGUAAACAUUUCCUAAACGAUCCAUCCGUUCUCUGGAAUCGACAGGUCCCCUGGAAAUGCUUAUGUCGAAGGUGAUGCCUCAAGUGCGAGCUAUUUCUUGGCUGGUGCUGCCAUCACCGGAGGGACUGUGACGGUCGAAGGUUGCGGCACCACCAGUUUGCAGGUAAAAUUUUACUAUCCAUUUUUACCCUUUUGGUUGAGCAUACUUGACAUGUUACAUUAUUGAAUGUAUACCAUUUUCAACCAAACAUGCUUUAAGUGGAUAUUUGUAGCUGAAUCUGUCAAACUGUUGUAUUCUAUAAGUGAAAGUGCGUUAUAUCGACUAGGGGGGGGGGGUGAAUAGGCGAUUUUUAUGAAUUCUUCACUGAGGAAUUUGCCGGUGAGGAAAUUCCUUAGCGAAGAACUACUAGCAGCGGAAUAAGUACUCAAAAGUAAACAUAACAGAACACAAGCAUGGUCAUCAUGAUGAAAUUAAGACAAGCAUAGAGUACAAAAAGCGUAAUCACAGGAUAACACAGGAUGAAGACAAACAGACUGAAGAAAUUGAACUGAGGAAAUUGAGAAAGUCUUCAGUCAAAGUCUUCAAACACAGAUACGAACAAGCACACAACAUAGUAAUGAGGAAAUGAAAGAGUUGAGGAAAGAGAACAAGUAGGCUUGGUGAAGACAAUGAUUUGGUAGACCAGUUCCAACUGCUGUCUCAGUUGUACAUCUGGUUGGAGCGGCUAGGUAUUUAAACAUGAGGACACACAGUCCCGGACACACAGUCCUCACCGUAUUCUCCUUGAGCUAAGGUCACACAGACCUCGCCCAAUCACUCGUGGUAAGUCUUCAGGUGACUUCCGAACCUUCACAAACUCGGUCACUCGGCGAUCCACAAUUCCUGUUGGAUGCUUUAGACCAUGACGCCUAACCGUCUGGAAGAAGCACAGUCUUCAAAGGUAACAAGCGUCGGAUCCACGCAUGAUCAAUCUCUUUAGUGAUGCUCAAUCACUUUGGGUUUGUAGGUGUUUGGGUUUGGGUUUUCCUCACUCGAUGAUUUUCGCUCAGAGUCCUCGGAGGAUGGGAUGCUCUCAAAUGACAAGUGUCAGUUUCUCUCGGAGCAGCCAACCAGCUAGUGGUUGUAGGGGGGCGGUUAUUUAUAGCCUAGGGAGCAGCCCGACAUGAUAAGACACAAAUGCCCUUCAAUGAUAUGACCGUUAGGUGGGUAGAUAUUUUGGGACAGCUGGCGCGUAGCACAGCAACGGUCGGAAAUUUGAGUAUCAAAUUCCUCAGGGCUAUCAUGUUCCUCACAGUGUAGGCAAUCCGCACUGGCGAAUUCCUAACUCCUCAUUCAGAACAAAUUCCUCAGAAACCAGAAGAACUUCGUCUCUGUCACUGAAGAAUAUGACUGAACUGUAUGAGAUUUCCAAUGGCUUCACUCGAAGGGAUUGGUAGGUGUAGGAUUUUGAGUUGAGCAUCACAUGGAAAUUUUUUCUUAGUAUUUCCUCGACCCCCUUUAACAGUACGGUGUUUCCUAUUACUCAAGAAAGAGAAAAUGAAACUACGAAAACAAAAGUCUUCACGCUUCAUGUUCCUCGAAUGAAUACCAAGUCUUCAAGGUCACACCAAUUUCUUCACUUUCAAAGUCUUCAGAAAUCCAAAGUCUUCAGUCGAAGAACUUCAUUUUAGGGGUCGACUUUCUCUGUAAAUAUCAAACUCCUCAUAGACUUAUAGACCUGUGUACACUCAUAAACGCAUUAGUCCCUUAACCUAUAAGUCUUCAAUACACCAAAAUCACUAAGGGGCACUAGAUGCACUUACAAUCUCCCCCUUUUUGGUGAUUGAUGACAAUAUAGGUUAAGUUUUCAACGGGGAUAAACAUAUGAAGUGUAAAUAUUGAUAUUGAGGAAUUUGAUUACAAGAUAUAGAAGAACUCCCCCUGAAGAUGUGCAUAGUGAGGAAUUUGCUUUUGAAGCAAUGCACACUUGAAGAGUUGAAUCAUGGAGAUCUCCCCCUAUAUCUUGUAAUUCAUACACGCAUUUGACAUAAAAUAUGAAGAAUUUGAAAUGCAUGAUGAAAUAUGGUGCUGAUGUAAUUCAGCAUGCGUGCAUUAACAUUAACGAGGAAUAAGCAUGUAGAAGAAACAACAAAAGUAUCAGGCCGCCAUAGAGUUUAAGUUUACAACUCGAUCCAGCAAAGUCAUCAGAAGAACGAGAGUUGUAACUUAGCAAAAAAACGCCCAUAUAGAUAGACCCGCUUGAAGACUAACUCAAAUUUCUCCCCCUUUGUCAUCGAAUGACCAAAAGGAUCGAAAAUGAGGACUAACGCCCCUGAAGAAUAUCAAGUUGAUGAAGGAGCGCCAACGUUGUUGGGGUCGUUUGUCGUAGUAGGGCCUGUAGUUUCGCGCGAUGAAGAAUAGGAGCUGGCCACCAAGGAAGGAACCUUGACCUUCUUGUAUUUCGGUGGAGGUGCAGACCAGUCAAAGUCUUCCUUGAGACCCAUGUUCUUCAGAUCUUCUUCACUAUAAAUGUGAGACAGAACAGCCCAGGUGCGAUCGAAGACUUCAUGGAGGUAGUAAUGGUUUUUCUUCACUGCAUUAUGUGUAGCAGUCAUGUUGUGAAGAAUUGAACCAAACUGACGCUUAACCCAUUUAUGGUUUCGAUCCACCUUCUGGUGAAGACUUAGCAGAAGCUCACGGCCAGUCAUCACAUGAGGAGCAGUGGCUUGAGGAUUUGGCUUGGAGGCAUGGGCAGCAGAAUCAUGAGUGGCAGAGUCGUCAUUGGUGGAAUAAGAUGCAGCCUUGCGAAACUGACCAUCCAAUGGACGAAUGCCUUCAUCUAUAACAGCUGGUGCCUUUCCUUUUCGUCAGCUGAGGAAUAGGUCCGCUUGAGGACUUCAAUCGGGGGCAAGUAGCUGAGGUGAUUCUGAAAAUCAGCCUUGUAGUUGAGUGAAGACCUUGUUCUGAGGAAUCUCAUAAUCCACGGUGCAUAAGGCUUCAGCUCAAACGGUGAAAGUGCAAAAUUUGCCAGAGUCCUCAUGAAGAAAUCGUGAUAAUUGAUAGGAAUGCCAUGAAUGAUGUUGAAUACCAGAUUCUUCAUGAUGCCAACAAUUUCCUCAUCAGAUGAGUCGUGGCCUUUGAUUGGACUCAUAGUCUUCGUCAGAAUGCGAUAGACUGUCCUUGGUACAUACUGCAAUUCCUUCACGAGGAAUUUUGUCCUUGAGGCUUGACCAGGUUUCAAUGGCUUCAUCAGCACUUGCAUAUAAUGAGCAGUGAGCUCAGGCUCUUGGUACAGGCAACGAGUGAUACGUCCAUUUUGCAUCAUGCUUUUAUAUCGAUAUUUAUCGCAUUAUGGGCUGUUAUUACACGUUAUGUCACAAUACUUAUGCCUAUUCUCUCUUAUUUUACAAGGUUUACAUAAGGAGGGAGAAUGCCGGCAGCUGGAAUUCUGGGCUGGAAAAAGAGCAAAUAUUAGAGACCUAUUCUGCACAACUCCAAAAGUCCUGAAACUCCACGGAAGUUAUUUUUGGAAAUAACAAAAAAUACUGAGCGGAAGAAAUACGCCAGGGGGGCCACCACCUGUCCACGAGGGUGGGGGCGUGCCCCCUGCCUCGUGGGCCCCCUGUUGGCUCUCCGGUGGCCAUCUUCUGCUAUAUGAAGUCUUUCGUCGAGGAAAAAUCAUAAGCAACCUUUCGGGACGAGACUCCGCCGCCACGAGGCGGAACCUUGGCGGAACCAAUCUAGGGCUCCGGCAGAGCUGUUCUGCCGGGGACACUUCCCUCCGGGAGGGGGAAAUCAUCGCCAUCGUCAUCACCGACGCUCCUCUCAUCAGGAGAGGGCAAUCUCCAUCAACAUCUUCACCAGCACCAUCUCCUCUCAAAACCCUAGUUCAUCUCUUGUAUCCAAUUCUUGUCUCCAAGUCCGGGAUUGGUACUAGUAGGUUGCUAGUAGUGUUGAUUACUCCUUGUAGUUGAUGCUAGUUGGUUUAUUUGGUGGAAGAUCAUAUGUUCAGAUCCUAUAUGCAUAUUAAUACCCCUCUGAUUAUGAACAUGAAUAUGCUUUGUGAGUAGUUACGUUUGUUCCCGAGGACAUGGGAGAAGUCUUGCUAUUAGUAGUCAUGUGAAUUUGGUAUUCGUUCGAUAUUUUGAUGAGAUGUAUGUUGUCUAUCCUCUAGUGGUGUUAUGUGAACGUCGACUACAUGACACUUCACCAUUAUUUGGGCCUAGUGGAAGGCAUUGGGAAGUAAUAAGUAGAUGAUGGGUUGCUAGAGUGACAGAAGCUUAAACCCUAGUUUAUGCGUUGCUUCGUAAGGGGCUGAUUUGGAUCCACAUGUUUCAUGCUAUGGUUAGGUUUACCUUAAUAAUUUUGUUGUAGUUGCGGAUGCUUGCAAUAGAGGUUAAUCAUAAGUGGGAUGCUUGUUCAAGUAAGAACAGCACCCAAGCACCAGUCCACCCACAUAUCAAAUUAUCAAAGUACCGAACACGAAUCAUAUGAAUGUGAUGAAAACUAGCUUGACGAUAAUUCCCAUGUGUCCUCGGGAGCGCUUUUCUCCAUAUAAGAGUUUGUCCAGGCUUGUCCUUUGCUACAAAAAGGAUUGGGUCACCUUGCUGCACUUUAUUUACUUUUGUUACUUGUUGCUCGUUACAAAUUAUCUUAUCACAAAACUAUCUGUUACCACUUAUUUCAGUACUUGCAGAGAAUACCUUGCUGAAAACCGCUUAUCAUUUCCUUCUGCUCCUCGUUGGGUUCGACACUCUUACUUAUCGAAAGGACUACGAUAGAUCUCCUAUACUUGUGGGUCAUCAAGACUCUUUUCUGGCGCCGUUGCCGGGGAGUGAAGCGCCUUUGGUAGGUGGAAUUUGGUAAGAAAAAAUUAUAUAGUGUGCUGAAAUUUACUGUCACUUGUUACUAUGGAAAGUAAUCCUCUGAGGGGCUUGUUCGGGGUACCUUCACCCCGACCAGUAGAGCAAAGAGUUGCUCCUCAACCUACUGAACCUACUGAAAAUGAAAAUGAGAAUGAAAAUGUUCACUUUGAGAUUCCUUUGGGUAUGUUAGAAAAACUGCUAGCUAAUCCUUUUGCAGGAGAUGGAACAAAGCAUCCUGAUGAGCACCUAAUAUAUGUGGAUGAAGUUUGUGAAUUAUUUAAGCUUGCAGGUGUACCCGGUGAUGUUGUUAAGAGGAAGGUCUUCCCUUUAUCUUUGAAGGGAGACGCAUCGACAUGGUAUAGGCUAUGUGAUGAUACGGGAUCAUGGAACUACAAACGAUUGAAAUUGGAAUUUCAUCAGAAAUUUUAUCCUAUGCAUCUUGUUCAUCGUGAUCGCAAUUAUAUAUAUAAUUUUUGGCCUCGCGAAGGAGAAAGCAUCGCUCAAGCUUGGGGGAGGCUUAAAUCAAUGUUAUAUUCAUGCCCCAAUCAUGAGCUCUCAAAAGAAAUAAUUAUUCAAAGUUUUUAUGCUCGGCUUUCUGAUAACAAUCGCACCAUGCUCGAUACUUCUUGUGCUGGCUCUUUUAUGAUGAAGACUAUUGAAUUCAAAUGGAAUUUAUUGGAUAGAAUUAAACGCAACUCUGAAGAUUGGGAUCUCGACGAAGGUAAGGAGUCAGGUAUGACACCUAAGUUUGAUUGUGUUAAAUCUUUUAUGGAUACCGACGUGUUCCGUAAAUUUAGCACUAAAUAUGGACUUGACUCUGAGAUAGUAGCUUCAUUCUGUGAAUCUUUUGCUACUUAUGUUGAUCUCCCCAAGGAGAAGUGGUUUAAAUAUCAUCCUCCCAUAGAAGUAAAAGUAGCUGCACCUACUAAAGUUGAAGAAAAGACCAUCACUUAUAAUGAUCCCGUUGUUCCUACUUCUUAUGUUGAGAAACCACCUUUCCCUGUUAGGAUAAAGGAUCAUGCUAAAGCUUCAACUGUGGUUCGUAAAAGCAAUAUUAGAACUUAUACACCUCCUGAGCAAAUUAAAGUUGAACCCAAUAUUGCUAUUGUUAAAGAUCUCUUAUCUGAUAAUAUCGAUGGGCACAUUAUUUAUUUCUGUGAGGAAACUGCUAGAAUUGCCAAACCCUGUGCUAAAGAUAAACAUAGAUCUGUGGUAGGCAUGCCUGUUAUUUCUGUUAAAAUAGGAGAUCAUUGUUAUCAUGGCUUAUGUGAUAUGGGUGCUAGUGCUAGUGCCAUACCUAUUGGCUUAUACAAAGAAAUGAAGCAUGAUAUUGCACCUGCUGAGUUAGAAGAUAUUGAUGUCACAAUUAAACUUGCCAAUAGAGAUACUAUUUCACCAAUGGGAAUUGUUAGAGAUGUUGAAGUCUUGUGCGGGAAAACCAAAUAUCCUGCUGAUUUUCUUGUUCUUGGUUCCCCACAAGAUAGCUUUUGUCCCAUUAUAUUUGGUAGACCCUUCUUGAACACCGUUAAUGCUAAGAUAGACUGUGAAAAGGAGUUGUUACUAUUGGUUUGGGUGAUAUGUCUCAUGAGUUUAAUUUCUCUAAAUUUAGUAGACAACACCGUGAAGAGGAAUUACCUAGUAAGGAUGAAAUUAUUGGUCUUGCUUCUAUUGCCGUACCUUCUAGUGAUCCUUUAGAACAAUAUUUGCUAGACCAUGAAAAUGAUAUGUUUAUGAAUGAAAGAAGGGAAAUAGAUGAAGUGUUCUUUAAACAGGAACCUAUCCUGAAACACAAUUUCCCUGUUGAAAUCCUAGGGGAUCCUCCUCGACCCAAGGGUGAUCCCGUGUUUGAGCUUAAACCGUUGCCUGAUACUCUUAAAUAUGCUUAUCUUGAUGAAAAGAAGAUAUAUCCUGUUAUUAUUAGUGCUAACCUUUCAGAGCAUGAAGAAGAGAGAUUAUUGAAAACUCUGAAGAAGCACCGUGCCGCUAUUGGAUAUACUCUUGAUGAUCUUAAGGGCAUUAGUCCCACUCUAUGUCAAGAUAAAAUAAAUUUGGAAGAAGAUGCCAAACCAGUUCGUGAUCAUCAACGAAGGCUGAAUCCUAAGAUGAAAGAAGUGGUAAGAAAGGAAAUACUAAAGCUCCUUGAGGCAGGUAUAAUUUAUCCCGUUGCUGAUAGUCAGUGGGUAAGUCCUGUCCAUUGUGUCCCUAAGAAGGGAGGUAUUACCAUCGUUCCUAAUGAUAAAGAUGAAUUGAUUCCGCAAAGAAUUAUUACAGGUUAUAGGAUGGUAAUUGAUUUCCGCAAAUUAAAUAAGGCCACUAAGAAAUACCAUUACCCCUUACCUUUUAUCGAUCAAAUGCUAGAAAUAUUAUCCAAACAUACACAUUUUUUCUUUCUAGAUGGUUAUUCUGGUUUCUCUCAAAUACCUGUGUCAGCCAAUGAUCAAUCAAAGACUACUUUUACUUGCCCUUUUGGUACUUUUGCUUAUAGACGUAUGCCUUUUGGUUUAUGUAAUGCACCUGCUACCUUUCAAAGAUGCAUGAUGGCUAUAUUCUCUGACAUUUGUGAAAAGAUUUGUGAGGUUUUCAUGGACGACUUCUCCGUCUAUGGAUCUCUUUUGAUGAUUGCUUGAGCAACCUUGAUCGAGUUUUGUAGAGAUGUGAAGAAACUAAUCUUGUCUUGAAUUGGGAAAGUGCCACUUUAUGGUUAAUGAAGGUAUUGUCUUGGGGCAUAAAGUUUCUGAAAGAGGUAUUGAGGUUGAUAAAGCCAAGGUUGAUGCUAUUGAAAAGAUGCCAUGUCCCAAGGACAUCAAAGGUAUAAGAAGUUUCCUUGGUCACGCCGGAUUUUAUAGGAGGUUCAUUAAGGACUUCUCAAAAAUUUCUCGGCCUCUGACUAAUUUAUUACAAAAAGAUAUACCCUUUGUCUUUGAUGAUGAUUGUGUAGAAGCAUUUGAAAUACUUAAGAAAGCAUUGAUCUCUGCACCUAUUGUUCAGCCACCUGAUUGGAAUUUACCCUUUGAAAUUAUGUGUGAUGCUAGUGAUUAUGCUGUAGGUGCUGUUCUAGGGCAAAGAGUUGAUAAGAAAUUAAAUGUUAUUCAAUAUGCUAGUAAAACUCUAGACAAUGCUCAGAGAAAUUAUGCUACUACUGAAAAAGAAUUCUUAGCAGUUGUAUUUGCUUGUGAUAAGUUCAGACAUUAUAUUGUUGAUUCUAAAGUGACUAUUCACACGGAUCAUGCUGCUAUUAAAUAUCUUAUGGAAAAGAAAGAUGCUAAACCUAGACUUAUUAGAUGGGUUCUCUUGCUACAAGAAUUUGAUUUGCAUAUUGUUGAUAGAAAGGGAGCUGAGAACCCCGUGGCAGACAACUUGUCUAGGUUAGAAAAUGUUCUUGAUGACCCACUACCUAUUGAUGAUAGCUUUCCUGAUGAGCAAUUAAAUUUCAUAAAUGCCUCUCGUAGUACUCCGUGGUAUGCUGAUUAUGCUAAUUAUAUCGUGGCUAAAUUUAUACCACCUAGUUUCACAUACCAGCAAAAGAAAAAGUUUUUCUAUGAUUUGAGACAUUACUUUUGGGAUGACCCACAUCUUUAUAAAGAAGGAGUAGAUGGUGUUAUUAGACGUUGUGUACCUGAGCACGAACAGGAACAGAUCCUACGCAAGUGUCACUCCGAAGUUUAUGGAGGACACCACGCUGGAGAUAGAACUACAGAUAAGGUAUUGCAAUCCGGUUUUUAUUGGCCUACUCUCUUCAAGGAUGCCCGUAAGUUUGUCUUAUCUUGUGAUGAAUGUCAAAGAAUCGGUAAUAUUAGUAGACGUCAAGAAAUGCCUAUGAACUAUUCACUCGUUAUUGAACCAUUUGAUGUCUGGGACUUUAAUUAUAUGGGACCUUUUCCUGCCUCUAAUGGUUACACACAUAUUUUAGUUGCUAUUGAUUACGUUACUAAGUGGGUAGAAGCUAUUCCAACUAGUAGUGCUGAUCGUAACACCUCUAUUAAGAUGCUUAAAGAAGUUAUUUUUCCGAGGUUUGGAGUCCCUAGAUAUUUAAUGACUGAUGGUGGUUCACAUUUUAUUCAUGGUGCUUUCCGUAAAAUGCUUGCUAAGUAUGAUGUUAAUCAUAGAAUUGCAUCUCCUUAUCACCCACAGUCUAGUGGUCAAGUAGAAUUGAGCAAUAGAGAGCUCAAAUUAAUUGUGCAAAAGACUGUUAAUAGAUCUAGAAAGAAUUGGUCCAAGAAACUUGAUGAUGCAUUAUGGGCCUAUAGAACUGCAUAUAAAAAUCCUAUGGGCAUGUCUCCGUAUAAAAUGGUUUAUGGAAAAGCAUGUCACUUACCUCUCGAACUAGAACAUAAGGCAUAUUGGGCUAUUAAAGAGCUCAACUAUGAUUUCAAGCUUGCCGGUGAGAAGAGGUUAUUUGAUAUUAGCUCACUUGAUGAAUGGAGAACCCAAGCUUAUGAAAAUGCCAAGUUGUUUAAAGAAAAAGUUAAAAGAUGGCAUGACAAAAGGAUACAAAAGCGUGAGUUUAAUGUAGGUGAUUAUGCAUUGCUAUACAACUCUCAUUUAAGAUUUUUUGCAGGAAAACUUCUCUCUAAAUGGGAAGGCCCUUACGUUAUCGAGGAGGUCUAUCGUUCCGGUGCCAUAAAAAUCAACAACUUCGAAGGCACAAAUCCGAAGGUGGUGAACGGCCAAAGAAUCAAACAUUAUAUCUCAGGUAAUCCCAUAAAUGUUGAAACCAAUGUUAUUGAAACCGUAACCCCAGAGGAAUACAUAAGGGAUACUUUCCAGAACGUUUCAGACUCCGAAAAGGAAUAGGUAUGUGGUACGGUAAGUAAACCGACUCCAAAACAGUUUUUAUGGCAAUAUUUCUCCGUUUUGGAAUAUUUAGAAAAAUAGAAAAAUAAGAAGCAUUCCGGGAAGGACACGAGGGCUCCACGAGGGUGGAGGGCGCCCCCCCCUACCUCGUGGGCACCUCGUGUGCUCUCCGGACUCCGCUUUCUUGCACGAUACGUAUUUUGGUCGGUAAAAAUUCAUUAUAUAAUCUCCCGAAGGUUUUGACUAUCGUAUCACGCAAUUGUCCUCUGUUCUUGUUUCGAGCUGUUUCCUGUUAGGGUUGUCAAGGCCAGGCAUCAUGUCGCCCCCCUACUCCAACAAUGGUGACAACGAUGCUUGGCUAAUGAAGAUAGAGCUGAAGAGGGAAGAACCCAUGGAGAUCAACAAGGAUGAAGGGAUCAAGAAGGCCAUGAAGGAUCAAGCUCCGGCAGCAGAAGACAUUCUUCAACUUGAUCACAAUCUUCUUACCCCAACUGAGAUCGAAGCUUUCAAGAUGAUUGAGUUAGCUCGUAUACAGAACAAGUAUCUCACACGUGAAAAUAUUUUGUUGAAGGAGCAUAUCGUUGCACUCAAGGGCAUUAUCCGCAAGCUAGAGGACCUCUUACAUUCGAUGUGCGACUAUCCAUCAUCACCUCCACCUUCUUCACCAGCAAAGGAGACAUAAUCACAUGGGUAUGGGCACUCCCCUUGGCGACUGCCAAGCUUGGGGGAGAUGCCCCGGUAUCGUAUCACCAUCACACUCCUAUCUUUACCGUUUUUCUUAGUUCGAUCCUAUUAGUAGUAUCUUGAUCUAGUAGAAUAAAGUUUAUGGCAUGAUUUAGUUUUGAGUUUUGCUUUAUGAUCUCUCUAUGUAAUCGAGUCCGUGAGCUAUAUAAUAAAGAUUAGUGUUGAGUCAAGGGCUUGAUUAUUUUGCCAUGAUCUUGAGUGUAUAAAGAAAAGAAGAAUAAAAAGAAGUAAAGAGAUCAUAUUGAUCUUAUUGAGAGUAAUGACUUCACAUAGAAAGAGUAUGAUGAUUAAAAAUUGUUGAGAGUUGGCAAACAUAGAUUUGGUCAUCGUUGCAAUUAAUAGGAAGUAAUAAAGAAAGAGAGGUCUCACAUAUAAAUAUACUAUCUUGGACAUCUUUUAUGAUUGGGAGCACUCAUUAAAAUAUGACAUGCUAAAGAGUUGAUGUUGGACAAGGAAGACAACGGAAUGGGUUAUGUUUUCUUAUAUCUGAGAUAAAGUAUAUUGUCAUGGAUCAUCCAACAUGUUGAGCUUGCCUUUCCCCCUCAUGCUAGCCAAAUUCUUUGCACCAAGUAGAGAUACUACUUGUGCUUCCGAAAACCCUUAAACCAGUUUGCCAUGAGAGUCCACCAUAUCUACCUAUGGAUUGAGUAAGAUCCUUCAAGUAAGUUGUCAUCGGUGCAAGCAAUAAAAAUUGCUCUCUAAAUAUGUAUAAUUGAUUGGUGUGGAGGAAAUAAGCUUUAUACGAUCUUGUGAUGUGGAAGAAAUAAAAUCGACGGACUGCAUAAUAAAGGUUCAUAUCACAAGUGGCAAUAUAAAGUGACGUUCUUUCGCAUUAAGAUUUUGUGCAUCCAACCCUGAAAGCGCAUGGCAACCUCUGCUUCCCUCUGCGAAGGACCUAUAUUUUAUUAUUAUCUUCUAUCUUAUGCAAGAGUCAUGGUGAUCUUCACCUUUCCUUUUUAUAUUUUAUCCUUUGGCAAGCACAGGGUGUUGGAAAGAUCCUGAUAGAUAUAUCUAAUUGGAUGUAAGUCAGCAUGAGUUAUUAUUGUUGACAUUACCCUUGAGAUAAAAGGUUGCAGGCGAAACUAUAAGCCCCUAUCUUUCUCUGUGUCCGAUUAAAACUCCAUAACCACAAGUAUUGCGUGAGUGUUAGCAAUUAUAAAAGACUAAAUGAUAGUUGAGUAUGUGGACUUGCUAGAAAGCUCUGACAUAGACUCUUUCUGAUGUUAUGAUAAAUUGCAAUUGCUUCAAUGACUGAGAUUAUAGUUUGUUAGUUCUCAAUAAAGUUUCUGAUUCAUACUUUGCAUUGUGAAUAUAUUAUUACUUGAGCAUAAGAAAUCAUAUGACAAUAUUCAUAUAUGUUGCUGUUAUGAUAAUAAUCAUGAUGCCUUCAUGUCCGUAUUUUAUUUUUAUCGACACCUCUACCUCUAAACAUGUGGACAUAUUUAUCGUUAUCGGCUUCCGCUUGAGGACAAGCGAGGUCUAAGCUUGGGGGAGUUGAUACGUCCAUUUUGCAUCAUGCUUUUAUAUCGAUAUUUAUUGCAUUAUGGGCUGUUACUACACGUUAUGUCACAAUACUUAUGCCUAUUCUCUCUUAUUUUACAAGGUUUACAUAAGGAGGGAGAAUGCCGGCAGCUGGAAUUCUGGGCUGGAAAAGGAGCAAAUAAUAGAGACCUAUUCUGCACAACUCCAAAAGUCCUGAAACUCCAUGAAAGUUAUUUUUGAAAAUAAUAAAAAAUAUUGAGCGGAAGAAGUAUGCCAGAGGGGGACCCACCUGGCCACGAGGGUGGGGGGCGCGCCCUACCCCCCCAGGGCGCGCCCCUGCCUCGUGGGCCCCCUGUUGGCUCUCCGGUGGCCAUCUUCUGCUAUAUGAAGUCUUUAGUCGAGGAAAAAAUCAUAAGCAACCUUUCGGGACGAGACUCCGCCGCCACGAGGCGAAACCUUGGCGGAACCAAUCUAGGGCUCCGGUAGAGCUGUUCUACCGGGGACACUUCCCUCCGGGAGGGGAAAUCAUCGCCAUCGUCAUCACCAACGUUCCUGUCGUCGGGAGAGGGCAAUCUCCAUCAACAUCUUCACCAGCACCAUCUCCUCUCAAAACCCUAGUUCAUCUCUUGUAUCCAAUUCUUAUCUCCAAGUCCGGGAUUGGUACUAGUAGGUUGCUAGUAGUGUUGAUUACUCCUUGUAGUUGAUGCUAGUUGGUUUAUUUGGUGGAAGAUCAUAUGUUCAGAUCCUUUAUGCAUAUUAAUACCCCUCUGAUUAUGAACAUGAAUAUGCUUUGUGAUUAGUUACGUUUGUUCCUGAGGACACGGGAGAAGUCUUGCUAUUAGUAGUCAUGUGAAUUUGGUAUUCGUUCAAUAUUUUGAUGAGAUGUAUGUUGUCUAUCCUCUAGUGGUGUUAUGUGAACGUCGACUACAUGACACUUCACCAUUAUUUGGGCCUAGAGGAAGGCAUUGGGAAGUAAUAAGUAGAUGAUGGGUUGCUAGAGUGACAGAAGCUUAAACCCUAGUUUAUGCGUUGCUUCGUAAGGGGCUGAUUUGGAUCCACAUGUUUCAUGCUAUGGUUAGGUUUACCUUAAUACUUUUGUUGUAGUUGCGGAUGCUUGCAAUAGAGGUUAAUCAUAAAUGGGAUGCUUGUUCAAGUAAGAACAACACCCAAGCACCGGUCCACCCACAUAUCAAAUUAUCAAAGUACCGAACGCGAAUCAUAUGAAUGUGAUGAAAACUAGCUUGACGAUAAUCCCCAUGUGUCCUCGGGAGCGCUUUUCUCCAUAUAAGAGUUUGUCCAGGCUUGUCCUUUGCUACAAAAAGGAUUGGGCCACCUUGCUGCAAUUUAUUUACUUUUGUUACUUGUUGCUCGUUACAAAUUAUCUUAUCACAAAACUAUCUGUUACCACUUAUUUCAGUACUUGCAGAGAAUACCUUGCUGAAAACCGCUUAUCAUUUCCUUCUGCUCCUCGUUGGGUUCGACACUCUUACUUAUAGAAAGGACUACGAUAGAUCCCUUAUACUUGUGGGUCAUCAACGAGCUCCUUCAGGUGGAGGACUGAUGGGCAGGGCAUGAAGUAAUUCAGAGGCCGGUGCCUUAUAGUGAGUGUUCUCGGUCAUCUAGUCCAAAACCCAGGAGUUCACAUCGUUAGCAUCUCUUGUGAUGUGUAGUGUUGCAUAGAAUUGAAGAAUGAGCUCUUCAUUCCAAUCAACUAUGUCUGUGCAAAAGUUGAGGAGGCCUGUGUCAUGAAGCACACUGAGGACAGGUGUGAAGCAUGGCAGAGAUUCCAUGUCCACAUGAGGAAUAUGCUCGUGUUCAAAGACUUCGUCCUUGUUGAAGAGCACUGAGGAAUGGAAAUUUGCCUGGCUGGCGGUCCAGAAGCGCUUCCUUCUAAGACGAGCAGAAUCAUAGGGAUUGUAGUCAGUGAAGAACACGUGCUCGCCGAAGAAAUCAUCAGCCUUGAAUUUCUGCUUCUUUGAGAAUGGAUCCUUUGGCUUGGGCUGAGGAGUAUCAGUCAAUUGCAUUAUUACCUCAGGAAUCGCAAUCUCAGGUUCUUCAGGCUGAGGAAUUUCAGCUUCUACUCCAGUGACAGCCUGGGUCUUCAAUUCUUCAUUUAAAUUUUCUUCAGCGCUAGUGGCUGGAAUUUCUUCAUGGACAAACGAUGUGGCAUCUGGUUCAUCAGAUCCCAUUUGAACUGUAGUUGCUGGGGACUGAGGAAUUUGUUGCAAUGGUGUGAAGAGUGGAGAGUUGGGGUGCUGACUUUCCCAAAAGUCAUCAUUCAGCACAGGUGUCGUACAACCAAUGUCCACAUCUUCAUCUUCCAUUUCUUCAACGCCAGCCUCUUCAGUAGUAAACUGAGGCAUAGGCGAGGAAACUGCUGGAGUUGAAGGGAUUUCAUCCACUUCAAUUUCUUCAUCCAUCUGCUCCGACGUAGCAGCAGAAGGAUUUUCUUCAUCAGAUCCGCUAGGGAUCACAUAUUCUUCAUCAAAAGGGACGAUUUCCUUUGAUGGCAUGGUUGAGAUAGGAACAACAUCAAUGGGGUUUGCAAAUGAGCUGGUCAUAGACUUCAUCUUCUUUGGAGCUGAAGAAUCUGAAGAAGAUGAUGCCUUCCUUUUCUUCACUGCUGCACGCUCUGCAGCCUUUGUCUUCUUCAUAUCUGAUGCACAUGGAAGGAUUGGAGUUGGAGUAGGCGCAGGAGGAGCAGAGGAAUGUGGUUGAUUUUCUUCAGGCACAACUGAUGCAGUUGCCCUGACCUCUUCAUUUUCUUCAGGCGCACCACUAGUGGAUGCCCUGGCAAUUUCAUCAGUGGCUGGAAUGCAGUCAUCAGCCCUGGAACUCACAUUUUCUUCAGCAGCCUGAACGUCAUUAGCGGUGCUGGCAUGUUCUUCAGUCGGCUGAGCAGAUGCUUCAGCCUGAGGAUUUUCUUGUUGCGUUGAGGCUGCGACAUUGGAGGUGAACUUUUCAGACAAUUUCACAAACCUGACUUUGGCUCCAAGCCAGUCAGCAUGGUAUGCGUCAAAUUCAUCACUGAGUUUCUUGAUCUCAGAUUGAAUAGUGACAAGUUCUUCAGUUGUCAUAGAGACAACAUUUUUCUUCAGAAAGUGCUCCUUUCUGUACUGAGCUUUCUUGAUCUGCCUGGCCUUCUCAUACUUCCAUUUUUCUUCUUGGAUGAAGGCAGUCAGCAUAUGACUUUGGCCAGGAGUCAGCUUGAAAUCAAGCAUAGGAGUAUUUGGGUCCUUGUGCCAGAGAUCAAUGUAGUCGAGGUUCACCUUUGGAUCCAAAAGCAGAGGCACAUUUGUGCCCUUGGCUCUAGCGGCCCUGACUUGCCUAUCUCUGAUGAUUUCGGCAAGUUCCUCAUCAUCAGCUUCGUCUUCAUCAGACAACACUUGGAAGGCGACCUGCUUCUUGUGAGGACUUGGGCGAGAACCUCGUCCAGCAGUGGCCUUUGUCUUCAGCAGAGAGGGUUCCGUUGAAGAAUUUGGUGCAGCUGAGGAACUACCAGAAGCUCCUGAGGCAAUAGAGAUGCCUGUCGUCCUUUGGCACGUGGCAAGAUGCAUAGGUGCUGAGGACUUGGUCGGAGCAGCUGAGGACUUUGGCGGAGGAGCUGAGGACUUUGGAGGAGCAGGAACAGCGUGAGGAAUUGGCCAUGAGGGCUUUGAGGAUUCUGGCCGUGAUGGCAUAGCUGAGGAACUUGGCCUUGAGGACAUUGACGGCGAAGCACUUGGCUUGUGCGCAGGCUUCUUUGAGAUGGCCUUCUUAGGCUUGACAGAGGCCUCAGCGGCAGCAGCAGCAGCAGAGUCUUCAUUGAAUUUCCUCACUGCUUCUCUGGCUUGUCUAGCCAACUUGGGCCUGGCGCUUGGUCCAUUCAUCAGGAUAAUCCUCACCGCGCUUGAGGCUGGUGGGAUCUGCUAUUUGGCCAGGUGCCAAUGGAGGUCUUGGGCAUGGAGGAUUGAGUGAGAAUUUCUUCAUGUAUUUGGGAGUAACAUAUCUGUACUCCCUCCACUCUCUUGCCCAUCUCCUCUCAAUCCUUUGGAUGCGCACCUUGUGCUGAUUCUUGUCCUCUUUUCCAAACUUGGCCUCAUCAGGAGUGCAGUAAUCUUUGUAUAUGUCAUCAGGGAUUUCAAAGGCAGUAUUGAUUUCAGGCCUCUUUCCUCCUUUCUGUGGCUUCUUUCCAUCAGCCAUUUUCUUUAGAUCAGGAAUUUGAACAAUUGAGUUCUCUAAAGAAGUAUGCAACUUUUCUUUGAGGAACGCUGCAAAUGAGUUAAGUUGAUGAGAACCUAGUGAUUCAGCAGCGGACAUGAGUACCUGUGAACAGAGUAUAGUUGCGAGGAAUUUGGAAAGGUCAUAUGCGUUCUCAGAAGGUUUUGUAAAAAGAACAAGUUUGAGGAAUUUGACCAGACGAGUCUUGAAGAAUUUCACUAAGCGUUCUUUGUCUUAUGUUCCAGAGUUGUAUAGAUCGAAGAUCCACACAAUUGAGGAAUCUUGAAGAAAAGUUAUUGCUUAGAGAAACGAAUCAAGAACAGAUGACAUGUGAGGUGUUUUAGUGUGUGAGGAUUUGAAGAAAAAUACCUUUGAAGAUUUUGUAGUAAUCAUUUGAAUCAAAGAGGGCAGUAAAAGUAACUUUUAAUUACCCUGGACAAAGAACACGACGAACUGGGAUGAAGAGAUGAGAAGUUCGUCUGUGCAGAUCUUCCACGCCCUAACUCGGCGGAGGAAGACAACUACGGCGGCGGCGGAGGGAAGAUUUCCGCGGCCGGCGCGAGUACGGCGGCGACGAGGUCGAGGCAGUGAAGCUCUUCCUCACCGGCGACGAUGAAGUAGCGGCGGCGCUAGGGUUUGAGAAGCUCGAGAUGGAGAGAGGUCGAGCGGAGUAAAGGAAGUGAGGAAGGGGAGGGGGGGUAUUUAUAGCCACGGUGAAAAACUGUUCGCCCGAAGAUUUUGGACGAACAUACCCCUGACCCUUCUCAUUCGCUUGACAUGUGUCACCCAUGUACUGAGAAGUGGAGAUCGUGUGCGAUCAUGGGUGAAUAGAUAAGUAUUCCGUUGGAUGCAGAACGGUUUGAGCGGCAAAACCGAAAAUUUGGAUAACAUAAGUUUUAACAUUCCGUUCGCAAAUUCUUCAGCUGACAAGGACACAGUGAAGAUUUUGAACGAGUUUCAAAUAGAACACACAUGAAGAAUUUGUGAAUAGAUUGGGUUGAGUUUAGCAUAGAGGGGAAAUGGUCCGAUCACAUUCACUUAGCAGAAAAAGCAACUUGAGAAUUAGCCAUAANNNNNNNNNNNNNNNNNNNNNNNNNNNNNNNNNNNNNNNNNNNNNNNNNNNNNNNNNNNNNNNNNNNNNNNNNNNNNNNNNNNNNNNNNNNNNNNNNNNNNNNNNNNNNNNNNNNNNNNNNNNNNNNNNNNNNNNNNNNNNNNNNNNNNNNNNNNNNNNNNNNNNNNNNNNNNNNNNNNNNNNNNNNNNNNNNNNNNNNNNNNNNNNNNNNNNNNNNNNNNNNNNNNNNNNNNNNNNNNNNNNNNNNNNNNNNNNNNNNNNNNNNNNNNNNNNNNNNNNNNNNNNNNNNNNNNNNNNNNNNNNNNNNNNNNNNNNNNNNNNNNNNNNNNNNNNNNNNNNNNNNNNNNNNNNNNNNNNNNNNNNNNNNNNNNNNNNNNNNNNNNNNNNNNNNNNNNNNNNNNNNNNNNNNNNNNNNNNNNNNNNNNNNNNNNNNNNNNNNNNNNNNNNNNNNNAGCCAAUGAAGAGAAACGACGGAAACAGUGAAGACAAUGCAAAGUUGAAGAAAAUGAACAACUGAGGAAUUUCAAAACUGAGGAAAAACUCAAAUAGAAAAUUUUCAACUUUGGUGGUGGCGUGACCCACCGUAUAAGAGUGAUGAUUUCAGACACCGCGUACAAUUGUCGUAGGGUUCUGAGAAUCAAAUUCUUCGUUAAUUUCUUCACACUUAGAGUGUUAUUCUUCAUUGGUUGAAGAAAAACGUUUCUUCAUGUGUUGCACAUCUAAGUCAUCAAGUUUGCAUAAGUGUUAGGAUGAGUGUCCUUUUUCAAAGAACAUUCGAAGAUUCUAAGAUAUUUAGCUCACACCGCAACUUGCUAAAUCUCUUCUCAUCCAAGGGCUUUGUGAAGAUAUCGGCUAGCUGUUCUUCAGUCUUCACAUGCUCAAUAGAAAUGUCUCCCUUCAACACAUGAUCACGAAGAAAAUGAUGACGAAUUUGAAUGUGCUUUGUCUUCGAGUGCUGAACUGGGCUGUGAGCAAUCUUGAUGGCACUCUCAUUGUCACAGAAGAGAGGCACAUUCUUCACGUUGACGCCGUAGUCCUUGAGAGUUUGCUUCAUCCACAGCAAUUGAGCACAGCAAGAACCAGCAGCAAUGUACUCAGCUUCAGCAGUAGACAGUGAUACACAGUUCUGUUUCUUCGAGGACCAACAGACCAAAGAUCGUCCGAGGAAAUGACAUGUACCAGAUGUUGACUUACGGUCCACACGAUCGCCAGCAUAGUCAGAGUCAGAAUAUCCAAUGAGAUCAAAAGCCGAGCCCUUGGGGUACCAUAAUCCAAGUGUUGGUGUGUGAGCUAGAUAUCGAAGAAUAUGCUUCACAGCCUUAUGGUGUGAUUCCUUCGGUGUAGCUUGAAAUCGGGCACACAUGCAAACACUAACCAUUAUAUCUGGCCUAGAUGCACAUAAGUACAAUAAAGAACCAAUCAUGGAGCGGUAUACCUUAUGAUCGAAGUCAAUACCAUUUUCAUCAGUGCACAGAUGGCCAUUUGUGGGCAUAGGAAUUUUGACGCCUUUGCAAUCUUGCAUGCCGAAUUUCCUCAGUACAUCCUUGAGGUAUUUCUCCUGAGAUAUGAAUAUGCCAUUGCGCUGUUGACGAAUUUGAAGACCUAAGAAGAAUUUCAAUUCUCCCAUCAUAGACAUUUGAUAUUCUUCACUCAUCAUAUAGGCAAAUUCAUCACUAUAAUGUUGGUCAGUACAACCAAAGAUAAUAUCAUCAACAUAUAUUUGGCAGACUGAUAACCCACAAGUAUAGGGGAUCGCAACAGUUUUCGAGGGUAGAGUAUUCAACCCAAAUUUAUUGAUUCGACACAAGGGGAGCCAAAGAAUAUUCUCAAGUAUUAGCAGCUGAGUUGUCAAUUCAACCACACCUGGAUAACUUAGUAUGUGCAGCAAAGUAUUUAGUAGCAAAGUAAUAUGAUAGUAGUGGUAACGGUAACAAAAGUAACGGAAGCAAAAGUAAUAUUUUUGGUGUUUUGUAGUGAUUGUAACAGUAGCAACGGAAAAGUAAAUAAGCGGAGAACAAUAUGUGAAAAGCUCGUAGGCAUUGGAUCGGUGAUGGAGAAUUAUGCCGGAUGCGGUUCAUCAUGUAACAAUCAUAACAUAGGGUGACACAGAACUAGCUCCAAUUCAUCAAUGUAAUGUAGGCAUGUAUUCCGAAUAUAGUCAUACAUGCUUAUGGAAAAGAACUUGCAUGACAUCUUUUGUCCUACCCUCCCGUGGCAGCGGGGUCCUAAUGGAAACUAAGGGAUAUUAAGGCCUCCUUUUAAUAGAGUACCAGAACAAAGCAUUAGCACAUAGUGAAUACAUGAACUCCUCAAACUAUGGUCAUCACCGGGAGUGGUCCCGAUUAUUGUCACUUCGGGGUUGCCGGAUCAUAACACAUAGUAGGUGACUAUAGACUUGCAAGAUAGGAUCAAGAACUCACAUAUAUUCAUGAAAGCAUAAUAGGCUCAGAUCUGAAAUCAUGGCACUCGGGCCCUAGUGACAAGCAUUAAGCAUAGCAAAGUCAUAGCAACAUCAAUCUCAGAACAUAGUGGAUACUAGGGAUCAAACCCUAACAAAACUAACUCGAUUACAUGAUAGAUCUCAUCCAACCCAUCACCGUCCAGCAAGCAUAUGAUGGAAUUACUCACGCACGGUGGUGAGCAUCAUGAAAUUGGUGAUGGAGGAUGGUUGAUGAUGACAAUGGCGACGAAUCCCCCUCUCCGGAGCCCCGAACGGACUCCAGAUCAGCCCUCCCGAGAGGUUUUAGGGCUUGGCGGCGGCUCCGUAUCGUAAAACGCGAUGAAUCCUUCUCUCUGAUUUUUUUCUCCCCGAAAGUGAAUAUAUGGAGUUGGAGUUGAGGUCGGUGGAGCGUCAGGGGGCCCACGAGGUAGGGGGGCGCGCCCUAGGGGGGCAGGCGCGCCCCCCACCCUCGUGGGCAGGGUGUGGGCCCCCUGACGUGGAUUUUACUUCCGGUAUUUUUCUUAUUUUCCAAAUAGAUGUUCCGUGGAGUUUCAGGUCAUUCCGAGAACUUUUGUUUCUGCACAUAAAUAACACCAUGGAAAGUCUGCUGAAAACAGCGUCAGUCCGGGUUAGUUCCAUUCAAAUCAUGCAAGUUAGAGUCCAAAACAAGGGCAAAAGUGUUUGGAAAAGUAGAUACGACGGAGACGUAUCAACUCCCCCAAGCUUAAACCUUUGCUUGUCCUCAAGCAAUUCAGUUGAUAAACUAAAAGUGAUAAAGAAAAACUUUUACAAACUCUGUUUGCUCUUGUUGUUGUAAAUAUGUAAAGUCAGCAUUCAAGUUUUCAGCGAAGAUUAUGACUAACCACAUUCACAAUAACUCUUAAGUCUCAUGUUUACUCAUAUCAAUAGCAUAAUCAACUAGCGAGCCAUAAUAAUAAAUCUCGGAUGACAACACUUUCUCAAAACAAUCAUAAUAUGAUAUAACAAGAUGGUAUCUCGCUAGCCCUUUCUGAGACCGCAAAACAUAAAUGCAGAGCACCUUUAAAGAUCAAGGACUGACUAGACAUUGUAAUUCAUGGUAAAAGAGAUCCAAUCAUAGUCAUACCCAAUAUAAAUUAAUAGUAAUGGAUGCAAAUGACAGCUGCGCUCUCCAGCUGGUGCUUUUAAUAAGAGGGUUAUGACUCAACAUAAAAGUAAAUAGAUAGGCCCUUCGUAGAGGGAAGCAGGGAUUUGCAGAGGUGCCAGCGCUCGGUUUUGAAAUAGAGAUAAAUAAUAUUUUGAGCGGCAUACUUUCAUUGUCAACAUAACAACCAAGAGAUGGCGAUAUCUUCCAUGCUACACACAUUAUAGGCGGUUCCCAAACAUAAUGGUAAAGUUUAUACUCCCCCUACACCAACAAGCAUCAAUCCAUGGCUUGCUCGAAACAACGAGUGCCUCCAACAAGCAACAAUCCCAGGGGGAGUUUUGUGUGCAAUUAUUUUGAUUUAGUUUGCAUAAAGCAUGGGACUGGGCAUCCCGGUGACCAGCCAUUUUCUCGUGAGUGAGGAGCGGAGUCCACUCCUCUUGAGAAUAACCCGCCUAGCAUGGAAGAUAAGGGCAGCCCUAGUUGAUACAUGAGCUAUUCGAGCAUGCAAAACAGAAUGUUUAUUUGAAGGUUUAGAGUUUGGCACAUACAAAUUUACUUGGAACGGCAGGUAGAUACCGCAUAUAGGAAGGUAUAGUGGACUCAUAUGGAAUAACUUUGAGGUUUAAGGGAUUGGAUGCACAAGCAGUAUUCCCGCUUAGUACAAGUGAAGGCGAGCAAAAGACUGGGAAGCGACCAACUAGAGAGCGACAACAGUCAUGAACAUGCAUAAAAUUAAUAGACAUUGAGUACAAGCAUGAGUAGGAUAUAAUCCACCAUGAACAUAAAUAUCGUGAAGGCCAUGUUGAUUUGUUUUCAACUACAUGUGUGAACAUGUGCCAAGUCGAGUCACUUAAAUCAUUCAAAGGAGGAUACCACCCCACUAUACCACAUCACGACCAUUUUAAUAGCAUGUUGGCACGCAAGGUAAACCAUUAUAACUCAUAGCUAAUCAAACAUGGAACAAGCAACUAUGAUCUCUAAUUGUCAUUGCAAACAUGUUUAUUCAUAAUAGGCUGAAUCAGGAACGAUGAACUAAUCAUAUUUACAAAAACAAGAGAGGUCGAGUUCAUACCAGCUUCUCUCAUCUCAGUCAGUCCCUCAUAUAUCGUCAUAAUUGCCUUUCACUUGCACGACUGAACGAUGUGAAUAAUAAUAAGAGUGCACGUGCAUUGGACUAAGCUGGAAUCUGCGAGCAUUCAAUAAACAGGAGAAGACAAGGCAAUAUGGGCUCUUGGUUAAAUCAACAAUAAUGCAUAUAAGAGCCACUUCAACAAUUUAAUUAUGGUCUUCUCCUAUCAACCCCCAAAGAAAAGAAAAGAAAUAAAAGCUAUUUACACGGGAAAGCUCCCAAUAAGCAAAAAGAAGAACAGGAAAUCUUUUUGGGUUUUUCUUUUUAAUUAUUACCACUACAGCAAGAAAGGUAAACUAGCUAAAGCUACAGCUAUUUUUUUGGAUUUUCUUAAGGUUUAUCUUGUUGGAAAUAUGCCCUAGAGGCAAUAAUAAAUGGUUAUUAUUAUAUUUCUUUGUUCAUGGUAAUUGUCUAUUGUUCAUGCUAUAAUUGUAUUGUCCGGAAAUCGUAAUACAUGUGUGAAUACAUAGACCACAACGUGUCCCUAGUAAGCCUCUAGUUGACUAGCUCGUUGAUCAACAGAUAGUCAUGGUUUCCUGACUAUGGACAUUGGAUGUCAUUGAUAACGGGAUCACAUCAUUAGGAGAAUGAUGUGAUGGACAAGACCCAAUCCUAAGCAUAGCAUAAAAGAUCGUGUAGUUUCGUUUGCUAGAGCUUUUCCAACGUCAAGUAUCUUUUCCUUAGACCAUGAGAUCGUGCAACUCCCGGAUACCGUAGGAGUGCUUUGGGUGUGCCAAACGUCACAACGUAACUGGGUGACUAUAAAGGUGCACUACGGGUAUCUCCGAAAGUGUCUGUUGGGUUGGCACGGAUCGAGACUGGGAUUUGUCACUCCGUGUGACGGAGAGGUAUCUCUGGGCCCACUUGGUAAUGCAUCAUCAUAAUGAGCUCAAUGUGACUAAGGCGUUAGUCACGGGAUCAUGCAUUGCGGUACGAGUAAAGAGACUUGCCGGUAACGAGAUUGAACAAGGUAUUGGGAUACCGACGAUCGAAUCUCGGGCAAGUAACAUACCGAUUGACAAAGGGAAUUGCAUACGGGAUUGAUUGAAUCCUCGACACCGUGGUUCAUCCGAUGAGAUCAUCGUGGAACAUGUGGGAGCCAACAUGGGUAUCCAGAUCCCGCUGUUGGUUAUUGACCGGAGAGGCGUCUCGGUCAUGUCUGCAUGUCUCCCGAACCCGUAGGGUCUACACACUUAAGGUUCGGUGACGCUAGGGUUGUAGAGAUAUGUGUAUGCGGAAACCCGAAAGUUGUUCGGAGUCCCGGAUGAGAUCCCGGACGUCACGAGAGGUUCCGGAAUGGUCCGGAGGUGAAGAAUUAUAUAUAGGAAAUCAAGUUUCGGCCACCGGGAAAGUUUCGGGGGUUACCGGUAUUGUACCGGGACCACCGGAAGGGUUCCGGGGGUCCACCGGGUGGGGCCACCUAUCCCGGAGGGCCCCAUGGGCUGAAGUGGGAAGGGAACCAGCCCCUAGUGGGCUGGGCGCCCCCCCAUGGGCCUUUCCCCAUGCGCCUAGGGUUGGGAACCCUAGGGGGGCUUCCCACUUGCCUUGGGGGGCAAGGCACCCCCUUCCCCCCUUUGGCCACCGCCCCCCCUUGAGAUCCCAUCUCCAGGGCUGGCGCCCCCCCAGGGGGCCUAUAUAAAGGGGGGGAGGGAGGGCAGCAACCUUACACCCUUGGGCGCCUCCCUCCUCCCCUGCUACACCUCUCCGUCUCCCAGAAGCUCGGCGAAGCCCUGCCGAGACCCGCUACAUCCACCACCACGCCGUCGUGCUGCUGGAUCUCCAUCAACCUCUCCUUCCCCCUUGCUGGAUCAAGAAGAAGGAGACGUCACUGCACCGUACAUGUGUUGAACGCGGAGGUGCCGUCCGUUCGGCACUCGGUCAUCGGUGAUUUGGAUCACGGCGAGUAUGACUCCGUCAUCCACGUUCAUUGGAACGCUUCCGCUCGCGAUCUACAAGGGUAUGUAGAUGCACUCCUUUCCCUCGUUGCUAGUAUACUCCAUAGAUGCAUCUUGGUGAGCGUAGGAAAAUUUUAAAAUUAUGCUACGAUUCCCAACAGUGGCAUCAUGAGCCAGGCCUAUGCGUAGUUACUAUGCACGAGUAGAACACAAAGCAGUUGUGGGCGUUGAGUUUGCCAAUUCUUCUUGCCGCUACUAGUCUUUUCUUGUUUCGGCGGUAUUGUAGGAUGAAGCGGCCCGGACCGACCUUACACGUACGCUUACGUGAGACAGGUUCCACCGAUUGACAUGCACUAGUUGCAUAAGGUGGCUAGCGGGUGUCUGUCUCUCCUACUUUAGUCGGAACGGAUUCGAUGAAAAGGGUCCUUAUGAAGGGUAAAUAGAAAUUGGCAAAUCACGUUGUGGUCAUACGUAGGUAAGAAAACGUUCUUGCUAGAAACCUACAAACCACGUAAAACUUGCAACAACAAUUAGAGGACGUCUAACUUGUUUUUGCAGCAAGUGCUAUGUGAUGUGAUAUGGCCAGAAGAUGUGAUGAAUGAUAUAUGUGAUGUAUGAGAUUGAUCAUAUUCUUGUAAUAGGAAUCACGACUUGCAUGUCGAUGAGUAUGACAACCGGCAGGAGCCAUAGGAGUUGUCUUUAUUAUUUUGCAUGACCUGCGUGUCAUUGAAUAACGCCAUGUAAAUUACUUUACUUCGUUGCUAAACGCGUUAGCCAUAGAAGUAGAAGUAAUCGUUGGCGUGACGACUUCAUGAAGACACAAUGAUGGAGAUCAUGAUGAUGGAGAUCAUGGUGUCAUGCCGGUGACGAAGAUGAUCAUGGUGCCCCGAAGAUGGAGAUCAAAGGAGCAUGAUGAUAUUGGCCAUAUCAUGUCACUAUUUGAUUGCAUGUGAUGUUUAUCAUGUUUUUGCAUCUUAUUUGCUUAGAACGACGGUAGUAAGUAAGAUGAUCCCUUAUAAUAAUUUCAAGAAAGUGUUCACCCUAACUGUGCACCGUUGCGAAGGUUCGUUGUUUCGAAGCACCACGUGAUGAUCGGGUGUGAUAGAUUCUAACGUUCGAAUACAACGGGUGUUGACGAGCCUAGCAUGUACAGACAUGGCCUCGGAACACACGCAAUACACUUAGGUUGACUUGACGAGCCUAGAAUGUACAGACAUGGCCUCGGAACACGGAGGACCGAAAGGUCGAGCAUGAGUCGUAUAGAAGAUACGAUCUGUUGGAAAUAUGCCCUAGAGGCAAUAAUAAAUGGUUAUUAUUAUAUUUCUGUGUUCAUGAUAAUAGUCUUUUAUUCAUGCUAUAAUUGUAUUGUCCGGAAAUCGUAAUACAUGUGUGAAUACAUAGACCACAACCUGUCCCUAGUAAGCCUCUAGUUGACUAGCUCGUUGAUCAACAGAUAGUCAUGGUUUCCUGACUAUGGACAUAGGAUGUCAUUGAUAACGGGAUCACAUCAUUAGGAGAAUGAUGUGAUGGACAAGACCCAACUUAAGCAUAGCAUAAAAGAUCGUGUAGUUUCGUUUGCUAGAGCUUUUCCAAUGUCAAGUAUCUUUUCCUUAGACCAUGAGAUCGUGCAACUCCCGGAUACCGUAGGAGUGCUUUGGGUGUGCCAAACGUCACAACGUAACUGGGUGACUAUAAAGGUGCAUUACGGGUAUCUCCGAAAGUGUCUGUUGGGUUGGCACGGAUCGAGACUGGGAUUCGUCACUCCGUGUAAACGGAGAGGUAUCUCUGGGCCCACUCGGUAAUGCAUCAUCAUAAUGAGCUCAAUGUGACUAAGGCGUUAGUCACGGGAUCAUGCAUUGCGGUACGAGUAAAGAGACUUGCCGGUAACGAGAUUGAACUAGGUAUUGGGAUACCGACGAUCGAAUCUCGGGCAAGUAACAUACCGAUUGACAAAGGGAAUUGCAUACGGAUUGAUUGAAUCCUCGACACCGUGGUUCAUCCGAUGAGAUCAUCGUGGAACAUGUGGGAGCCAACAUGGGUAUCCAGAUCCCGCUGUUGGUUAUUGACCGGAGAGGCGUCUCGGUCAUGUCUGCAUGUCUCCCGAACCCGUAGGGUCUACACACUUAAGGUUCGGUGACGCUAGGGUUGUAGAGAUAUAUGUAUGCGGAAACCCGAAAGUUGUUCGGAGUCCCGGAUGAGAUCCCGGACGUCACGAGAGGUUCCGGAAUGGUCCGGAGGUGAAGAAUUAUAUAUAGGAAGUCAAGUUUCGGCCACCGGGAAAGUUUCGGGGGUUACCGGUAUUGUACCGGGACCACCGGAAGGGUCCCGGGGGUCCACUGGGUGGGGCCACCUAUCCCGGAGGGCCCCUUGGGCUGAAAGUGUAAGGGAACCAGCCCUUAGUGGGCUGGGGUGCCCCCCUUGGGCCUCCCCCAUGCGCCUAGGGUUGGGAACCCUAGGGGGGGGGAGCUUCCCCCUUGCCUUGGGGGGCAAGGCACCCCUUCCCCCCCACUUGGCCGCCGCCCCCCUUGGAGAUCUGUUCUCCCAAGGGCUGGCGCCCCCCAGGGGUCCUAUAAAUAGUGGGGGGGGGGAGGGAGGGCAGCAACACACAGCCUUGGGCGCGUCCCUCCUCCCCUGCAACACCUCUCUCUCUCUCGCAGAAGCUUGGCAAAGCCCUGCCGAGACCCGCUACAUCCACCACCACGCCGUCGUGCUGCUGGAUCUCCAUCAACCUCUCCUUCCCCCUUGCUGGAUCAAGAAGGAGGAGACGUCGCUGCACCGUACGUGUGUUGAACGCUUAGGUGCCGUCCGUUCGGCACUCGGUCAUCGGUGAUUUGGAUCACGGCGAGUACGACUCCGUCAUCCACGUUCAUUGGAACGCUUCCGCUCGCGAUCUACAAGGGUAUGUAGAUGCACUCCCUUCCCCUCGUUGCUAGUAUACUCCAUAGAUGCAUCUUGGUGAGCGUAGGAAAAUUUUAAAUUAUGCUACGAUUCCCAACAGUGGCAUCAUGAGCCAGGCCUAUGCGUAGUUACUAUGCACGAGUAGAACACAAAGCAGUUGUGGGCGUUGAGUUUACCAAUUCUUCUUGCCGCUACUAGUCGUUUCUUGUUUCGGCGGCAUUGUAGGAUGAAGCGGCCCGGACCGACCUUACACGUACGCUUACGUGAGACUGGUUCCACCGACUGACAUGCACUAGUUGCAUAAGGUGGCUAGCGGGUGUCUGUCUCUCCUACUUUAGUCGGAACGGAUUCGAUGAAAAGGGUCCUUAUGAAGGGUAAAUAGAAAUUGGCAAAUCACGUUGUGGUCAUACGUAGGUAAGAAAACGUUCUUGCUAGAAACCUACAAACCACGUAAAAAACUUGCAACAACAAUUAGAGGUCGUCUAACUUGUUUUUGCAGCAAGUGCUAUGUGAUGUGAUAUGGCCAGAAGAUGUGAUGAAUGAUAUAUGUGAUGUAUGAGAUUGAUCAUAUUCUUGUAAUAGGAAUCACGACUUGCAUGUCGAUGAGUAUGACAACCGACAGGAGCCAUAGGAGUUGUCUUUAUUAUUUUGCAUGACCUGCGUGUCAUUGAAUAACGCCAUCUAAUUUACUUUACUUUGUUGCUAAACACGUUAGCCAUACAAGUAGAAGUAAUCGUUGGCGUGACGACUUCAUGAAGACACAAUGAUGGAGAUCAUGAUGAUGGAGAUCAUGGUGUCAUGCCGGUGACGAAGAUGAUCAUGGUGCCCCGAAGAUGGAGAUCAAAGGAGCAUGAUGAUAUUGGCCAUAUCAUGUCACUAUUUGAUUGCAUGUGAUGUUUAUCAUGUUUUUGCAUCUUAUUUGCUUAGAACGACGGUAGUAAGUAAGAUGAUCCCUUAUAAUAAUUUCAAGAAAGUGUUCACCCUAACUGUGCACCGUUGCGAAGGUUCGUUGUUUCGAAGCACCACGUGAUGAUCGGGUGUGACAGAUUCUAACGUUCGAAUACAACGGGUGUUGACGAGCCUAGCAUGUACAGACAUGGCCUCGGAACACACGCAAUACACUUAGGUUGACUUGACGAGCCUAGCAUGUACAGACAUGGCCUCGGAACACGGAGGACCGAAAGGUCGAGCAUGAGUCGUAUAGAAGAUACGAUCAACAUGGAGAUGUUCACCGAUCUUGACUAGUCCGUCUCACGUGAUGAUCGGACACGGCCUAGUUAAACUCGGAUCAUGUUUAGAUGAACUUAAUUAUCAUGAACUUAGUCUAAAAUCUUUACACUAUGUAUUGUAGAUCAAAUGGCCAACGUUGUCCUCAAUUUCAACGCGUUCCUAGAGAAAACCAAGCUGAAAGAUGAUGGCAGCAACUAUACGGACUGGGUCCGGAACCUGAGGAUCAUCCUCAUAGUAGCCAAGAAAGAUUAUGUCUUAGAAGCACCGCUAGGUGAAGCACCAAUCCCAGAGAACCAAGACGUUAUGAACGCUUGGCAAUCACGUGCUGAUGAUUACUCCCUCGUUCAGUGCGGCAUGCUUUACAGCUUAGAACCGGGUCUCCAAAAGCGUUUUGAGAAACAUGGAGCAUACGAGAUGUUCGAGGAGCUGAAACUGGUUUUUCAAGCUCAUGCCCGGGUCGAGAGAUAUGAUGUCUCCGACAAGUUCUUCAGCUGUAAAAUGGAGGAGAACAGUUCUGUUAGUGAGCACAUACUCAGAAUGUCUGGGUUGCAUAACCGCUUGUCUCAGCUGGGAGUCAAUCUCCCGGAUGACGCGGUCAUUGACAGAAUCCUCCAGUCGCUUCCACCAAGCUACAAGAGCUUUGUGAUGAACUUCAAUAUGCAGGGGAUGGAAAAGACCAUUCCUGAGGUAUAUUCAAUGCUGAAAUCAGCUGAGGUAGAGAUCUGAAAAGAACAUCAAGUGUUGAUGGUGAAUAAAACCACUAAGUUCAAUAAGGGCAAGGGUAAGAAGAACUUCAAGAAGGACGGCAAGGGAGUUGCCGCGCCCGGUAAACCUGUUACCGGGAAGAAGUCAAAGAAUGGACCCAAGCCCGAGACUGAGUGCUUUUAUUGCAAGGGAAGUGGUCACUGGAAGCGGAACUGCCCCAAAUAUUUAGCAGACAAGAAGAAGGCCGGCAACACCCAAGGUAUAUGUGAUAUACAAGUAAUUGAUGUGUACCUUACCAGUACUCGUAGUAGCUCCUGGGUAUUUGAUACCGGUGCGGUUGCUCAUAUUUGUAACUCAAAGUAGGAACUACGGAAUAAACGGAGACUGGCAAAGGACGAGGUGACGAUGCGCGUCGGGAAUGGUUCCAAGGUCGAUGUGAUCGCCGUCGGCACGCUACCUCUGCAUCUACCUACGGGAUUAGUUUUAAACCUCAAUAAUUGUUAUUUAGUGCCAGCUUUGAGCAUGAACAUUGUAUCUGGAUCUCGUUUAAUUCGAGAUGGCUACUCAUUUAAAUCCGAGAAUAAUGGUUGUUCUAUUUAUUUGAGAGAUAUGUUUUAUGGUCAUGCCCCGCUGGUCAAUGGUUUAUUUUUGAUGAAUCUCGAACGUGAUGUUACACAUGUUCAUAGUGUGAAUACCAAAAGAUGUAAAGUUGAUAACGAUAGUCCCACAUACUUGUGGCACUGCCGCCUUGGUCACAUUGGUGUCAAGCGCAUGAAGAAGCUCCAUGCAGAUGGACUUUUGGAGUCUCUUGAUUACGAAUCAUUUGACACGUGCGAACCAUGCCUCAUGGGUAAGAUGACCAAGACUCCGUUCUCCGGAACAAUGGAGCGAGCAACCAACUUAUUGGAAAUCAUACAUACUGAUGUGUGCGGUCCAAUGAGUGUUGAGGCUCGCGGAGGAUAUCGUUAUGUUCUCACUCUCACUGAUGAUUUAAGUAGAUAUGGGUAUGUCUACCUAAUGAAACACAAGUCUGAAACCUUUGAAAAGUUAAAUUUCAGAGUGAAGUCGAGAAUCAACGUGACAGAAAAAUAAAAUUCUUACGAUCAGAUCGUGGUGGAGAAUAUUUAAGUCACAAAUUUGGUACACACUUAAGGAAAUGUGGAAUAGUUUCACAACUCACGCCGCCUGGAACACCUCAGAGAAACGGUGUGUCCGAACGUUGUAAUCGCACUCUAUUGGAUAUGGUGCGAUCUAUGAUGUCUCUUACCGAUUUACCGCUCUCAUUUUGGGGCUAUGCUUUAGAGACUGCCGCAUUCACUUUAAAUAGGGCUCCGUCGAAAUCCGUUGAGACGACACCGUAUGAAUUAUGGUUUGGGAAGAAACCUAAGCUGUCGUUUCUAAAAGUUUGGGGAUGCGAUGCUUAUGUCAAGAAACUUCAACCUGAAAAGCUCGAACCCAAGUCGGAAAAAUGCGUCUUCAUAGGAUACCCUAAGGAAACUAUUGGUUAUACCUUCUACCUCAGAUCCGAGGGCAAGAUCUUCGUUGCCAAGAACGGGUCCUUUCUAGAGAAGGAGUUUCUCUCGAAAGAAUUGAGUGGGAGGAAAGUGGAACUUGACACUACUAGAAAAAGGGCUAUAGAUGGGAUUGACACUAAUGGCGCACCAGACAAGCGGUGCGCCAUUAGUAUAUACUAAUGGCGCACCACCUUCUGAUACGCCAUUAGAGUUGAAACUACUAAUGGUGCACCUGGCCCAGGGUGCGCCAUUAGUAUCAAUUUUUUUUAACUAGUGCGCCUGUCCAAACAUACUAAUGGCGCAUCCAGACACAGUGCGCCAUUACUAGUUGUAACUAGUAAUGGCGCACCUGCCGGAAAGUGCGCCACUAAUGUUGUUUUUUCUAUUAUAUUUUUUAUUCCCUUUUUUGCAAAACUACUAAUGGCGCACUUUUCCACCGUGCGCCAUUACUAGUUUAAACUAGUAAUGGCGCACUGUGGAACAGUGCGCCAUUAGUAUGUUUUUUUUGCAAAACUACUAAUGGCGCACCACCAGAAGGUGCGCCAUUAGUAACCUGGAUUACUAAUGGCGCAUUUAGAGUUGGUGCGCCAUUAGUAAGUGGGCAGCAACAAGAUAUUUUGGACAGCCUCUCCUACCCACACUCACUUUCUCCCCACUUCAUUCUCUCCACCUCCUCCUUGUCUCGGGUGCCUCCUCUUUUUCACCUCAUUUCCACCAUAGAUUCAUUCAAUUUAAGUGGUUAAAUUACCUUGUUUCGAUAGGUAAGUAAGGGGGGAAGCUAUAUUUAUGUUGUUCUCCCUACAACAAUGUGCACAUGCACUUUUUAUGGCCUAGCUAGAUCUAUGUAUGUUCGUGGUGUUGCAUAUGUUUGUGGUGUUGCAUAUGUGUUUGUGUUUGGAGGUGUACCGGUAUUUGAAAUGCGAUAGUUGCCAAUAUUUUGCCGGAAUGUUGAUUCAUUUCCGUUUCGGCGAGAAUUUUGGCAUUAAGCAUUCUUUUUGGUCCUAUUUUUAGGGAAAGUCAUGCCAAUUUUUUUCUUGGUUCUAAAAUAUCGUUUUGCUCUACCCCGCAGGCGACCAUGGUCCGCAUGAUGACCGAAGGCAUCGUGAAUAGGUUUUUGAGGUCCGCGAAGGCCGAGAUGCUUCAAAAGAACGAGACGGAGAUAAGAUGUCCGUGUCGAAGAUGCAAGCUUAAGAGCCUUAUUGCGGACCCGGAAUCCGGGCAGGUGCGGGACCACCUGCUCUUGCGUGGUUUCAUGGAUGGCUAUCGGUGGCAAGGUGAUGAAGAUGACUAUGAAGUCGUCCAUGGGGGCCGGGCAAGAAAUGAGGAAGGGCAGCAAGACAACCACCGCGGCUCGGGCGGGCGAGAAGACGAAGAAUCCCCAGGAGAUGAUCACGACGGUGAUGCUGUACACAGUCAUCAUGUAGAAGAUGCAGGACAUGAUGAUGAGGAAGAUACCGGAGCAGACGACGGGCAUGAUCAUGAAGAUGAUGAUGCCGGCGGAGCAGACGACGCUGGACCAUCGAUGGGCUGGGUGCAGGACCCUCAUAUUCAAGAGCUGCUUCUCAAGCAGACAGAUAACGCAAGAGCUGCCGCCCGAGAGAAAGCCAAGAUGGAUCAACUUGAGUUAGACGCGGUUACUCCAUUGUAUGAAGGAUGCAGGCCCGAGGAUACCCGCCUGAAAGUAACGCUCAUGGCUCUGGAGAUGAAGGUAAAACACAAAAUGACCGACGCAUGCUUCGACGAGAACAUGUCAUUCUGGCACGAACGUCUUCCCAAGGGGAACAAGUGCCCGACCAGUUUGGAGGAGGCGAAGAAAAUCGUGUGUCCUCUGGAUUUACCGCACGUGAAAUACCAUGUGUGCAUGAACAAUUGCAUCAUUUAUCGGGACGAGCACGCGGAGUCUACCAUAUGUCCGGUGUGCGGCGUCACUCGAUACAAGAAGAGGAAGAAAGCUCCUCGAAAAGUGGUGUGGUACUUUCCGAUCACUCCUCGUCUGCAGCGGUAUUUCGCGGACCCUAAGGUAGCAAAGCUCCUGCGUUGGCACGCGGAUAGGGAGGAGAAGAAGCGAGAAGAUGCCGCAAAUGAUCCGGAGAUAGAUAAAAAAGACAAGAUGCUGAGUCACCCUAAGGAUGCGAGCCAGUGGCAAGCGUUGAACUUCGAAGACCUAGAAUUUGGGAACGAUCCAAGGAACAUCGUGCUGGGCGCGAGCACCGAUGGAGUCAAUCCGUUUGGCAGCCAGAGAAGCACACAUAGCACCUGGCCUGUGUUUGUGUGGAUGUACAACCUUCCCCCCUGGUUGUGCAUGAAGAGGAAGUACAUUCACAUGAGUAUGCUAAUUGAAGGACCGAAACAACCAGGGAACGACAUCAAUCUGUAUCUGGGGCUGCUGAAAGAGGAGCUUGACACGCUGUGGAAAACUCCAGCCAAUACGUGGGAUGCCGCAGAGAAAGAAUAUUUCCCUAUGAGAGCCGCGCUGCUCACGACGGUGCACGACUAUCUCGGUUACGGAUAUGUCGCGGGGCAGGUGGUCCAUGGAUUUUCUGGAUGCGUCAGGUGCAUGGAUGACACAACGUAUCGCCAGCUAGAUAGAGAUCCCGGGUCUUCGAAAACCGUGUUCAUGGGACAACGAAGGUGGCUUUGCGACGAUGACCCGUGGAGAAAACGCAAGGAUCUAUUCGAUGGUGAAACCGAACCCCGAGGACGCCCGCGUACGAGGAGCGGCGAGGAAAUAGACGAGCUGUUGAAAAAUUGGAAAGACUGCCCACUGCCGGGAAAGAAGCAAAAGGCACCAGAGCCGGGAAAGAAGCGAAAGGUGCCAGAGCCGCUGCUGAAGGUAUGGAAAACGAGGUCUGUUUUCUGGGACUUGCCGUACUGGAAGAUCCACCGUGUGCCUCACAGCCUUGAUGUCAUGCAUAUCACGAAGAACGUGUGCGAGAGUCUGCUUGGUACCCUGCUCAACAUGCCAGAGAGGACCAAAGAUGGGCUGAAAGCAAGGGCAGACUUGAAAUCAAUGGGCAUCAGGCAGGAGCUUCACGCUAUAUAUGAUGAUGAUGAUGAUGAUGAUGAUGAUGAUGAUGAUGAGGCAAAGCAGGACACGGAAAGUCGUCGCAAAGGCAAAAAGGCCAAGAAGACCGGAAAUGACUACCCUCCCGCGUGCUUCACUCUAAGUCAGGAGGAGAUCGAGCAGUUUUUCACCUGCCUUGUACGAGUAAAACUUCCUUACGGUUACGCGGGGAAGAUAAGCAGAUACCUAGACCUAGCGAAGCUGAAGUCCAGUGGGAUGAAGUCUCACGACUGUCACGUGCUAAUGACGCAGAUACUUCCAGUUGCAAUCCAUGGGAUCAUGGACGCGCACGUCCGUGAAACGCUAUUUGGCCUAUGCAACUUUUUCGACGUCAUCUCUCGGAAGUCUGUUGGCGUGAGGCAACUCAGAAGGCUACAGGAAGAGAUCGUGGUGAUACUAUGCGAGCUUGAGAUGUACUUCCCGCCCGCAUUCUUCGACGUUAUGGUGAUCUGCUGGUCCAUAUCGUGGACGAUAUCAUCCAACUCGGGCCGACGUUCCUGCACAGCAUGAUGCCGUUCGAAAGGAUGAAUGGUGUCAUCAAAGGAUACGUUCGCAACAUGUCACGUCCAGAGGGAAGCAUAGCCAGGGGCUUUCUGACCGAAGAGUGCAUCUCCUACUGCACGAAUUAUCUAGGCAUCGAGAACCCCGUUGGUCUGCCCGUCAACACGCACCUCGGCAGGCUCGCUGGAUGGGGUCACCGUGAGGGUCGCCGCGAAAUGCAUGUCGACUUCGAGGGUCGACUCGCCGACUUUGAAAGAGCAAACCUAGUCGCGCUACAACACAUAGACGUGGUCGAUCCUUGGGUGGUAGAGCACAAAACCUUUAUUAAGAAGACGUACAAUGACCGAGGCCAACAGAGGACGGACGGAGAUAUACUCAAAGAGCACAACUCAUGUUUCACGCGUUGGUUCAAGCAGAAGCUUCUGUCGUACCCUUUACAUGAGGAUUCUUCCGCGGAAGAACAACUCAUAUUCGCCUUGUCACAGGGCGCCGAGCACAACCUGAUGACCUAUGAGGCGUACGAUAUCAACGGCUACACAUUCUACACCGAGGCGAAGGACAUGAAGAGCGAUGGUUAUCAGAACUCCGGGGUAACGAUGGAAUCCUACACCGGUAAUGACAAGGACAGAUACUACGGAAGGAUCGAGGAGAUCUGGGAGCUGAGCUACGCUGGAGGGAAGGUCCCGAUGUUCCGUGUCAGAUGGGCCAAGAGCGUCCUAAAAGAAGACCGGUAUUCCACCACCAUGGUUAUACCCGAAGCCAAAUCCAAGACCGCAGGCGCAAACGUCACCGCGAAAAAUGAGCCAUGGGUACUGGCUUCCCAAGUGGACCAAUGCUUCUUCAUUACCGACCCGUCAAAGCCCAGUCGUGUUGUCGUGAGGAGAGGCAAAAGGAAGAUCAUCGGAAUGGAUGGAGUAGCCAAUGAGCAAGACUUCGACAAGUACGGCGACCCAAGAAUCGAACAUGACGACGAUGAUGAAGUAGCAGCAUACACCACAAGAAGAAGCAGGACCACCCUACCUAAAGGACGUCCGUUCCACAGAAGAACUCCAUUUGCGAAAAAGAAGGGCAAGAAGAUUGUGAACAGAUAGCUAGCUAAGAUCGAUUGUAUUUAAAUCGUAGCCUUCAUUUCUCGAUUGUAUUUCAUGGGCACUUUUUGAACUAUCAUGAAUAUUUUUAAAUUUCAUGGACACUCGAUCUCGAUCCCCCUCCAUCUCGAUCNNNNNNNNNNNNNNNNNNNNNNNNNNNNNNNNNNNNNNNNNNNNNNNNNNNNNNNNNNNNNNNNNNNNNNNNNNNNNNNNNNNNNNNNNNNNNNNNNNNNNNNNNNNNNNNNNNNNNNNNNNNNNNNNNNNNNNNNNNNNNNNNNNNNNNNNNNNNNNNNNNNNNNNNNNNNNNNNNNNNNNNNNNNNNNNNNNNNNNNNNNNNNNNNNNNNNNNNNNNNNNNNNNNNNNNNNNNNNNNNNNNNNNNNNNNNNNNNNNNNNNNNNNNNNNNNNNNNNNNNNNNNNNNNNNNNNNNNNNNNNNNNNNNNNNNNNNNNNNNNNNNNNNNNNNNNNNNNNNNNNNNNNNNNNNNNNNNNNNNNNNNNNNNNNNNNNNNNNNNNNNNNNNNNNNNNNNNNNNNNNNNNNNNNNNNNNNNNNNNNNNNNNNNNNNNNNNNNNNNNNNNNNNNNNNNNNNNNNNNNNNNNNNNNNNNNNNNNNNNNNNNNNNNNNNNNNNNNNNNNNNNNNNNNNNNNNNNNNNNNNNNNNNNNNNNNNNNNNNNNNNNNNNNNNNNNNNNNNNNNNNNNNNNNNNNNNNNNNNNNNNNNNNNNNNNNNNNNNNNNNNNNNNNNNNNNNNNNNNNNNNNNNNNNNNNNNNNNNNNNNNNNNNNNNNNNNNNNNNNNNNNNNNNNNNNNNNNNNNNNNNNNNNNNNNNNNNNNNNNNNNNNNNNNNNNNNNNNNNNNNNNUUUCUUGUCUUGUUUGUUUCGGUUGCCUUUUAAAGAGAAUGGGGUUAGCAAGAGAAAUCAGCUUGUACACUAUGAGUAGCUUAUGCAUGAGUCCUGAUGGAAUCACUAUAAACACCAGGUCAUUAUAAUUGUUUUCGAGGAGUAGUUUUGAUGGUCAAGAUCAGCAUAAAGGAAUACAACUUUAUAUCUGGUUUACCUUGGAUUGUUUUACCUUGAGAAAAUGCAUUCCACUCAAAGACAGCCCAUUUUGUACACUUUUUCGUUUGAUAGAUCUAAGGAGGCAGAAAAGUUCUCUUUUAGUCAUCUUUAUUGCAGUCAAUGUCUCCACCACUCUGAUAUCCUCAGUAUCAUGGUUGUGCUCUGAAUCUCCAAGCAAAUCAUAUUGGUUGUGAUGAUUGACUGAAACAUAAGAAGUUUUCAGGUGGUUGCAUUGUUUCUUGCUACCAACACCCGUAGUUUCUUUCUUUGUUUAGUUGGAGGUUUGUUAUACUGAUAGAGUGUGCAUGGGGAGUAAACGAAUUCCUGCAAAACGAAUUUUGUAUGAGUUUUUUAGAUCUGAAUUCAUUUAUGUUCAUGUGCGUCUGUCUGGCUGUGUAUCCCAACUUGUGUUGAUGCUCUGAAGUAGGUUUUCACUAAGAGAAUUCAAAACUAAGACAUGUUCUUAAACUGAAGCAGUAUUUGUAUCACAGAAAAAGUUCUGAAGCUGUUGAACCUUACCUUAUGUAUCACAAAAAAGGCAAGGAACAUCAUGAACAACUCUCCAUGACUUAAUUUUCCUAUAUGCAUUGGCCUGUACAGCAGGUUCACUUUUCCUAUAUGCAUUGGCCAGUACAGCAGGUUCACUUUUCAAAACAAAUUAGAGCAGACCUCAUACACCCAAGAAAACCUGAAAAAAAAUGAAGUUCAACCCCUCACUUUUCCUAUAUGCAUUGGCCUGUAUAGUUGGAUUUGUUUUUGAUUUUAGUGUUUUCAGUCUAUUUUUCUAUUUCUGCUUUAACAUAACGGAAUAACUAAUGGUGGCUGCCUAAUGAUGACAGACUAAGUUUCUGAUUUAUUUUGUUAUAGAAGUGUAGAUUCAUUGGUAGCAAUUGUUUUCAGUGUCUCAUGUUGCUUGUAGUGUUUUGUCCAAAAUGUUGAAUGAUACUGCUUGGAGAUGCAUAUAUUGUUUCACCUCUUCACAUGCCAAUGUAUUUUCCAUGUUGUGAUGGAGGCCUUUUUUGCCUUGUCCACCCGAGAGGCCCUUGAGUUUGCCGGAAUGUCGAUUAACUUCCGUUCCGGCAAAUUCGGGUACUCCAUAUGUCCUAUUUUCAGCAAAGGUCAUGCUGAAAUUUUCCGUGAAUUUUAGCAUGACUUUGCUAAAAAUAGGACAUAUGGGGUACUUGUGACUAAUGCAUGGGCCGGUGUAUCUUAGUAGUAAAUUAAGUAGGAUCAAGUGCCCCGGCGUACUUGUGACUAAUGCAUGGCUUUUAGGGUGCCUCGGUGUCGAUAAAAACUGAAAUGAUGAAAGCUUAGGCUUUUAGGGUGCCUCGGCGUCGAAAAACCCUCAAUGAUAAAAGCUUAGCUUUUAGGAUGCCUCGGUGUCGACAAACCCUAAAUGAUGAGACCAUGAUCUUGUUCCUUGACAAUAACCAACUUUUUGACCAAACUUUGUUCCUAUUUAGAGAGAAACAUGGCCAACAACGAUGAGGCCGGGGGUUCGGGCGUCAAGGCAUUCUGGAAGCUGUCCCAGGAGAUGGAGGAACAACCUCACUUGUAUGAGGACGCCGCCUUCCCCACCGAUCUUGAGACCACUGAUGGUACCGCCGAGGAUGACCCCACUGAUGCCACCACUGAUGGUGCCGCCGAGGAUGCCACCACUGAUGAUGGCGGCGCACGCACAGAUGGCAGCCAACCGAAGAGGCAACGGAAGGACCGGCGCCCGACCGUGCUCCGCACCCUCAAGGAGGAAGUUACUGAAGUGGACUCCGACGGGAAUCCAACGGCGCCCGAACGAAUAGUCAAGGGGUACUCGCUUCAGCUCGGGUGCAUUCUACGGAGCACCGUCUCGAUCAACACCGAGAACCUGAGGCAUCCUGACCGAGGGAAUUUGCGCAACCUCCUCUUCACGAAGCUGCACGAACGAUACAAGUUCCCCGCUGAAUUUGAAAACACAAGCCUCAAAGGGAAUAAAGUGAACAAUGCUGCCCUCACGAAGAUGAGCAAGGCCCUGUCUACUUGGAAAAGCAAUCUGAAGAGAAUGAUCGAGAAAGGUGAGAGUUAUGAGAAGAUCAAGGAGAAAAAUCCUUCGAUCACCGAAGAUGACUACAACGACUUCAAGAUCAAUUGCUCGAGCACCGCAAACUCCGAAUCAAGUAAGUGGGGGAAAGAAAUGCGGGAGCUGAACUUAGGGGAACACACACUCGGUCCCGACGGUUACAGAGUGGCGGAGCCUAUAUGGGACAAGGAGGAGGCGGACCGUGCCGAGCAAGGCCUACCGCCCCUCUUCGAUAAAUACGGUGACAAGCAGACCAGGAACUUUGUCAGGGCCCGGUACAAGAAGGACCCGAAAACAAAGGAGCUUACCACGGAUCCGAAGACCAGGGCGCUUGAGCUUGUUCUGGUAAGGAAUACACCCCCGCGUAAUUAGCUCCAUAUGGUUGCAUUCUAAUUAAUGAAGCCAAAUUUCUAAAUGGUUCACAUUCCUUCCGCAGGCGACUGAAAGCAGUAGCGCGGGGUCGACUAAGAGCAACCCUUGGGACACCACUCUAAAUAGGGCGUGGAAUGUAAUGAAGAACAAGGAUAAGCUCAGUAAGCCGACGUCAGCUGGUCGUGUGGCCGGCAAAGGCUUGUCGACAAAAUGGUCGUCAUACUAUAACACUGGUGGGCGAAAGGAGAAAAAGACCAGCUCAGAAAGCCAGGCGCGCGAGGUUCAAGAACUCAGGGCACAGGUGGCGCGGAUUCCGGAGAUUGUCCAAGAGCAAGUGCAACAACAACUCGGAGUGACGAACACCGCCAUUGUGCCUACCUUGAUCCAGGGGAUUAGUGCGUGGAUUGCGGGCGGCCAACAGGGGCCGCCCCCGAUUCCUAGCUUCACGGCCAGCAACUCGCAGAACGCGAUGGCGGGGCCAUUGGUGUCUCCGGUGGAGGCGGCAUUGGUGUCUCCGACGCCGGCACGGGAGCUUAAUGCACCCGGGUGUACGCCGGCCGGCACCUCUGCAGCAAGCGGGCCCUCCGUCAACUACACGCCCGCCGUUGGCGGUGCCUCGACAUUAGCCGAGCUCGACGCCAUCAUCAUGGUAACUAAUUAAGCCUCUCUCGGCCGAGGACUUCAUCUCCUUGCCUUUUGACUGGGCAUCCCUAACGCCCUACAUGUUUUCGCAGGGCGCCGCCGACGUUCCGUGCACUCUCCUGCACUUCGUGAACAACGAGUUGGUCGAUGUCGCCAAGGGCAAAAUCGUUCAACCGGGCAACCCCUUGUUCCACGGUACCCAGAUGCCACCCAACUUGUUUAGGGUUCAACUGGUUCGGGUGCUGCCAGGCUGCGACGAGUUGUUACCUCUGAUUCGACCCAUCUGGGCCGACGAUGAUGACGUGAUGACCCUCAGCGCGUGCCUGAGCUGGCCCCUGCUUUGGCCGAAGAGCCAGAUUCGUUUGGGGGCGGGGGACACCACCCCAAAGACAACACCGCCAGUCGUGCCGGCGCCAAGUAGGCCCCAUGGCAAGACCGCCGCAACGGUGCCGGACAUCCCUAUGCCACUGGAUCCAAACAUGCAUAUGGCACAGGAUCAGAACGACGACGACGACGAUACAUUAGCCAACGUCGAUCAGUACUUUGCCGAUCAUGGGUACGGUGGCGACUUCAUGGGGCCUCCUUCUCAAGAACCCAACCCAACAAAAGACGUGCGCGAUCUAGCUGGUACCGUGGAGAAGCCAAGUUGCAAUAGGCGUCGUCUGCAGUUCAGCUCUCAGGAGACGCCUCCAGCUACCGACUUCACCGAGCCUCAGAUAGGCGAGGUGCGAAAUAUGAUCAGCCCCAACACACUCAAGAAGGCGGUCUGUGAGCAGAACUCGGUCCCAUUACAGGAGAAGAAGAAGGCACGCAAAAGAAAGACUAACAAGGGUGCGGGCCAGCUAGCACCGAGUACGAUCCGUGCUCAGGACGGGCCACCUUCAACUGAGGAUAUCUCGAGGAGGGUGCAUGUGGCGGGUAAGCCGAUGCUACCGAGAAAUAUGCUCGAUGUUGCAACCGGUGCUAUGCGGAGUCUGCAUGACAGUGUUCUUUCUUUGGAGAAGCGGCGUCUCGGAGAGAAGGAUGUGGCAUACCCGGUUUUCGCGGCCAAGGUGCCAGAGGGCAAGGGCUUUGUGGAUAACUCCAUCGGGGGUACGAUCGUCCUGCGGUUUGAUGACAUCCACGCUAUGUUGAACCUUCAUCCGCUGCACUACACCUUCGUUCGGCUAUUUUCGCUGAGUAUGGAGAUGCGGAUCAUUCGCGACAAGACCCCGGACAUCGUGAUAGUCGACCCCUUCUACAUGCGUGCCAAGAUCUUGGGCAGCGCUGGGGACCGGCAAGUCGCGAGUUCUUACCUCGAAGGCGUCAUUCUGGCAAACCAAGAUAAGGAUAACUUCCUCGUGCCUUACUUUCCCGAGUAAGUCCUCCCCUCAACCGCCCCGUAACAUAUGAAUUCUUAGAUUUCGAUCGUUUUUCUUUUAACAUUCCGUGUUUUCUGCAGUGACACACAUUGCACGCUCAUCCUCCUAAGCCCCAAAUAUUCCAUGGCCACGUAUUUCGACCCGGACCGUCAGUCGAACGUAGACUACACAAAUGUCAAGAAGGUUCUUGAUGAUGUUCUCCCCAGCUACGUCAAAUCUGGAGGCACCUUCACGAGGCCUAUUCGUAAGUACGGCAAGCACGUGUUCUCCCACAAUACGACGUUCUGCUGCGUCAAGCAGCCGCCUGGCGGUCAGAAGGGUGCCUACUACGCCAUCCAUCACAUGCGGGCGAUCGUACGGGACCAUCAUCAACUUCUGCUACCGAGUAGACUCAAAGAUUGGGCCGCGAGCGUGUCGGCAAUCCAGGACGCGGACAUCAGACAAGAAUUCUUUCGCAUCCAGUCGGAGUUUGCGGAAAUCAUCCAUCAAGAUGUCCUUCGUACCUCGGGGCAGUUCUACCUCAGAAAUCAACCGUCCAACAGUGACAUCGACACAAUCCUACAAAUGCAGGCUGACAACGCCCGUUGUUUCAUGACUCCCACGAUAGACGGCGGCUUCAUCCACGCUCCGGUCCCUUGAGUCGAGUCGAAAGCAGUGAUGCUGUGUCUAGUUCUGAAACAUCAAUUGGCUCAUGUUGUAAUUAAACUUUAAUGAACUUGUAGUAUGUCUCUUUGGUUUCGAGAGUCCUUCAACUUAGAUGUAAUCGAUGCUAUUAAUGUCUUGCUUUUCUCUUCCGAUCGUUCUGUUGCAUACUUAUAUAUUGCUUAUGUAUUGUCUGUGAAUUGGUACUAACGUUUCGUUUGGCUACUGCAUAGCGAUGCCGUGGUAUGUCGUGUACAAGGGUAAGGUUCCCGGAGUCUACGACGACUGGGAGGAGUGUCGGAGACAGGUUCACCGAUUCAGCGGUAACAGUUACAAAGGGUACGCCACUAGGGCCGAGGCCGAAUCUAGAUACGCCCGCUAUCUAGUGGGAGAGGGGAGGGAGCGUUGGAGGAACCGGAUGAAGACGAGUUUCAUCGUGAUGAUGCUCAUCGUGAUGACCGCAGCUCUCUUCUAUGUGAUGGUAGUUUAGAUGAUCGAUAUCGACUUGUAAUGUGAAGACAAACUCGCGGUCUCGAGACUUGUAAUAUAAUGUUCUAUCUUUGUUCGGUCUUUUCAAUUCGGAGACUAAUAUGAUGAAUUGUAUUCGGAGACUAAAAUGAUGAAUUGUAUUCAGAGACUAAUCUUCUAUUGUAUUCGAUGAAUCUGUUGUUGAUGUGUGCUGUCUAUAUUUUGUCCAAUUAUACAUUUUGUAACCUGUGCAAAAAACAGAAAAUAAAAAAAUAAAAAAACUAAUAUUCAUACUAAUGGCGCAUCACAUCAUAGUGCGCCAUUAGUAUGCCAAAGUAUACUAAUGGCGCAUCACUAAACAGUGCGCCAUUAGUAUGCCGAAGUUACUAAUGGCGCAUCCUGUUGUUGUGCGCCAUUAGUAUGCCAAAGCACCUGGGUAUAGAUGCCCCCCUGGGAGGCAUACUAAUGGCGCACUGUUGUAUAUACUAAUAGCGCAUCUGGGGUGCGCCAUUAGUAAAAUAUACUAAUGGCGUGGCACUAAUGGCGCACCACUAAUGCGCCAUUAAUGGCCAAAUUAGGUGCGCCAUUAGUAGGCCUUUUCCUAGUAGUGUGAUGAGGUGAUAGUCACCCCUUCCGAACCGGAAAGUAGCGCAGCGCGGGAAAAUGUUCCUGUGGUGCCUACACCGACUGGGGAGGAAGUUAAUGAUGAUGAUCAUGAAGCUUCGGAUCAAGUUACUGAACUUCGUAGGUCCACAAGGACACGUUCCACACCAGAGUGGUACGGCAACCCUGUCCUGGAAAUCAUGUUGUUAGACAACGGUGAACCUUCGAACUAUGAAGAAGCGAUGGCAGGCCCGGAUUCCGACAAAUGGCUAGAAGCCAUGAAAUCCGAGAUAGAAUCCAUGUAUGAAAACAAAGUAUGGACUUUGACAGACUUGCCCGAUGAGGGGCGAGCCAUAGAAAACAAAUGGAUCUUUAAGAAGAAGACGGACGCAGAUGGUAAUGUGACCAUCUACAAAGCUCGACUUGUCGCUAAGGGUUAUCGACAAGUUCAAGGGGUUGACUACGAUGAGACUUUCUCACCCGUAGCGAAGCUGAAGUCCGUCCGAAUCAUGUUAGCAAUUGCCGCAUACUAUGAUUAUGAGAUAUGGAAGAUGGACGUCAAAACGGCAUUCCUUAACGGCUUCCUUAAGGAAGAGUUGUAUAUGAUGCAGCCGGAAGGUUUUGUCGAUCCUAAGAAUGCUAACAAAGUAUGCAAGCUCCAGCGCUCAAUCUAUGGGCUGGUGCAAGCAUCUCGGAGUUGGAACAUUCGCUUUGAUGAGAUGAUCAAAGCGUUUGGGUUUACACAGACUUAUGGAGAAGCCUGUGUUUACAAGAAAGUGAGUGGGAGCUCUGUAGCAUUUCUCAUAUUAUAUGUGGAUGACAUACUAUUGAUGGGAAAUGAUAUAGAAUUCUUGGAAAGUAUGAAGGUCUAUUUGAAUAAGUGUUUUUCAAUGAAGGACCUUGGAGAAGCUGCUUAUAUAUUAGGCAUCAAGAUCUAUAGAGAUAGAUCGAGACGCCUCAUUGGUCUUUCACAGAGUACAUACCUUGACAAGAUAUUGAAGAAGUUCAAUAUGGAUCAGUCCAAGAAGGGGUUCUUGCCUGUAUUGCAAGGUGUGCAAUUGAGCACGGCUCAAUGUCCGACCACGGCAGAAGAUAUAGAAAAGAUGAGUGUCAUCCCCUAUGCCUCGGCCAUAGGGUCUAUUAUGUAUGCCAUGCUGUGUACCAGACCUGAUGUAAACCUUGCCGUAAGUUUGGUAGGAAGGUACCAAAGUAAUCCCGGCAUGGAACACUGGACAGCGGUCAAGAAUAUCCUAAGUACCUGAAGAGGACUAAGGAUAUGUUUCUCGUUUAUGGAGUUGACGAAGAGCUCGUCGUAAAGGGUUACGUCGACGCUAGCUUCGACACAGAUCUGGAUGACUCAAAGUCACAAACCGGAUACGUGUAUAUUUUGAAUGGAGGAGCAGUAAGCUGGUGCAGUUGCAAGCAAAGUGUCGUGGCGGGGUCUACAUGUGAAGCGGAGUACAUGGCAGCCUCAGAGGCAGCACAGGAAGCAGUCUGGAUGAAGGAGUUCAUUACCGACCUAGGGGUGAUUCCCAAUGCGUCGGGCCCGAUGACUCUCUUCUGUGACAACACUGGAGCUAUUGCCCUUGCGAAGGAGCCCAAGUUUCACAGGAAGACCAGGCAUAUCAAGCGUCGCUUCAACUCCAUUCGUGAAAGUGUUCAAAAUGGAGACAUAGAUAUUUGUAAAGUACACACGGACCUGAAUGUAGCAGAUCCGUUGACUAAACCUCUCCCUAGGGCAAAACAUGAUCAACACCAGGACGCAAUGGGUGUUCGAUUCAUCACAAUGUAACUAGAUUAUUGACUCUAGUGCAAGUGGGAGACUGUUGGAAAUAUGCCCUAGAGGCAAUAAUAAAUGGUUAUUAUUAUAUUUCUUUGUUCAUGGUAAUUGUCUAUUAUUCAUGCUAUAAUUGUAUUGUCCGGAAAUCGUAAUACAUGUGUGGAUACAUAGACCACAACGUGUCCCUAGUAAGCCUCUAGUUGACUAGCUCGUUGAUCAACUGAUAGUCAUGGUUUCCUGGCUAUGGACAUUGGAUGUCAUUGAUAACGGGAUCACAUCAUUAGGAGAAUGAUGUGAUGGACAAGACCCAAUCCUAAGCAUAGCAUAAAAGAUCGUGUAGUUUCGUUUGCUAGAGCUUUUCCAAUGUCAAGUAUCUUUUCCUUAGACCAUGAGAUCGUGCAACUCCCGGAUACCGUAGGAGUGCUUUGGGUGUGCCAAACGUCACAACGUAACUGGGUGACUAUAAAGGUGCACUACGGGUAUCUCCGAAAGUGUCUGUUGGGUUGGCACGGAUCGAGACUGGGAUUUGUCACUCCGUAUGACGGAGAGGUAUCUCUGGGCCCACUCGGUAAUGCAUCAUCAUAAUGAGCUCUAUGUGACUAAGGCGUUAGUCACGGGAUCAUGCAUUGCGGUACGAGUAAAGAGACUUGCCGGUAACGAGAUUGAACAAGGUAUUGGGAUACCGACGAUCGAAUCUCGAGCAAGUAACAUACCGAUUGACAAAGGGAAUUGCAUACGGGAUUGAUUGAAUCCUCGACACCGUGGUUCAUCCGAUGAGAUCAUCGUGGAACAUGUGGGAGCCAACAUGGGUAUCCAGAUCCCGCUGUUGGUUAUUGACCGGAGAGGCGUCUCGGUCAUGUCUGCAUGUCUCCCGAACCCGUAGGGUCUACACACUUAAGGUUCGGUGACGCUAGGGUUGUAGAGAUAUAUGUAUGCGGAAACCCGAAAGUUGUUCGGAGUCCCGGAUGAGAUCCCGGACGUCACGAGAGGUUCCGGAAUGGUCCGGAGGUGAAGAAUUAUAUAUAGGAAGUCAAGUUUCGGCCACCGGGAAAGUUUCGGGGGUUACCGGUAUUGUACUGGGACCACCGGAAGGGUCCCGGGGGUCCACCGGGUGGGGCCACCUGUCCCGGAGGGCCCCGUGAACUGAAAGUGGAAGGGAACCAGCCCUUAGUGGGCUGGGGCGCCCCCCUUGGGCCUCCACCCAUGCGCUAGGGUUGGGAACCCUAGGGGGGAGCUUCCCCCUUGCCUUGGGGGGCAAGGCACCCCUUUCCACUCCUUGGCCGCCGCCCCCCCAACCCUAGAUGGGUUUUGGCCGGCCCCCCUCCCAAGGGGGCCUAUAUAAAGGGGGGAGGGAGGGCAGCAACACACAGCCUUGGGCGCCUCCCUCCUCCCCUGCAACACCUCUCUCUCUCUCUCUCUCUCUCUCUCUCUCUCUCUCUCUCUCUCUCUCUCUCUCUCUCUCGCAGAAGCUCGGCAAAGCCCUGCCGGAGACCCGCUACAUCCACCACCACGCCGUCGUGCUGUUGGAUCUCCAUCAACCUCUCCUUCCCCCUUGCUGGAUCAAGAAGGAGGAGACAUCGCUGCACCGUACGUGUGUUGAACGCGGAGGUGCCGUCCGUUCGACACUCGGUCAUCGGUGAUUUGGAUCACGGCGAGUACGACUCCGUCAUCCACGCUCAUUGGAACGCUUCCGCUCACGAUCUACAAGGGUAUGUAGAUGCACUCCUUUCCCCUCGUUGCUAGUAGACUCCAUAGAUGCAUCUUGGUGAGCGUAGGAAAAUUUUAAAUUAUGCUACGAUUCUCAACAGUGGCAUCAUGAGCCAGGCCUAUGCGUAGUUACUAUGCACGAGUAGAAGACAAAGCAGUUGUGGGCGUUGAGUUUGCCAAUUCUUCUUGCCGCUACUAGUCGUUUCUUGUUUCGGCGGCAUUGUAGGAUGAAGCGGCCCGGACCGACCUUACACGUACGCUUACGUGAGACAGGUUCCACCGACUGACAUGCACUAGUUGCAUAAGGUGGCUAGAGGGUGUCUGUCUCUCCUACUUUAGUCGGAACGGAUUCGAUGAAAAGGGUCCUUAUGAAGGGUAAAUAGAAAUUGGCAAAUCACGUUGUGGUCAUACGUAGGUAAGAAAACGUUCUUGCUAGAAACCUACAAACCACGUAAAAACUUGCAACAACAAUUAGAGGACGUCUAACUUGUUUUUGCAGCAAGUGCUAUGUGAUGUGAUAUGGCCAGAAGAUGUGAUGAAUGAUAUAUGUGAUGUAUGAGAUUGAUCAUAUUCUUGUAAUAGGAAUCACGACUUGCAUGUCGAUGAGUAUGACAACCGGCAGGAGCCAUAGGAGUUGUCUUUAUUAUUUUGCAUGACCUGCGUGUCAUUGAAUAACGCCAUGUAAUUUACUUUACUUUGUUGCUAAACGCGUUAGCCAUACAAGUAGAAGUAAUCGUUGGCGUGACGACUUCAUNNNNNNNNNNNNNNNNNNNNNNNNNNNNNNNNNNNNNNNNNNNNNNNNNNNNNNNNNNNNNNNNNNNNNNNNNNNNNNNNNNNNNNNNNNNNNNNNNNNNNNNNNNNNNNNNNNNNNNNNNNNNNNNNNNNNNNNNNNNNNNNNNNNNNNNNNNNNNNNNNNNNNNNNNNNNNNNNNNNNNNNNNNNNNNNNNNNNNNNNNNNNNNNNNNNNNNNNNNNNNNNNNNNNNNNNNNNNNNNNNNNNNNNNNNNNNNNNNNNNNNNNNNNNNNNNNNNNNNNNNNNNNNNNNNNNNNNNNNNNNNNNNNNNNNNNNNNNNNNNNNNNNNNNNNNNNNNNNNNNNNNNNNNNNNNNNNNNNNNNNNNNNNNNNNNNNNNNNNNNNNNNNNNNNNNNNNNNNNNNNNNNNNNNNNNNNNNNNNNNNNNNNNNNNNNNNNNNNNNNNNNNNNNNNNNNNNNNNNNNNNNNNNNNNNNNNNNNNNNNNNNNNNNNNNNNNNNNNNNNNNNNNNNNNNNNNNNNNNNNNNNNNNNNNNNNNNNNNNNNNNNNNNNNNNNNNNNNNNNNNNNNNNNNNNNNNNNNNNNNNNNNNNNNNNNNNNNNNNNNNNNNNNNNNNNNNNNNNNNNNNNNNNNNNNNNNNNNNNNNNNNNNNNNNNNNNNNNNNNNNNNNNNNNNNNNNNNNNNNNNNNNNNNNNNNNNNNNNNNNNNNNNNNNNNNNNNNNNNNNNNNNNNNNNNNNNNNNNNNNNNNNNNNNNNNNNNNNNNNNNNNNNNNNNNNNNNNNNNNNNNNNNNNNNNNNNNNNNNNNNNNNNNNNNNNNNNNNNNNNNNNNNNNNNGAUGUGAUCGCCGUCGGCACGCUACCUCUGCAUCUACCCACGGGAUUAGUUUUAAACCUCAGUAAUUGUUAUUUAGUGCCAGCUUUGAGCAUGAACAUUGUAUCUGGAUCUCGUUUAAUUCGAGAUGGCUACUCAUUUAAAUCCGAGAAUAAUGGUUGUUCUAUUUAUUUGAGAGAUAUGUUUUAUGGUCAUGCCCCGCUGGUCAAUGGUUUAUUUUUGAUGAAUCUCGAACGUGAUGUUACACAUGUUCAUAGUGUGAAUACCAAAAGAUGUAAAGUUGAUAACAAUAGUCCCACAUACUUGUGGCACUGCCGCCUUGGUCACAUUGGUGUCAAGCGCAUGAAGAAGCUCCAUGCAGAUGGACUUUUGGAGUCUCUUGAUUACGAAUCAUUUGACACGUGCGAACCAUGCCUCAUGGGUAAGAUGACCAAGACUCCGUUCUCCGAAACAAUGGAGCGAGCAACCAACUUAUUGGAAAUCAUACAUACCGAUGUGUGCGGUCCAAUGAGUGUUGAGGCUCGUGGAGGAUAUCGUUAUGUUCUCACUCUCACUGAUGAUUUAAGUAGAUAUGGGUAUGUCUACCUAAUGAAACACAAGUCUGAAACCUUUGAAAAGUUCAAGGAAUUUCAUAGUGAAGUUGAGAAUCAACGUGACAGGAAAAUAAAAUUCUUAUGAUCAGAUCGUGGGAGAGAAUAUUUAAGUCACGAGUUUGGUGCACACUUAAGGAAAUGUGGAAUAUUUUCACAACUCACGCCGCCUGGAACACCUCAGAGAAAUGGUGUGUCCGAACGUCGUAAUCGCACUCUAUUGGAUAUGGUGCGAUCUAUGAUGUCUCUUACCGAUUUACCGCUCUCAUUUUAGGGCUAUGCUUUAGAGACUGCCGCAUUCACUUUAAAUAGGGCUCCGUCGAAAUCCGUUGAGACGACACCGUAUGAAUUAUGGUUUGGGAAGAAACCUAAGCUGUCGUUUCUAAAAGUUUGGGGAUGCGAUGCUUAUGUCAAGAAACUUCAACCUGAAAAGCUCGAACCCAAGUCGUAAAAAUGCGUCUUCAUAGGAUACCCUAAGGAAACUAUUGGGUAUACCUUCUACCUCAGAUCCGAGGGAAAGAUCUUCGUUGCCAAGAACGGGUCCUUUCUAGAGAAGGAGUUUCUCUCGAAAGAAUUGAGUGGGAGGAAAGUGGAACUUGAUGAGGUGAUAGUCACCCCUUCCGAACCGGAAAGUAGCGCAGCGCGGGAAAAUGUUCCUAUGGUGCCUACACCGACUGGGGAGGAAGUUAAUGAUGAUGAUCAUGAAGCUUCAGAUCAAGUUACUGAACUUCGUAGGUCCACAAGGACACGUUCCGCACCAGAGUGGUACGGCAACCCUGUCCUGGAAAUCAUGUUGUUAGACAACGGUGAACCUUCGAACUAUGAAGAAGCGAUGGCGGGCCCGGAUUCCGACAAAUGGCUAGAAGCCAUGAAAUCCGAGAUAGAAUCCAUGUAUGAAACCAAAGUAUGGACUUUGACUGACUUGCCCGAUGAGCGGCGAGCCAUAGAAAACAAAUGGAUCUUUAAGAAGAAGACGGACGCAGAUGGUAAUGUGACCAUCUACAAAGCUCGACUUGUUGCUAAGGGUUAUCGACAAGUUCAAGGGGUUGACUACGAUGAGACUUUCUCACCCGUAGCGAAGCUGAAGUCCGUCCGAAUCAUGUUAGCAAUUGCCGCAUACUAUGAUUAUGAGAUAUGGCAGAUGGACGUCAAAACGGCAUUCCUUAACGGCUUCCUUAAGGAAGAGUUGUAUAUGAUGCAGCCGGAAGGUUUUGUCGAUCCUAAGAAUGCUAACAAAGUAUGCAAGCUCCAGCGCUCAAUCUAUGGGCUGGUGCAAGCAUCUCGGAGUUGGAACAUUCGCUUUGAUGAGAUGAUCAAAGCGUUUGGGUUUACACAGACUUAUGGAGAAGCCUGUGUUUACAAGAAAGUGAGUGGGAGCUCUGUAGCAUUUCUCAUAUUAUAUGUGGAUGACAUAGUAUUGAUGGGAAAUGAUAUAGAAUUCUUGGAAAGUAUAAAGGCCUAUUUGAAUAAGUGUUUUUCAAUGAAGGACCUUGGAGAAGCUGCUUAUAUAUUAGGCAUCAAGAUCUAUAGAGAUAGAUCAAGACGCCUCAUUGGUCUUUCACAAAGUACAUACCUUGACAAGAUAUUGAAGAAGUUCAAUAUGGAUCAGUCCAAGAAGGGGUUCUUGCCUGUAUUGCAAGGUGUGCAAUUGAGCACGGCUCAAUGCCCGACCACGGCAGAAGAUAGAGAAAAGAUGAGUGUCAUCCCCUAUGCCUCGGCCAUAGGGUCUAUUAUGUAUGCCAUGCUGUGUACCAUACCUGAUGUAAACCUUGCCGUAAGUUUGGUAGGAAGGUACCAAAGUAAUCCCGGCAUGGAACACUGGACAGCGGUCAAGAAUAUCCUGAAGUACCUGAAAAGGACUAAGGAUAUGUUUCUCGUUUAUGGAGGUGACGAAGAGCUCGUCGUAAAGGGUUACGUCGACGCUAGCUUCGACACAGAUCUGGAUGACUCGAAGUCACAAACCGGAUACGUGUAUAUUUUGAAUGGAGGAGCAGUAAGCUGGUGCAGUUGCAAGCAAAGCGUCGUGGCGGGAUCUACAUGUGAAGCGGAGUACAUGGCAGCCUCGGAGGCAGCACAGGAAGCAGUCUGGAUGAAGGAGUUCAUUACCGACCUAGGGGUGAUUCCCAAUGCGUCGGGCCCGAUGACUCUAUUCUGUGACAACACUGGAGCUAUUGCCCUUGCGAAGGAGCCCAGAUUUCACAGGAAGACCAGGCAUAUCAAGCGUCGCUUCAACUCCAUUCGUGAAAGUGUUCAAAAUGGAGACAUAGAUAUUUGUAAAGUACAUACGGACCUGAAUGUAGCAGAUCCGUUGACUAAACCUCUCCCUAGAGCAAAACAUGAUCAACACCAGGACGCAAUGGGUGUUCGAUUCAUCACAAUGUAACUAGAUUAUUGACUCUAGUGCAAGUGGGAGACUGUUGGAAAUAUGCCCUAGAGGCAAUAAUAAAUGGUUAUUAUUAUAUUUCUUUGUUCAUGGUAAUUGUCUAUUGUUCAUGCUAUAAUUGUAUUGUCCGGAAAUCGUAAUACAUGUGUGAAUACAUAGACCACAACGUGUCCCUAGUAAGCCUCUAGUUGACUAGCUCGUUGAUCAACAGAUAGUCAUGGUUUCCUGACUAUGGACAUUGGAUGUCAUUGAUAACGGGAUCACAUCAUUAGGAGAAUGAUGUGAUGGACAAGACCCAAUCCUAAGCAUAGCAUAAAAGAUCGUGUAGUUUCGUUUGCUAGAGCUUUUCCAAUGUCAAGUAUCUUUUCCUUAGACCAUGAGAUCGUGCAACUCCCGGAUACCGUAGGAGUGCUUUGGGUGUGCCAAAUGUCACAACGUAACUGGGUGACUAUAAAGGUGCACUACGGGUAUCUCCAAAAGUGUUUGUUGGGUUGGCACGGAUCGAGACUGGGAUUUGUCACUCCGUGUGACGGAGAGGUAUCUCUGGGCCCACUCGGUAAUGCAUCAUCAUAAUGAGCUCAAUGUGACUAAGGCGUUAGUCACGGGAUCAUGCAUUGCGGUACGAGUAAAGAGACUUGCCGGUAACGAGAUUGAACAAGGUAUUGGGAUACCGACGAUCGAAUCUCGGGCAAGUAACAUACCGAUUGACAAAGGGAAUUGCAUACAGAUUGAUUGAAUCCUCGACACCGUGGUUCAUCCGAUGAGAUCAUCGUGGAACAUGUGGUAGCCAACAUGGGUAUCCAGAUCCCGCUGUUGGUUAUUGACCGGAGAGGCGUCUCGGUCAUGUCUGCAUGUCUCCCGAACCCGUAGGGUCUACACACUUAAGGUUCGGUGACGCUAGGGUUGUAGAGAUAUAUGUAUGCGGAAACCCGAAAGUUGUUCGGAGUCCCGGAUGAGAUCCCGGACGUCAUGAGAGGUUCCGGAAUGGUCCGAAGGUGAAGAAUUAUAUAUAGGAAGUCAAGUUUCGGCCACCGGGAAAGUUUCGGGGGUUACCGGUAUUGUACCGGGACCACCGGAAGGGUCCCGGGGGUCCAUCGGGUGGGGCCACCUAUCCCGGAGGGCCCCGUGGGCUGAAAGUGGAAGGGAACCAGCCCUUAGUGGGCUGGGGCGCCCCCCUUGGGCCUCCCCCCAUGCGCCUAGGGUUGGGAACCCUAGGGGGGGGGAGCUUCCCCCUUGCCUUGGGGGGCAAGGCACCCCUUCCCCCCCACUUGGCCGCCGCCCCCCUUGGAGAUCUGUUCUCCCAAGGGCUGGCCCCCCCCAGGGGUCCUAUAAAUAGUGGGGGGGGGGAGGGAGGGCAGCAACACACAUCCUUGGGCGCCUCCCUCCUCCCCUGCAACACCUCUCUCUCUCUCUCUCGCAGAAGCUUGGCAAAGCCCUGCCGAGACCCGCUACAUCCACCACCACGCCGUCGUGCUGCUGGAUCUCCAUCAACCUCUCCUUCCCCCUUGCUGGAUCAAGAAGGAGGAGACGUCGCUGCACCGUACGUGUGUUGAACGCGGAGGUGCCGUCCGUUCGGCACUCGGUCAUCGGUGAUUUGGAUCACGGCGAGUACGACUUCGUCAUCCACGUUCAUUGGAACGCUUCCGCUCGCAAUCUACAAGGGUAUGUAGAUGCACUCCCUUCCCCUCGUUGCUAGUAUACUCCAUAGAUGCAUCUUGGUGAGCGUAGGAAAAUUUUAAAUUAUGCUACGAUUCCCAACAUAUCUAACACACAAGAAGAACGCAAAAAAAAGAAAAAUAAACUAGCAUGGAUAUUACAGUGAAAGAGUAUGCGCACCGACAUCUAGCAAUGAGUGUGUGAACAUAAAUGUAAUGUCGGUGGGAAAUACGUACUCCCCCAAGCUUAGGCUUUUGGCCUAAGUUGGUUUAUUGCCACGGAUGGCCUGGCGGAUAUCCGUAGUUGUAGCCGGGGUCGUACUGAGAUGAAGAAGACUCUGACUGCCACUGGCUGGCAGUCAUCUCCGGAUCCCAACAGUAAUCAGACUGUCGUCUAGGCUCAAAUUGUAGUUCCGGCUCAGGGGCUGGUGUAGGGUUCCUGUAGGCGUAAAUGGCCGCCCACGGAACGAGAUACGGGCCUUCAGAUAAAUUAAACAAUGAAGGAGCAGGCAAGGUAAUAGUCUCAGGGUGAUGUUUAUCAAAGAACAAUUUGUAUUUAAGCUCCCCUUCCUUGUUCUUAACAAUAAAGUCAUGCGCUACCAUACUCUUAUAAUCUAAAUAAUCAGUGGGCAGCAAUUUUUCUUCUUUUUCAUAGUGCCUAAUAGGUAUAUGAUAAUAUGUAGCAAGGCGUGAAGCGUAAAUACCUCCAAAGAUGGGACCCUUAGUACGGUUCAGACUUAACCGUUUAGCAAUAAUACCGCCCAUACUAACAGUGUUAUCGGAAAAUAAACCAUGGAACAAAAUGAUAAUAUCAGGAACACUAAGGUUUCCACAGUUUCCGCGACCAAUCAAGCAACGACUAGCAAAUAUGGCAAAGUAGCGUAAAACAGGAAAAUGUAUGCUAGUGAUUCUUGCAUCGGAAACCUUCCUGGUUUCCCCCACAGUAAUGGUGUCAAUAAACCCGUCCACAUCUUUACGAUGUGGUUCAUCUAAGGUACCCUCGAAGGGUAUUUUGCAAACCUUGCAAAAUUCAUCUAGUGGCAUCUUCUUAACAACAUCAUAUAAAUGAAACUCUACUGAAGGAGGUGAAUCCUUAGGAAAAUAGUAGAAGUUUUGCACAAAAGUAUUGUGAGUAAGAGAUACUGAUGACGUUGGUCGCGGAGGAAGUCGGUGAGGCCAACAUUCUCAGCCAAUGAAUAGAAAUCAUCAUAAAUCAUGGCUUCUCUCAAAGGCCAUUCACACGGCCGGACCUCCGCGGUGCGAGGCAAAUUAUAUUUGGGCCUCUGUGCUUCCUCACUUUGCUUUUCCUUCGAGCUUCGGCUCGAUGAGCCCCUCAAAAAUCUCUUCAUUAUUUUCUAAAAAUUUCCGAAAUUUUUAGUAACUUCAAACAAAAGUGAACCAAGCUCAACAAAAUUGAUAGCAACUACUCCUACAAGUGCCUAGAGCCUAUAUCAUGCAUUAGAACUACUUGGAACCAUAUAAAUUUGACAUGCAAGCUCAAGAACGUGGUCACCUAGGCAACACAAAUUUGCAAUGAAUAAAGCACUAGAACAAAAACUAAUUGGACCAAUGGAGGAGUCACAUACCAAGGAACAAUCUCCCCAAGCAGUUUUGUGAGAGGUGCUUUGAGCAAGGAGAUCAAAAAUCGCAGCAAAGUGAGCUAGAACUCGUGCUUGAGCUGGAUAUUGGUGUUUGUGGGAGGAAGAAGGAGUGUGUGGGUGCAGGAAUAAGUGGAGGGGGGCCACCAUGGGCCCACGAGGCAGGGGCGCGCACAGGGGGGUAGGGCGCGCCCUCCACCCUCGUGGCCAGGUGCUUGCCCCUCCUGCUGUGUUCUCAGUGCCAGAUAUUCUCAAAUAUUCCAGAAAAAAUCAUAUUCCAUUUUCAUGGCAUUUGGAGAACUUUUAUUUUUGGGGUAUUUUUAUAUUGCACAGAUAAAUCAGAAAACAGACAGAAAAAAAUACUAUUUUUACUUUAUUUCAACUAAAUAACAGAAAGUAGAAAGAGGGUACAGAAGGUUGUGCCUUCUAGUUUCAUCCAUCUCGUGCUCAUCAAAAGGAAUCCACUAACAAGGUUGAUCAAGUCUUGUUAACAAACUCAUUCCGAAUAACAUGAAACCGGAGAAAUUUCGAAUAACACUAUGUUACCUCAACGGGGAUAUGCACAUCUCCAAUAAUAAGAAUAUCAUAUUUGUUCUUGACAGUAGGAAGAGGAAAUUCAAAACCUCCAAAUAUAAUCGAUGGAAUUUUUCCAAUAGAAUUGAUACUAUGAACUUGAGGUUGUUUCCUCGGAAAGUGUACCGUAUGCUCAUUACCAUUAACAUGAAAAGUGACAUUGCCUUUGUUGCAAUCAAUAACAGCCCCUGCAGUAUUCAAAAAAGGUCUUCCAAGAAUAAUCGACAUACUAUCGUCCUCGGGAAUAUCAAGAAUAACAAUGUCCGUUAAAAUAGUAACGUUUGCAACCACAACAGGCACAUCCUCACAAAUAUCGACAGGUAUAGCAGUUGAUUUAUCAGCCAUUUGCAAAGAUAUUUCAGUAGGUGUCAACUUAUUCAAAUCAAGUCUACGAUAUAAAGAGAGAGGCAUAACUCUAACACCGGCUCCAAGAUCACAUAAAGCAGUUUUAACAUAAUUUCUUUUAAUGGAGCAUGGUAUAGUAGGUACUCCUGGAUCUCCAAGUUUCUUUGGUAUUCCACCUUAAAAGUAUAAUUAGCAAGCAUGGUGGAAAUCUCAGCUUCUGGUAUCUUUCUUUUAUUAGUAACAAUUUCUUUCAUAUACUUAGCAUAAUGAUUCAUUUUGAGCAUAUCAGUUAAUCGCAUACGCAAAAAGAUAGGUCUAGUAUAUUUCAGCAAAGCGCUCAAAAUCCUCAUCAUCCUUUUUCUUGGAUGGUUUGGGAGGAAAGGGCAUGGGUUUCUGAACCCAAGGUUCUCUUUCUUUGCCAUGUUUCCUAGCAACAAAGUCUCUCUUAUCAUAACGUUGAUUCUUUGAUUGUGGGUUAUCAAGAUCAACAACAGGUUCAAUUUCUACAUCAUCAUCAUUACUAGGUUGAGCAUCAUCAUGAACAUCGUCAUUAGCAUUUUCAUUAGGUUCAUGUUCAUUACCAGAUUGUGUUUUAGCAUCAGAAAUAGAGAUAUCAUUUGGAUUCUCAGGUGGUUCAGCAAUAGGUUCACUAGAAGCAUGCAAAGUCCUACCAUCUUUCUUUUUCUUCCUUUUAGAAGGACUAGGUGCAUCAAUAUUAUUUCUCUGAGAAUCUUGCUCAAUUCUCUUAGGGUGGCCUUCAGGAUACAAAGGUUACUGAGUCAUUCUACCAGUUCUAGUAGCCACUCUAACAUCAUAAUCAUUAUUCUUACUAUUCAUUUCAUUGAGCAAAUCAUUUUGAGCUUUAAGUACUUGUUCUACUUGAGUGGUAACCAUAGAAGCAUGUUUACUAAUAAGUUUAAGUUCACCUUUAACUCUAGACAUGUAAUCACCCAAGUGUUCAAUCAUAUAAGCAUUUUGUUUUAAUUGUCUACCAAAAUAAGCAUUAAAAUCUUCUUGCUUAACCAUAAAGUUACCAAACUCAUCCAAGCAUUGGCUAGCAAUUUUAGUAGGAGGGAUUUCAGCUUUAUCAUAUCUAUAGAGAGAAUUUACCUUUACUACCUGUGUCGGGUUAUCAAGACCAUGAGUUUCUUCAAUAGGUGCAUGAUUAAGAUCAUAUGUUUCUUUUUCUUUCAUAGAUUUCUUUGCCUCUUGCAUAUCUUCAGGACUGAGAAAUAGAACACCUCUCUUCUUCGGAGUUGGUUUAGGAAUAGGCUCAGGAGCUGGCUCAGGAAGUGUCCAAUUAUUUUCAUUUGUCAACAUAUUAUUCAAUAGAAUUUCAGCUUCAUCCGGUGUUCUUUCCCUGAAAAUAGAACCAGCACAACUAUCCAGGUAAUCUCUGGAAGCAUCGGUUAGUCCAUUAUAAAAGAUAUCAAGUAUUUCAUUUUUCUUAAGAGGAUGAUCAGGCAAAGCAUUAAGUAACUUGAGAAGCCUCCCCCAAGCUUGUGGGAGACCCUCUUCUUCAAUUUGCAUAAAAUUGUAUAUUUCCCUCAAAGCAGCUUGUUUCUUAUGAGCAGGGAAAUAUUUAGCAGAGAAGUAAUAAAUCAUAUCCUGGGGACUACACACACAACCAGGAUCAAGAGAAUUAAACCAGAUCUUAGCAUCACCCUUUAAUGAGAACGGAAAUAUUUUAAGGAUAUAAAGAUAGCGAGAUCUCUCAUCAUUAGUGAACAGGGGUGGCUAUAUCAUUUAAUUUAGUAAGAUGUGCCACAACAGUUUCAGAUUCAUAGCCAUGAAAAGGAUCAGAUUCAACAAAAGUAAUUAUAUCAGGAUCAACAGAGAAUUCAUAAUCCUUAUCAGUAACACAGAUAGGUGAAGUAGCAAAAGCAGGGUCAGGUUUCAUUCUAGCAUUAAGAGAUUGCUGCCUCCAUUUAGCUAAUAACCUCUUGAGCUCAUAUCUAUCUUUGCAAGCUAAAAUAGCUAAAGCAACUUCUUUUUCAAAAAUAUAACCCUCAGGAAUAACAGGCGAGUCUUCAUCAUCACUUUCAUCAAUAUAAUCAGUUUCAAUAAUUUCUUUCUCUCUAACCCUAGCAAUUUGUUCAUCAAGAAAUUCACUAAGUGGCACAGUAGUAUCAAGCAUAGAAGUAGUUUCAUCAUAAGUAUCAUGCAUAGCAGAAGUGGCAUCAUCAAUAACAUGCGACAUAUCAGAACGAAUAGCAGAAGCAGGUUUAGGUGUCGCAAGCUUACUCAAAACAGAAGGUGAAUGAAGUGCAGAGCUAGAUGGCAGUUCCUUACCUCCCCUCGUAGUUGAGGGAUAAAUUAUUGUCUUAGCGUCUUUCAAGUUCUUCAUAGUGACCAGCAGAUAUAAAUCCCAAGUGACUCAAAGAAUAGAGCUAUGGUCCCCGACAACGGCGCCAGAAAAUAGUCUUGAUAACCCACAAGUAUAGGGGAUCGCAACAGUUUUCGAGGGUAGAGUAUUCAACCCAAAUUUAUUGAUUCGACACAAGGGGAGCCAAAGAAUAUUCUCAAGUAUUAGCAGCUGAGUUGUCAAUUCAACCACACCUGGAUAACUUAGUAUGUGCAGCAAAGUAUUUAGUAGCAAAGUAAUAUGAUAGUAGUGGUAAUGGUAACAAAAGUAACGGAAGCAAAAGUAAUAUUUUUGGUGUUUUGUAGUGAUUGUAACAGUAGCAACGGAAAAGUAAAUAAGCGGAGAACAAUAUGUGAAAAGCUCGUAGGCAUUGGAUCGGUGAUGGAGAAUUAUGCUGGAUGCGGUUCAUCAUGUAACAAUCAUAACAUAGGGUGACACAGAACUAGCUCCAAUUCAUCAAUGUAAUGUAGGCAUGUAUUCCGAAUAUAGUCAUACGUGCUUAUGGAAAAGAACUUGCAUGACAUCUUUUGUCCUACCCUCCCGUGGCAGCGGGGUCCUAAUGGAAACUAAGGGAUAUUAAGGCCUCCUUUUAAUAGAGUACCGGAACAAAGCAUUAGCACAUAGUGAAUACAUGAACUCCUCAAACUAUGGUCAUCACCGGGAGUGGUACCGAUUAUUGUCACUUCGGGGUUGCCGGAUCAUAACACAUAGUAGGUGACUAUAGACUUGCAAGAUAGGAUCAAGAACUCACAUAUAUUCAUGAAAACAUAAUAGGUUCAGAUCUGAAAUCAUGUCACUCGGGCCCUAGUGACAAGCAUUAAACAUAGCAAAGUCAUAGCAACAUCAAUCUCAGAACAUAGUGGAUACUAGGGAUCAAACCCUAACAAAACUAACUCAAUUACAUGAUAGAUCUCGUCCAACCCAUCACCGUCCAGCAAGCCUACGAUGGAAUUACUCACGCACGGCGGUGAACAUCAUGAAAUUGGUGAUGGAGGAUGGUUGAUGAUGACGAUGGCGACGAAUCCCCCUCUCCGGAGCCCCGAACGGACUCCAGAUCAGCCCUCCCGAGAGGUUUUAGGGCUUGGCGGCGGCUCUAUAUCGUAAAACGCGAUGAAUCCUUCUCUCUGAUUUUUUUUCUCCCCGAAAGUGAAUAUAUGGAGUUGGAGUUGAGGUCGGUGGAGCGUCAGGGGGCCCACGAGGUAGGGGGUGCGCCCCCACCCUCGUGGGCAGGGUGUGGGCCCCCUGACGUGGAUUUUUCUUCCGGUAUUUUUCUUAUUUUCCAAAUAGAUGUUCCGUGGAGUUUCAGGUCAUUCCGAGAACUUUUGUUUCUACACAUAAAUAACACCAUGGAAAGUCUGCUGAAAACCGCGUCAGUCCGGGUUAGUUUCAUUCAAAUCAUGCAAGUUAGAGUCCAAAACAAGGGCAAAAGUGUUUGGAAAAGUAGAUACGACGGAGACGUAUCACAGACAAACAAUUCACCAUCAUAAGAUUUAGUGAAAAGAGUAGGGUCGAGUGAACCGGGUUUGAAGCCUUUCUUCAUGAGGAAUUCCUUCAAGGUAUCAUACCACGCCCGAGGGGCCUGCUUGAGGCCAUAGAGGGCCUUAUUGAGUCUGAAGACUUUGUCAGGAUGCUUUGGAUUUUCAAAACCUGGGGGUUGAGCAACAUAUACUUCUUCCUCAAGCUUACCAUUGAGGAAUGCACUUUUCACAUCCAUUUGAUAUAGAGUGAUAUCAUGAUGGUUAGCAUAAGCAAGUAAUAUGUGAAUAGCCUCAAGUCUAGCAACAGGUGCAAAAGUUUCAUCAAAAUCAAUUCCUUCAACCUGUGUGUAGCCUUGAGCUACUAGCCGUGCCUUAUUCCUCACCAAACGGCCAUUUUCAUCUUGCUUGUUGCGGUAGAUCCACUUUGUGCCAGUGAUAUUGUGCUUGCGAGGAUCUGGACGUUUGACCAGUUCCCAGACGUUGUUGAGCUCGAACUGAUGUAAUUCUUCUUGCAUGGCCUGAAUCCACUCAGGCUCCAGAAAUGCUUCAUCUACCUUAGUGGGCUCUGUGAUAGAGGCAAAAGCAUAGUGCCCACAAAAGUUAGAUAAAUGUGAAGCUUUUGAGCGUGUGAGAGGACCUAGUGCUUCAAUGUCAUCGAUGAUCUUUUCAACUUGCACUUCUCACUACAAAAAAAAGACACAUCCGUGACAUUUUGGGCCGAACGAAUGUUUUUCCUGUCAUACAUAUGACACUUCUAUGACGAUAAUUGUGACAAAACCCGGUAUCAUCAUAGAUGUGGUGGGCUCCUACUUCUAUGACAAAAAAUCAUGACAGAAAAUGGGCUUUUCGUCCUGGGCGGGCCGGAGACGCAGCUGCAUGACAUUCUUUGGGCCGUCCAUGACGGAAAAAACCGUGGUAGAAGCGAGGGCGAGGAAAAUUUCGGGGAGUUCCCGGUUACGGUGGGAGGUCGGGGGCCGAGCGAUGCGCGUUUCUCUCGUACACGUACGCGCGUGUGUUCGAGGCGUUGGCUCUAACUGAACCCGAGCGGGGCGUUGGGCUCUAACUGAACCCGAGCGAUUGCACUGCAGGCUACGCGUUACUGAACCCGAGCGAUCGAUCGAUGGCUGUUAACUGAACCCGAUCGAGCGAUUCCUUCGCUACUGCUGCUAACUAAAGCUGAUCAAUGCUGCCUCUGGGAUGAANNNNNNNNNNNNNNNNNNNNNNNNNNNNNNNNNNNNNNNNNNNNNNNNNNNNNNNNNNNNNNNNNNNNNNNNNNNNNNNNNNNNNNNNNNNNNNNNNNNNNNNNNNNNNNNNNNNNNNNNNNNNNNNNNNNNNNNNNNNNNNNNNNNNNNNNNNNNNNNNNNNNNNNNNNNNNNNNNNNNNNNNNNNNNNNNNNNNNNNNNNNNNNNNNNNNNNNNNNNNNNNNNNNNNNNNNNNNNNNNNNNNNNNNNNNNNNNNNNNNNNNNNNNNNNNNNNNNNNNNNNNNNNNNNNNNNNNNNNNNNNNNNNNNNNNNNNNNNNNNNNNNNNNNNNNNNNNNNNNNNNNNNNNNNNNNNNNNNNNNNNNNNNNNNNNNNNNNNNNNNNNNNNNNNNNNNNNNNNNNNNNNNNNNNNNNNNNNNNNNNNNNNNNNNNNNNNNNNNNNNNNNNNNNNNNNNNNNNNNNNNNNNNNNNNNNNNNNNNNNNNNNNNNNNNNNNNNNNNNNNNNNNNNNNNNNNNNNNNNNNNNNNNNNNNNNNNNNNNNNNNNNNNNNNNNNNNNNNNNNNNNNNNNNNNNNNNNNNNNNNNNNNNNNNNNNNNNNNNNNNNNNNNNNNNNNNNNNNNNNNNNNNNNNNNCAACAGGACCCCCGUUUCGACCGUAGGAGGUCCGUUUCCUCCGUUUUGCGGUACGCCACACUCCUCCCGAUCAACAGGAACCCCGUUUCGACCGUAGGAGCUCCGUUUCCUUCGUUUUGCGGUACGCCACACCCCUCCCCAUGAACACGACACAUUUCGUUGCCUCCCCAUGAACACGACGACGACGUUGUUUCUCCGUUCGACCCAGCCAUGUACACGAGCCCUGGCCGUACGUAUGCGCGAGUAGGCGUUCGAGACCCCGCCCGUAUGUACACAUACGUGUCCGUAUUUUCUUUCUUGCACCCUGGCCGCUGUACGUACGUGUACAUGCUACGUGCGCACCUCUACUACAACACGUAAGCGCCUCUACUACGACACGUGCGCGCCUCUACAUCCACCAGUAUAUAUGUACGUACACGUUCGCGACCAGAAUGACAACGCUACGUACGCUUCGACCAGGUGGGUCCCGACUGUCAGGCACUUGUUUCGCAAAAAAAGGCACUUCCUUGCCUACGAAGAUGUAACUGGUGGGUCCCAGCAGUCAGGGGGCGAAUCGUUUUUUUUGCCCGGACGCACUUCCUUGCGUGCGAAGAUGUAGCUGGUGGGUCCCAGCAGUCAGGGGGAAACAUUUUUUUCGCGAAAUACAGUGGCCCAUCCGGUGGGUCCCAACUGUCAGGUGGAGGAAUCAUUAUUUUCCGCGUAAUAAGGAGGCACUUCCUUGCUGCGGCCGUGGACCCAGCUGUCAGCCUCUCCACGUACAGUCCACGUCCGAUGGAAGUCGUUCCUUGACCACGUUGACCACGCCGCGCCGAGAGCACCAGGGCGGUGGACGACGGCGAGGCCUAGGAAGGGGACGACGGGGAGCCGGGGAAGACGCGGCAGUGGAAGCCCGCGCGGAGAGGAGUACGAGGGUUCACUGGUUCGGCUGCGGUGUGAGGCUGCCAUCGCUGCAGGGCCUGGCCAGCGGUGGGAAUAGUAGGGAGCGGUGAGGCCUCCGCGGCAGCACAGCCGACCACGGGAGGCAGGAGCAUGCGACACGACCGGCGCUGCUUUGAGCGGCUGGAGCAAGAAGACCAGAGGUUGAAGAAGCACUAAGGCCGUUGGAUGGACAUCGUACGGUCACCGGAGCUAGAAUCGUUCAUAUUGACUAAAGUUGACAAAGGCCCCCGUCCCAGUCAACUUAGUAGGCCCACAAGUCAGCCUCCCACCAUGGUGGGUCCCAGCUAGCAGGGGGAGUAUUCAUUUUUUUUGCGUAAUAAGGAGGCACUUCCUUGCGUGCGAAGAUAUAGCUGGUGGGUCCGAGCUGUCAGCGGCGGUAACAUUUUUUUCGUGAAAUACAGAGGCCCUUUCGGUGGGUCCCUGAUGUCAGGUGCAGGAAUCAUUAUUUUGCGCGUAAUAAGGAGGCAUUUCCUUGCGUGCGGCCGUGGACCCAGCUGUUGGCCUCUUCACGUACAGUCCACUUCAGAUGCAUGUCGGUCGUUGACCACGUUGACCAGGCCGCGCCGAGAGCACCAGGGCGGUGGACGACGGGGAGACCUAGGAAGGGAACGACACGGAGGCAGGGAAGACUUGGCAGUUGUUUCCCACGCGGAGGGGAGUACGACUGUACGAGGGUUUACUGGUUCGUCCGCCGUCGCCGGAGAAUAACAGCAGGUGUGGGUGAGUAGAGGGAUGGCUAGGCCAGCGAUGGGAGUACGGUGGGGCGGUGAGGCCUGCGCGGCAGCAGAGCCGGCCGCGGGGAGGAGGGAGCAGGCAGUCCCGCCGGCGCUUGUUUGAGCAGCUGGAGCAGGAAGAGCAGAGAUUCAAGAAGCACGACGGCCGUUGGAUGGCCAUCCAACAGUCACUUCUUGUGCGUCAACCUUUUUUUAGGAAGGCCUCAAAUAUGUGGAAAACAUCAUACAGCCCAUCUGCCAUUAUUUCUAAUAAUUUACAGCCCAUUUGCUAAUUAUUAUGGUUUUUUGGAGCCCAUAUUCUUUUUGUUAGCAUUACAGCCCAUAUUGUGGCCACGGUUAAAAAAUUAUACGAAAUUUUGCAUAUUUCGGUGCGGUCCGAACUGUUUUUAAUCCCGAAAUUUCGACUCACACUCAAUCUUAUUUUCAAAAUAAAUGUAUAUCAAUAUAAAAUCCAACAAAUUCUCCACGCAUAAAAAUUCAUGUAAUUUAAAAUCUCGAAAUGAAAAAAAGAUAUUUGAAACUAAUUGCCGGUUUGAUGUGUUUUAAAAAUGUACAGCCCAUUUCUCAUUACUGAUGGGCCAUUUUCUCAGCCAGCCGAAUGAAAGCUCUCCUCGCUUGAAAGAUUUGCAGCCCAACAGGCCUCACAAAGCGACUUACUUGGCAAAUCACAAAAAAACUGGGCUGUGGCCGUGGACCCAGCUGUCAGCCGCUCCACGUACAGUACUCUUCCGAUGGAAGUCGUUCCUUGACCACGUUGACCACGCCGCGCGGAGAGCACGACGACGAGGCCUAGGAAGGGGACGACGCGGAGCCGGGGAAGACGCGGCAGUGGAAGCCCACGCGGAGAGUUGUGCAAGGGUUCACUGGUUCGGCUGUGGUGUGAGGCUGCCGUCGCCGUAGGGCCUGGCCAGCGGUGGGAAUAGUACGGGGAGGUGAGGCCUCCGCGGCAGCAUAGCCGGCCACGGGAGGCAGGAUCAUGCGGCACGACCGGCGCUGCUUUGGGCGGCUGGAGCAAGAAGACCAGAGGUUGAAGAAGCACUACGGCCGUUGGAUGGACAUCGUACGGUCGCUGUAGCUAUAAUCGUUCAUAUUGACUAAAGUUGACAAAGGCCCCCGUCCCAGUCAACUUAGUAGGCCCACAAGUCAGCCUCCCACCAUGGUGGGUCCCAGCUAGCAGGGGGAGUAUUCAUUUUUUUAUGCGUAAUAAGGAGGCACUUCCUUGCGUGCGAAGAUAUAGCUGGUGGGUCCGAGCUGUCAGCGGCGGUAACAUUUUUUUCGCGAAAUACAGAGGCCCUUUCGGUGGGUCCCUGAUGUCAGGUGGAGGAAUCAUUAUUUUGCGCGUAAUAAGGAGGCAUUUCUUUGCGUGCGGCCGUGCACCCAGCUGUCGGCCUCUCCACGUACAGUCCACUUCAGAUGCAUGUCGGUCGUUGACCACGUUGACCAGGCCGCGUCGAGAGCACCAGGGCGGUGGACGACGGCGAGGCCUACAAAGGGAACGAUACGGAGGCAGGGAAGACUCGGCAGUUGUUUCCCACGCGGAGGGGAGUACGACUGUACGAGGGUUUACUGGUUCGUCUGCCGUCGCCGGAGAAUAACAGCAGGUGUGGGUGAGUAGAGGGAUGGCUAGGCCAGCGACGGGGUUCGGUGGGGCGGUGAGGCCUGCGCGGCAGCAGAGCCGGCCGCGGGGAGGAGGGAGCAGGCUGUCCCGCCGGCGCUUGUUUGAGCGGCUGGAGCAGGAAGAGCAGAGAUUGAAGAAGCACGACGGCCGUUGGAUGGCCAUCCAACAGUCACUUCUUGUGCGUCAACCUUUUUUUACGAAAGCCUCAAAUCUGUGGAAAACAUCAUACAGCUCAUCUACCAUUAUUUCUAAUAAUUUACAGCCCAUUUGCUAAUUAUUAAGGUUUUUUUGGAGCCCACAUUCUUUUUGUUUGCAUUACAUUCCAUAUUGUGGCCACGGUUAAAAAAUUAUACGAAAUUUUGCAUAUUUCGGAGCGGUCCGAACUAUUUUGAAUCCCGAAAUUUCGACUCACAUUUAAACUGAUUUUAAAAAUAAAUGUAUAUCAAUAUAAAAUCCAACAAAUUCUCCACGCAUAAAAAUAAUGUAAUUUAAAAUCUCGAAAUGAAAAAAAAGAUAUUUGAAACUAAUUGCCGGUUUGAUGUGUUUUCAAAAUGUACAGCCCAUUUCUCAUUACUGAUGGGCCAUUUUCUCGGCCAGCCGAAUGAAAGCUUUCCUCGUCUUGAAAGAUUUGAAGCCCAACAGUCCUGACAAAGCGACUUACUUGGCAUAUCUCAAAAAACUUGGCUAUGGCCGUGGACCCAGCUGUCAGCCUCUCCACGUACAGUACUCUUCCGAUGGAAGUUGUUCCUUGACCACGUUGACCACGCCGCGCGGAGAGCACCACGACGGUGGACGACGGCGAGGCCUAGGAAGGGGACGACGCGGAGCCGGGGAAGACACGGCAGUGGAAGCCCGCGUGGAGAGGAGUACGAGGGUUCACUGGUUCGGCUGCGAUGUGAGGCUGCCGUCGCCGCAGGGCCUGGCCAGCGGUGGGAAUAGUAGGGGGCGGUGGGGCCUCCGCAGCAGCACAGCCGGCCACGGGAGGCAGGAGCAUGCGGCACGACCGGCGCUGCUUUGGGCGGCUGGAGCAAGAAGACUAGGGGUUGAAGAAGCACUACGGCCGUUGGAUGGACAUCGUAUGAUCACUGGAGCUAGAAUCGUUCAUAUUGAGUAAAGUUGACAAAGGCCCCAUCCCAGUCAACUUAGUAGGCCCACAAGUCAGCCUCCCACCAUGGUGGGUCCCAGCUAGCAGGGGGAGUAUUCAUUUUUUUCUGCGUAAUAAGGAGGCACUUCCUUGCGUGCGAAGAUAUAGCUGGUGGGUCCGAGCUAUCAGCGGCGGUAACGUUUUUUUCGCGAAAUACAGAGGCCCAUUCGGUGGGUCCCUGAUGUCAGGUGGAGGAAUCAUUAUUUUGCACGUAAUAAGGAGGCAUCUCCUUGCGUGCGGCCGUGGACCCAGCUGACGGCCUCUCCACGUACAGUCCACUUCAGAUGCAUGUCGGCCGUUGACCACGUUGACCAGGCCGUGCCGAGAGCACCAGGGCGGUGGACGACAGCGAGGCCUAGGAAGGGAACGACACGGCGGCAGGGAAAACUCGGCAGUUGUUUCCCACGCAGAGGGGAGUACAACUGUACGAGGGUUUACUGGUUCGUCUGCCGUCGCCGGAGAAUAACAGCAGGUGUGGGUGAGUAGAGGGAUGGCUAGGCCAGCGAUGGGAGUACGGUGGGGCGGUGAGGCCUGCACGGCAGCAGAGCUGGCCGCGGGGAGGAGGGAGCAGGCAGUCCCGCCGGCGCUUGUUUGAGCGGCUGGAGCAGGAAGAGCAGAGAUUGAAGAAGCACGACGGCCGUUGGAUGGCCAUCCAACAGUCAGUGCUUGUGCGUCAACCUUUUUUUAGGAAAGCCUCAAAUCUGUGGAAAACAGCAUACAGCCAAUCUGCCAUUAUUUCUAAUAAUUUACAGCCCAUUUGCUAAUUAUUAAGGUUUUCUUUGGAGCCCAUAUUCUUUUUGUUAGCAUUACAGCCCAUAUUGUGGCCACGGUUAAAAAAUUAUACGAAAUUUUGCAUAUUUUGGUGCGGUCCGAACUGUUUUCAAUUCCGAAAUUUCGGCUCACAUUCAAACUGAUUUUAAAAAUAAAUGUAUAUCAAUAUAAAAUCCAAAAAAUUCUCCACACAUAAAAAUUAAUGUAAUUUAAAAUCUCGAAAUGAAAAAAAGAUAUUUGAAACUAAUUGCCAGUUUGAUGUGUUUAAAAAAUGUACAUCCCAUUUCUCAUUACUGAUGGGCCAUUUUCUCGGCCAGCCAAAUGAAAGCUCUCCUCGUCUUGAAAGAUUUGCAGCCCAACAGGGCUGACAAAGCGACUUACUUGGCAAAUCACAAAAAAACUGGGUUGUGGCCGUGGACCCAGCUGUCAGCCUCUCCACGUACAGUACUCUUCCGAUGGAAGUCGUUCCUUGACCACGUUCACCACGCCGCGCGGAGAGCACCACGGCGGUGGACGACGGCGAGGCCUAGGUAGGGGACGAUGCGGAGCCGGGGAAGACGCGGUAGUGGAAGCCCGCGCGGAGAGGAGUACGAGGGUUCACUGGUUCGGCUGUGGUGUGAGGCUGCCGUCGCCGCAGGGCCUGGCCAGCGGUGGGAAAAGUAGGGGCGGUGAGGCCUCCGCGACAGCACAGCCGGCCACGAGAGGCGGCAGCAUGCGGCUCGACCGGCGCUGCUUUGGGCGGCUGGAGCAAGAAGACCAGAGGUUGAAGAAGCACUACGGCCGUUGGAUGGACAUCGUACGGUUACUGGAGCUAGAAUCAUUCAUAUUGACUAAAGUUUUUAAAGGCCCCCGUCCCAGUCAACUUAGUAGGCCCACAAGUCAACCUCCCACCAUGGUGGGUCCUAGCUAGCAGGGGGAGUAUUCAAUUUUUUGUGCGUAAUAAGGAGGCACUUCCUUGCGUGCGAAGAUAUAGCUGGUGGGUCUGAGCUCUCAGCGGCGGUAACAUUUUUUUCGUGAAAUACAGAGGCCCUUUCGGUGGGUCCCUGAUGUCAGGUGGAGGAAUUAUUAUUUUGCACGUAAUAAGGAAGCAUUUCCUUGCGUGCGGCCGUGGACCCAGCUGUCGGCCUCUCCACGUACAGUCCACUUCAGAUGCAUGUCAGUCGUUGACCACGUUGACCAGGCCGCGCCGAGAGCACCAGGGCGGUGGACGACGGCGAGGCCUACGAAGGGAAGGACACGGAGGCAGGGAAGACUCGGCAGUUGUUUCCCACGCGGAGGGGAGUACGACUGUACGAGGGUUUACUGGUUCGUCUGCCGUCGCCGGAGAAUAACAGGAGGUGUGGGUGAGUAGAGGGAUGGCUAGGCCAGCGAUGGGAGUACUGUGGGGCGGUGAGGUCUGCGCGGCAGCAGAGCCGGCCGCGGGGAGGAGGGAGCAGGCAAGCCCGCCGACGCUUGUUUGAGCGGCUGGAGCAGGAAGAGCAGAGAUUGAAGAAGCACGACGGCCGUUGGAUGGCCAUCCAACAGUCACUUCUUUUGCGUCAACCUUUUUUUAGGAAAGCCUCAAAUCUGUGGAAAACAUCAUACAGCCCAUCUACCAUUAUUUCUAAUAAUUUACAGCCCAUUUGCUAAUUAUUAAGGUUUUUUUGGAGCCCAUAUUCUUUUUGUUAGCAUUACAGCCCAUAUUGUGGCCACGGUUAAAAAAUUAUACGAAAUUUUGCAUAUUUCGGAGCAGUCCGAACUAUUUUUAAUCCCGAAAUUUCGACUCACAUUUAAACUGAUUUUAAAAAUAAAUGUAUAUCAAUAUAAAAUCCAACAAAUUCUCCACGCAUAAAAAUAAUGUAAAUUAAAAUCUCGAAAUGAAAAAAAGAUAUUUGAAACUAAUUGCCGGUUUGAUGUGUUUUAAAAAUGUACAGCCCAUUUCUCAUUACUGAUGGGCCAUUUUCUCGGCCAGCCGAAUGAAAGCUCUCCUCGUCUUGAAAGAUUUGAAGCCCAACAGGCCUGACAAAGCGACUUACUUGGCAUAUCACAAAAAACUGGGCUGUGGCCGUGGACCCAGCUGUCAGCCUCUCCACGUACAGUAAUCUUCCGAUGGAAGUCGUUCCUUGGCCACGUUGACCACGCCGCGCGGAGAGCACCACGGCGGUGGACGACGGCGAGGCCUAUGAAGGGGACGACGCGGAGCCGGGGAAGACACGGCAGUGGAAGCCCGCGUGGAGAGGAGUACGAGGGUUCACUGGUUCGGCUGUGGUGUGAGGCUGCCGUCGCCGCAGGGCCUGGCCAGCUGUGGGAAUAGUAGGGGGCGGUGAGGCCUCCGCAGCAGCACAGCCGACCAUGGGAGGCAAGAGCAUGCGGCACGACCGGCGCUGCUUUGGGCGGCUGGAGCAAGAAGACCAGAGGUUGAAGAAGCACUACGGCCGUUGGAUGGACAUCGUACGGUCACUGGAGCUAGAAUUGUUCAUAUUGACUAAAGUUGAAAAAGGCCCCCAUCCCAGUCAACUUAGUAGGCCCACAAGUCAGCCUCCCACCAUGGUGGGUCCCAGCUAGCAGGGGGAGUAUUCAUUUUUUUUCUUGGUAAUAAGGAGGCACUUCCUUGCGUGCGAAGAUAUAGCUGGUGGGUCCGAGCUGUCAGCGGCGGUAACGUUUUUUUCGCGAAAUUCAGAGGCCCUUUCGGUGGGUCCCUGAUGUCAGGUGGAGGAAUCAUUAUUUUGCGCGUAAUAAGGAGGCAUUUCCUUGCGUGCGGCCAUGGACCCAGCUGUCGGCCUCUCCACGUACAGUCCACUUCAGAUGCAUGUCGGUCGUUGACCACGUUGACCAGGCCGCGUCGAGAGCACCAGGGCGGUGGACGACGGCGAGGACUACGAAGGGAACGACAUGGAGGCAGGGAAGACUCGGCGGUUGGUUCCCACGCGGAGGGGAGUACGACUGUACGAGGGUUUACUGGUUCGUCUGCCGUCGCCGGAGAAUAACAGCAGGUGUGGGUGAGUAGAGGGAUGGCUAGGCCAGCGAUGGGAGUACGGUGGGGCGGUGAGGCGUGCGUGGCAGCAGAGCCGGCCGCGGGGAGGAGGGAGCAGGCAGUCCCGCCGGCGCUUGUUUGAGCGGCUGGAGCAGGAAGAGCAGAGAUUCAAGAAGCACGACGGCCGUUGGAUGGCCAUCCAACAGUCACUACUUGUGCGUCAACCCUUUUUUUAGGAAAGCCUCAAAUCUGUGGAAAACAUCAUACAACCCAUCUACCAUUAUUUUCUAAUAAUUUACAGCACAUUUGCUAAUUAUUAAGGUUUUUUGGAGCCCAUAUUCUUUUUGUUAUCAUUACAGCCAAUAUUGUGGCCACGGUUAGAAAAUUAUACGAAAUUUUGCAUAUUUCGGUGUGGUCCGAACUAUUUUUAAUCCCGAAAUUUCGACUCCCAUUCAAACUGAUUUUAAAAAUAAAUGUAUAUCAAUAUAAAAUCCAACAAAUUCUCCACGCAUAAAAAUAAUGUAAUUUAAAAUCUCGAAAUGAAAAAAAAGAUAUUUGAAACUAAUUGCCGGUUUGAUGUGUUUUAAAAAUGUACUGCCCAUUUCUCAUUACCGAUGGGCCAUUUUCUCGGCCAACCGAAUGAAAGCUCUCCUCGUCUUGAAAGAUUUGAAGCCCAACAGGCCUGACAAAGCAACUUACUUGGCAUAUCACAAAAAAGUGGGUUGUGGCCGUGGACCCAGCUGUCAGCCUCUCCACGUACAGUACUCUUCCGAUGGAAGUCGUUCCUUGGCCACGUUGACCACGCCGCGCGGAGAGCACCACGGCGGUGGACGACGGCGAGGCCUAGGAAGGGGACGACGCGGAGCCGGGGAAGACGCGGCAGUGGAAGCCCGCGCGGAGAGGAGUACGAGGGUUCACUGGUUCGGCUGCGGUGUGAGACUUCCGUCGCCGCAGGGCCUGGCCAGCUGUGGGAAUAGUAGGGGGCGAUGAGGCCUCCGCGGCAGCAGAACCGACCACAGGAAGCAGGAGCAUGCGGCACGACCGGCGCUGCUUUGGGCGGCUGGAGCAAGAAGACCAGAGGUUGAAGAAGCACUACGGCCGUUGUAUGGACAUCGUAUGGUCACUGGAGCUAGAAUUGUUCAUAUUGACUAAAGUUGACAAAGGCCCCCAUCCCAGUCAACUUAGUAGGCCCACAAGUCAGCCUCCCACCAUGGUGGGUCCCAGCUAGCAGGGGGAAUAUUCAUUUUUUUGCGUAAUAAUGAGGCACUUCCUUGCGUGCGAAGAUAUAGCUGGUGGGUCUGAGCUGUCAGCGGCGGUUUUUUUCGCGAAAUACAGAGGCCCUUUCUGUGGGUCCCUGAUGUGAGGUGGAUGAAUCAUUAUUUUGCAUGUAAUAAGGAGGCAUUUCCUUGCGUGCAGCCGUGGACCCAGCUGUCGGCCUCUCCACGUACAGUCCACUUCAGAUGCAUGUCAGUCGUUGACCACGUUGACCAGGCCACGCCGAGAGCACCAGGGCGGUGGACGACGGCGAGGCCUAGGAAGGGAACGACAUGGAGGCAGGGAAGACUUGGCAGUUGUUUCCCACGCGGAGGGGACUACUGCUGUACGAGGGUUUCCUGGUUCGUCUGCCGUCGUCGGAGAAUAACAACAGGUGUGGGUGAGUAGAGGGAUGGCUAGGCCAGCGAUGGGAGUACGUUGGGGCGGUGAGGCCUGAGCGGCAGCAGAGCCGGCCGCGGGGAGGAGGGAGCAGGCAGUCCCGCCGGCGCUUGUUUGAGCGGCUGGAGCAGGAAGAGCAGAGAUUGAAGAAGCACGACGGCCGUUGGAUGGCCAUCCAACAGUCAGUGCUUGUGCGUCAACCUUUUUUUAGGAAAGCCUCAAAUCUGUGGAAAACAUCAUACAUCCCAUCUGCCAUUAUUUCUAAUAAUUUACAGCCCAUUUGCUAAUUAUUAAGGUUUUCUUUAGAGCCCAUAUUCUUUUUGUUAGCAUUACAACCCAUAUUGUGGCCACGGUUAAAAAAUUAUACGAAAUUUUGCAUAUUUUGGUGUGGUCCGAACUGUUUUCAAUCCCGAAAUUUCAACUCACAUUCAAACUGAUUUUAAAAAUAAAUGUAUAUCAAUAUAAAAUCCAACAAAUUCUCCACGCAUAAAAAUUAAUGUAAUUUAAAAUCUCGAAAUGAAAAAAAGAUAUUUGAAACUAAUUGCCAGCUUGAUGUGUUUUUGAAAUGUACUGCCCAUUUCUCAUUACUGAUGGGCCAUUUUCUCAGCCAGCCAAAUGAAAGCUCUCCUCGUCUUGAAAGAUUUGCAGCCCAAGAAGCCUGACAAUGCGACUUACUUGGCAAAUCACAAAAAAACUGGGCUAUGGCCGUGACCCAACUGUCAGCCUCUCCACGUACAGUACUCUUCCGAUGGAAGUCGUUCCUUGACCACGUUGACCACGCCGCGCGGAGAGCACCACGGCGGCGGACGACGACGAGGCCUAGGAAGGGGAUGACGCGGAGCCGGGGAAGACACGGCAGUGGAAGCCCGCGCGGAGAGGAGUACGAGGGUUCACUGGUUCGGCUGCGGUGUGAGGCUGCCGUCGCCGCAGGGCCUGGCCAGCGGUGGGAAUAGUAGGGGGCGGUGAGGCCUCCGCGGCAGCACAGCCGGCCACGGAAGGCGGGAGCAUGCGGCACGACCGGCGCUGCUUUGGGCGGCUGGAGCAAGAAGACCAGAGGUUGAAGAAGCACUACGGCCGUUGGAUGGACAUCGUACGGUCACUGGAGCUAGAAUCAUUCAUAUUGACUAAAGUUGACAAAGGCCCCCGUCCCAGUCAACUUAGUAGGCCCACAAGUCAGCCUCCCACCAUGGUGGGUCCUAGCUAGCAGGGGGAGUAUUCAUUUUUUUGUGCGUAAUAAGGAGGCACUUCCUUGCGUGCGAAGAUAUAGCUGGUGGGUCCGAGCUGUCAGCGGCUGUAACAUUUUUUCACGAAAUACAGAGGCCCUUUCGGUGGGUCCCUGAUGUCAGGUGGAGGAAUCAUUAUUUUGCGCGUAAUAACGAGGCAUUUCCUUGUGUGCGGCCGUGGACCCAGCUGUCGGCCUCUCCACGUACAGUCCACUUCAAAUGCAUGUCGGUCGUUGACCACGUUGACCAGGCCGCGUCGAGAGCACCAGGGCGGUGGACGACCGCGAGGCCUACAAAGGGAACGAUACGGAGGUAGGGAAGACUCGGCAGUUGUUUCCACGCGGAGGGGAGUACUACUGUACGAGGGUUUACUGGUUCGUCUGCCGUCGCCGGAGAAUAACAGCAGGUGUGGGUGAGUAGAGGGAUGGCUACGCCAGCGAUGGGAGUACGGUGGGGCGGUGAGGCCUGCGCGGCAGCAGAGCCGACCACGGGGAGGAGGGAGCAGGAAGUCCCGCCGGCGCUUGUUUGAGCGGCUGGAGCAGGAAGAGCAGAGAUUGAAGAAGCACGACGGCCGUUGGAUGGCCAUCCAACAGUCAGUGCUUGUGCGUCAACCUUUUUUUAGGAAAGCCUCAAAUCUGUGGAAAACAUCAUAUAGCUCAUCUACCAUUAUUUCUAAUAAUUUACAGCCCAUUUGCUAAUUAUUAAGGUUUUUUGGAGCCCAUAUUUUUUUGUUAGCAUUACAGCCUAUAUUGUGGCCACGGUUAAAAAAUUAUACGAAAUUUUGCAUAUUUCAGAGCGGUCUGAACUAUUUUUAAUCCCGAAAUUUCGACUCACAUUCAAAACUGAUUUUAAAAAUAAAUGUAUAUCAAUAUAAAAUCCAACAAAUUCUCCACGCAUAAAAAUAAUGUAAUUUAAAAUCUCGAAAUGGAAAAAAAGAUAUUUGAAACUAAUUGCCGGUUUGAUGUGUUUUAAAAUUGUACAACCCAUUUCUCAUUACUGAUGGGCCAUUUUCUCGGCCAGCCGAAUGAAAGCUCUCCUCGUCUUGAAAGAUUUGAAGCCCAACAGGCCUGACAAAGCGACUUACUUGGCAUAUCACAAAAAAACUGGGCUGUGGCCGUGGACCCAGCUGUCAGCCUCUCCACGUACAGUACUCUUCCGAUGGAAGUCGUUCCUUGACCACGUUGACCACGCCGCGUGGAGAGCACCACGGCGGUGGAGGACGGCGAGGCCUAGGAAGGGGACGACGCGGAGCCGGGGAAGACGCGGUAGUGGAAGCCCGCGCGGAGAGGAGUACGAGGCUUCACUGGUUCGGCUGCGGUGUGAGGCUGCCGUCACCGCAGGGCCUGGCCAGCGGUGGGAAUAGUAGGGGGCGGUGAGGCCUCCGCAGCAGCACAGCCGGCCACGGGAGGCAGGAGCAUGCAGCACGACCAGCGCUGCUUUGGGCGGCUGGAGCAAGAAGACCAGAGGUUGAAGAAACACUACGGCCGUUGGAUGGACAUCGUACGGUCACUCGAGCUAGAAUCGUUCAUAUUGACUAAAGUUGACAAAGGCCCCCAUCCCAGUCAACUUAGUAGGCCCACAAGUCAGCCUCCCACCAUGGUGGGUCCCAGCUAGCAGGGGGAGUAUUCAUUUUUUUCUGUGUAAUAAGGAGGCACUUCCUUGCGUGCGAAGAUAUAGCUGGUGGGUCUGAGCUGUCAGCGGCGGUAACGUUUUUUCGCAAAAUACAGAGGCCCUUUCGGUGGGUCCCUGAUGUCAGGUGGAGGAAUCAUUAUUUUGCGCGUAAUAAGGAGGCAUUUCCUUGCGUGCGGCCGUGGACCCAGCUGUCGGCCUCUCCACGUACAGUCCACUUCAGAUGCAUGUCAGUCGUUGACCAAGUUGACCAGGCCGCGCCGAGAGCACCAGGGCGGUGGACGACGGCGAGGCCUAGGAAGGGAAUGACAUGGAGGCAGGGAAGACUCCGCAGUUGUUUACCACGCGGAGGGGAGUACUGCUGUACGAGGGUUUACUGGUUCGUCUGCCGUCGCCGGAGAAUAACAGGAGGUGUGGGUGAGUAGAGGGAUGGCUAGGCCAGCGAUGGGAGUACGGUGGGGCGGUGAGGCCUGCGCGGCAGCAGAGCCGGCCGCGGGGAGGAGGGAGCAGGUAGUCCCGCCGGCGCUUGUUUGAGCGGCUGGAGCAGGAAGAGCAGAGAUUGAAGAAGCAUGACGGCCGUUGGAUGGCCAUCCAACAGUCAGUGCUUGUGCGUCAACCUUUUUUAAGGAAAGCCUCAAAUCUGUGGAAAACAACAUACAACCCAUCUGCCAUUAUUUCUAAUAAUUUACAGCCCAUUUGCUAAUUAUUAAGGUUUUCUUUGGAGCCCAUAUUCUUUUUGUUAGCAUUACAGCCCAUAUUGUGGCCACGGUUAAAAAAUUAUACGAAAUUUUGCAUAUUUUGGUGCGGUCCGAACUGUUUUCAAUCCCAAAAUUUCGACUCACAUUCAAACUGAUUUAAAAAAUAAAUGUAUAUCAAUAUAAAAUCCAACAAAUUCUCCACGCAUAUAAAUUAAUGUAAUUUAAAAUCUCGAAAUGAAAAAAAGAUAUUUGAAACUAAUUGCCAGCUUGAUGUGUUUUUAAAAUGUACAGCCCAUUUCUCAUUACUGAUGGGCCAUUUUCUCGGCCAGCCAAAUAAAAGCUCUCCUCGUCUUGAAAGAUUUGCAGCCCCAAGAAGCCUGACAAAGCGACUUACUUGGCAGAACACAACAAAACUGGGCUGUGGCCGUGGACCCAGCUGUCAGCCUCUCCACGUACAGUACUCUUCCGAUGGAAGUCGUUCCUUGACCACGUUGACCAUGCCGCGUGGAGAGCACCACGGCGGUGGACGACGGCGAGGCCUAGGAAGGGGACGACGCGGAGCCGGGGAAGACGCGGCAGUGGAAGCCCGCGCGGAGAGGAGUACGAGGGUUCAUUGGUUCGGCUGCGGUGUGAGACUGCCGUCGCCGCAGGGCCUGGCCAGCGGUGGGAAUAGUAGGGGGCGGUGAGGCCUCCGCGGCAGCAAAGCCGGCCACGGGAGGCGGGAGCAUGCGGCACGACCGGCGCUGCUUUGGGCGGCUGGAGCAAGAAGACCAGAGGUUGAAGAAGCACUACGGCCGUUGGAUGGACAUCGUACGGUCACUGGAGCUAGAAUCGUUCAUAUUGACUAAAGUUGACAAAGGCCCCCGUCCCAGUCAACUUAGUAGGCCCACAAGUCAGCCUCCCACCAUGGUGGGUCCCAGCUAGCGGGGGGAGUAUUCAUUUUUUGUGUGCGUAAUAAGGAGGCACUUCCUUGCGUGCGAAGAUAUAGCUGGUGGGUCCGAGCUGUCAGUGGCGGUAACGUUUUUUUCGCGAAAUACAGAGGCCCUUUCUGUGGGUCCAUGAUGUCAGGUGGAGGAAUCAUUAUUUUGUGCGUAAUAAGGAGGCAUUUCCUUGCGUGCGGCCGUGGACCCAGCUGUCGGCCUCUCCACGUACAGUCCACUUCAGAUGCAUGUCGGUCGUUGACCACGUUGACCAGGCCGCGCCGAGAGCACCAGGGCGGUGGACGACAGCGAGGCCUAGGAAGGGAACGACACGGAGGCAGGGAAGACUCGGCAGUUGUUUCCCACACGGAGGGGAGUACGACUGUACGAGGGUUUACUGGUUCGUCUGCCGUCGCCGGAGAAUAACAGCAGGUGUGGGUGAGUAGAGGAAUGGCUAGGCCAGCGAUGGGAGUACGGUGGGGCGGUGAGGCCUACGCGGCAGCAGAGCCGGCCGCGGGGAGGAGGGAGCAGGGCUAGACGGGGCAGCCCAAAACCACGUCCAAAACUUGCCAAAACUUCGUCCCUCGUUUUCUCUGUGUUUCGCACACUCGACAUUGUGUGGGCAUUUUUACUGUGCAGCAUAUGAAGAUGUGCUAUGCAUGAAUGUUGAUCAGCAUGAUGUUAACUGCUGGUAGUUCCAUUUUCGACCAUGAAUAAAACUUCCAACAGGAUGUUAACCCUGUUUGAAAAGGCCGUGUUAAUAUAAAUGCUCUGCCUCUGAAAGUUGUAGUUUCUUAUCUGAAACUGAACUUGUAGUUUCUUAUCUGAAACUGAAACUUGCAGUUUCUUCUCUGAGAAUCACAUUGUCUGCACUUUUAUACUCCUAUGUAACUACAUUUUUUUAAGUGCUAAAAAUAGAUCUCUAGAAUUCAUAAAAUACUUCAUAUGCUCAAUACUGCAAAUCUGAAAUUCAAAAGACAUUCAUAUCUGAAAGUACUCUCAAAAUACACAACACAAAACACAAUUCACAACCUGCAAAUACUGACAACCCUAAGCUCCUCCUGACAAUUCACAACCUGCCCGACUAUUGGGCUGGUGGGGGGGCAGCCCCCUCCUAUUCCUCGGCGGCAGACACCCGUCCCGUGAGACGAUGUGAACGGCGAGGGAGACGAUGGCGGGGAAGCGUCGUCGGGCCAACUGCUUUUCUCCUCUUGCAGUUGGGUUUGGUCGAUGAAGACUCCACCGGCUCGCUCUGGCAGGACACCCUCACAAACGGCACCCUGUAGAUGCUCGAUUCUUCAAUCUCUGGUGGAUGCUCCAUCUGGGAUCGAUACUCCCACCACCGCUCCCUCACGAUCGGAUUCGGUGAAUCUGUUUGCUCCAUGGCCCAGAGGAGCAGCUCUAUGUACUCCGGCGCGACUCCCUCCGGGAGUAUCACCGCCUUUUUGCUCUGUUGCAGAUAUUUGGCCAUGGAUGUCGCCGUCGCUGCUAGUUGGUCCUUGUUGUCAAACCAAGACUGUAUCUCCAACAUCCUAGCUAGCUUCACAAGGUCGCCGUCUGCGAUCCUCACGUAUCGAUUGUACUCCUCCAUCGAUCUACUUCUCCACAGCACCUUCACUCGCCGGCGGUGGUUUUUGAAUGGAAGAGGAGAGGAGCAACGCUGGUUUUGGAUUAGAACGGGAGAGGAGCGACGCUGGUUUUUGACUGGAACAUGAGAGGAGGGGCGGUGGUUUUGAAAUGGAAGAGGAGAGGAGCGGCGCUGCACUUAGAUUGGAACAGGAGAGGAGCGGCGGUGGUUUAAGAGGAGAAGAGCGGAAGAGCGGAGCUGGUCUUGGAAGUAUUUUUUUGUUGUUUUGCGUAUUUUGGGUCAAAGUUUGACCACGUACUGUAUUUGACAAGCAAAAUGUGAAUGCAUGUCACCAAAAAUUGUAUCGUUUGGUUCGUAUCUGAAUGUACUUUCAAAUUAUAUUAUUUUUGCAACGUAUAACAUAUAUUUUAUGUGCGAAGAGAGCAACACUAGCAAGCAAGCGUGGAGGCUCCUGCCUAUAUAGUGGAGUAGUACUAGUUUUCUUUUGUCUACCGGAGCCGGCUUGACCUCGUCAAUGACUGUUGAGAAGUCUUCAUGCACGUGGCCCGGAGGCGCAGUUGUCGUCAUUUUGAUCUGAAGCGCCGGAUUAUAACAUAUAACACGAAAAAAUGCAACAUGACAAGAAAUCAUAACCUCACUGCCCAAAGGAGACAACAUGAAUCCCGACGGACAAACUAGACGAGGAACAAAGCUCAAAUUAAAGAUAAACUCGUAGAAAAGGGGUCCGUCGAUAGAUGUCCUAAUUAACAUAGCCGGCUUGACCUAGAUGGCAGCCGAGUAGUCACUGUUCGUGCAUGUGCCCCCAAUGACUAGCCCAACUCAGUUGUCGCUGUUUAACCCUCGCAGUGAUCCGAAGCACAUGACACCUAAUUUUGCGAGAUGACAAGAAACCUUUUUUUAGAUUUCUCACCACAACUACAGCCAUGUACAACACAGCCUGCACGAUAUGUAGACGAUAGCCAAUCCAGGCGUGUCUGCUGGAGUCCGGUCACAUGCAUGGACGAACUGAUCUUCCGUGUCUUGCAGGGAUCGUCCAGGCACCAACGUAGUACAACACUUCUCUAGUACUAUCGCUCGUCUCCCUCUUCUAUUAAGUCACCCGACUUGCGGGGCCGGGGAGUGUGCCUAUGGUCGGUUCUCAAUUACCGUCCCACAUGUGUGUGCAAACUCAAUAUGACGCGCGUUCCAUUCGGAGAGCAGCGUGCCAGACCGACCGACCGUCUGGGGUGCGACGCGAAUGCGACGGGCGUGCUGUAUACUCCGUACAUGUGUACCGCCGUUUUCUAGAUGCUUUGCUCCAUGGCACGAGCGCAAUCCAUGGAUACAAAAUUAGUAUACUGUAUACUAUUUAAAAGUCGAGGGCGGGGCUUUUCCUGCGCGGUAGGCGGGGCAGUUCCGCCUAGUCGGUUCGACAGAGACGCGAGAAGACGAGGGAGUAGGCUGCUGCAAACGUAGGGCCGUGUGAUUUGACAGCGAGUUACUGCUGGACAGGUGGGGCCCCGUGAUUUGACUUGCCAUUAUCAUUUUAACUGCGGCGCUACGACCGGCAUGAGUCUCCCGAUUCCUGACCACCUCCAUACAGGUGCCUCUCCCAAUGCUCCACCAUGUAGUAGAGGCUGGCUCUUGCAUGAGAGCCCACUUCUCCACUUUUUCCUUGCCUCUCUUUCCUCCACAUAUGCAAAAAUGCCAUGUAAAGCGCACUAUUGUACUUACUUUUACUUGCUCCUACAGGUGCUUAAGCUUGCCACAUAGGCAUAAAGUCUGAUGUGGCAAGUUAAUCAAGAAGAGAGAGACUAGUUUGGUGACCCAAGGAAGAAACGGUGCUAAGCGCGUAUACCUAGGUGAAAAGACAAUUUUGAGUCUAUAGCUAAUUAAAUGAAGCAAACUUAGCAACACCAUUUCAUUGGAAGAGGUCACUCCUUGGCAAAUGCAAUAAAUACUAGUACUCCCUGUGUCCCAUAAUAUAAGAACGUUUUUGGCACUACACUAGUGUAAAAAACGUUCUUAUAUUAUGGGACGGAGGGAGUACGAAGAAAGAGAUAGAGAGGAGUAAAAAAAUUUACACUUAUAGCCAACCUUAUAGCCAACCUUGUCGUAGCAUGAGUGACUAAGUGAUGACUAUGUAUGACAUGCCAACAUCAGAUAGCCUAAUGCACCGUGUUAAAUCUCCAAGGGCGCGACCGCGCGAGCGACGCGACGGUCGUGGUAGGCGCGACCAUGAUACGGCCUGCUGGCAGCCCUUGGAUCUGAGAUCAAACUGUCGCAUGCUAAGUUGCUGAAAAUUUGCAGAAUAACCCUCCAGGAUAGGAUAUUCACCCAUAGGUCUAGAAUCACGCCAUGCAACCGUUCGAUCUCAGAUCCAAGGGCUCUCGGAAGCCCGUAUCAUGGGAGAAUGGAAAGCCACUACCCUGCCGUUUGCACGCUGGCAGUUCGCUCCUACUCGUCCCCGCACGUCCUUCAAUACUACGGCGGUUCGCUCCUAGUCGUCCCAUCCAUUCACAUUACGGCAGUUCCACUAAUCCUAACCCUCCUCCCAAAUCCAUGGCGUCCCAAAUCUCCACGAUCGGCGGUGAGUACAAGGUUAGAACCAUCACCGGCGAUGAGUUCGACGUCAUCUACACCCGUUCUUCCACGACGGUGAAAGGAUGCCUUUCUCGCUUCAGACGCAUGUUCGAAGACUCAGAUGAUGAGUGGGUCGCUGGGCUAGAUGUUGAGUACACCACAGUCCUGGGACGAGAGAAGGAUCUAAAGGACGAAGAGAGGAAGAAGCCCGCUGUGAUCCAGGUUUGCGUGCAUGACUUAUGCUUGGUCUACCACAUAUGCCAUGCCGACGUUGAGUGCCAGGAUUUUAAGGACUUCCUCGAGAGCAACCGCCGUUAUUUUAGUCUGACUAAAAAUAGUCUCUUUAAGAGGCUAAAGUUCCAAGCACCCCUAACUAAAGAGGGGCUAAAACUAGUCUUGAGACUAAAUUUUUUUAGUCAGGGGUACCCCUACUAAAAUGUGGAUUAGUCCUCUCUCUACUCAUUUAACUCCUCUCCUUUAACACAGGCGAGUUCUGGAUUGGAGGGUUUGGAGGAUAAUAAAUGCUCAUUAACUUGAUUUUAGCCUUUUUAGUAUUUGGAUCCAAGCAUGGGUGAGGCUAGCAUGUUUUAGUCCCACUACUUUUAGUCGUGGGACUAAAACGUAUCCAAGCACCCUCUUAGUUUUAUUUGAGGGGUGGGUUGUGCUGGACACCAUUAUUGUGACUAGCCUUUUUAAUAGUACUAUAUGCAUAAUUUGGCGAUGAGCGCUCUCUAUAAGUACUACUAGCAACCCACGAUUUAACUACUCGCAUGCGCGCAGUGGAGUAAUAAUGUCUUUCUUCCGCCUCACGUCCACUCAAUUUGCAUGCGCUGUAUUAAUUGACCAUCAAUGAAGUGAACGACUUUACACGCGUCAAAUUAUCUGGGGUGGAUCUUGGUACAAAAUUGCAUCCACCCCUGUACCCGCGUGUGCGUGCGUGGCGUGCGUGCACAUCUUCGCUUCGUGCAUGUACCGCCAGUAUGGCUCAGGGAGGAUGAGUACAUUCUUCUGGAACCAGCAGCAUGUCACUGUGAUCAAUCCACGCAAGGAGGUCGCGACAACGCCUCCACAUGUGCCACAUGGCUUCAUGAACUGUAAGAGAGACACUGUGUAGCGUGCCAUUGGUAUUCUAAUUUACGUGUUUUGCACAUACUCGAAGUACUAGUAAGGUACACGUGCAUUGCACGCAUCAGAUUUUGCAACCAAAUUAUGAAUAAAUACCACACUGUAGCAUUUAAGCUCUGAGUCAUAUAUGCCUGAUGUAGCCCUUCGUUUAAUUCUUAUAGUUCAUCUCAUUCAAAAUCAAUUAGUUUUUAUAAAAAAGCAAAGAACACGGGAAUAGGAAAAACAUGGGAUUAUAGUGGAAUGUCGUCUUGAAUCCUACAGGAUUGUACGAGUGUUUGAUUGUGCAUAGAAAAAACGCAGAAUUCUUUCAAAGAGGUUUGAGUGGAUGGGAUGUUUCCUAUGAAAUCUAGUGCAAAUGAAUCAUAUGGAAAAAUUCCUAUGGUUUACAAUCCUACGAAUCAAACAACCAAGAUAGGAAAAACUCCUAAUGAUUAGAAUCCUCCAAAAUUCCUUUGAGAAUCCUUUGAAUCAAAGAAGCCCUUAAUCUAUUUUAUGAUUCAUGGAAUUGUGCGUUGUAAAGCAUAAAGUAAAAACAAAUAAUGGGAAUUCAACUAGAAAAAAAGUUUGGGCAGUUAUGAUACGGAAGAUUCUAGAACAAAAGAGAACCACUGUUGUUUUGAGGUUUGUGCAUUAUGCUUAAGUUCAACCAUGGAGUCUGCUAGAUUGUACAUGUGGCAAAAUCCGGUGGGGGGCUAGAAGAUGGUGCGAGGGGCCGAGUGGAGGGAGACUAUGAAGGAAUGCACAAGUGCGAGAUCGAUAUUUAGUGAGAGGGGGCGAACAUGUGCGCUGUUGCGCGCAGUGGCGGAGCCAUGAAAAAUAAAUGAGCUAGGGGGCCAAGCAUUGCUAAUCCUUUACGAGGAGGGUCAAUUCAUGAACUUAAACCAUUUUUAGCAGCAAUUGUCAAACGAUCACAUUCAUAUUAGCCUCGAGAUAUAGUGAUGUUAGGGGGGAGGGGGGCAGGGCCCUUACUGCCCCAUGUCUUCGCCAUUGUGCACGCGUCUGAGAGAUGAAGCGGAAGGCAUGGAUGAUGAGAGGGGGACGUUGGAUAUAUAAUUAAUGCGGGUGUAUUAGCUAUAUAUGUUAAUCCUAUAUAGAGAGGUAUAGAUUGAUCGAUGUGGACGUGGGAAAGAGGGUGAGACCUCACUGGAUAUAUCGAUUGAUCGGUUUGUGUGGAAAACUAUGAAAGACCUAGCUAUAUACACACAUACAUAGAGGAACAUCGAUCGUUGCGCAUGCACGCGUGAGAGAUAAAGAAUGCCCGAUAUGAUGGAGAGGGGGAUGUGUGUGGGUGUGUGCCUUCAUGGGAGACCGACCUGAAGAAAAAGAUUGUAUGCGUGCGAUGGAUAAUGCCGACUGGUAGUGUGUGUGCAUGCAUGCAUGAGAGAAAGUUAGUAGUACAAUUAUAAAGAGAAGACUACUGUGUGGGUGUAAAAGAAUAGGUGAGGUCAUAAUCAAUGUAAAGUUGAAUUCAAAUAUUUGAAUAAGAGAUCCUGAUGUUUGAAACCCAUGCAUGCAUGAAUAUAACGGAGAUCUGCGCGGUGUGGUUUGGAAACGAGCAUGUUGUAAUGUAUACACAUUGAACAAGGUCAGACUGAUUUGAAUUUGAGAUACCGAUGGCAGACAUCAUUUGGCCACGUCGCAUCCGUGCAUGGACACACUAUUCUAAUUGGAGAUGAUGGGCGGCUUUCGCAUCACAUAUCUAUAUCUAUACCCCUAUAUAUAUAUAUAUAUUAUAUUUUACAUUUUUUUAUAUUGUGUGCGGGUAACUUUAACUUUGAAAGAUGGUCGUUGGAUGAGGCGAAUCCGAUGGUCCAAAGAUGGCAAAUUUGAGCACUGCUGGCCGUUGGAUAUCAUCUAGAUUCCACCAGAUUUCGCCACAUGUAUAAUCUAGAAGACUCCAUGGUUGAACUUAAGCAUAAUGCACAAACAUCAAAACACAAGCACUUCUUAUUUGUUCUAGAAUCUUCCGUAUCAGAAUUGCCCAAAUGUUUUUCUACAUGAUUUGCCAUUAUUUGUUUUUACUUUAUGUCUUACGACGCACAAUUCCAUGAAUCUUAAAAUAGAUUAGCUUUCUUAUAAAAACUAGAUGAUUUUGAAUGAAAUGAACUAUAAGAAUUAAACGAACAUCUACAUCAUGCAUAUAUGACUCAAAGCUUGCAUGCUAUAAUGUGGUAUUUAUUCAUAAUUUGGUUGUCAAAUCUCAUGCGUGCAAUGCACGUGUACCUUACUCUAGUAUAAAUGGUGUUUGUGUGUGUUGUGCGUGUUGAGGUGCAAAUUGUCUUUUUUUGGGUACACAUUAAGCUUGUUCUUCCGAAAUUUCAAACCGCGCCUUGUUAUGCCGAAAAUUCAAGCUAGCGUCUCUGUCUAUCGUGCUGCGAAACUCCCGCCUCUUCAACCCGCACCUUGUUAGCCCGAAAUAUUUAAGAUAUAUCUUUGUCUCGUUGUGCUCCGACAACUCCGCGCCUUGCUAUUCCGAAAUUACAACGCGCGCAAAAACUCCCACCUCCUGAAAUCCCGACACGCGAAAUGCCCGUGGUACCCCUGAACCGAAAGAACCGCCUCAAAUCAGUGGGGGUACUUUCGUAACUUACCCCACAUUUCGGACAAGCGCGUCUCUAAGCCAUGGUUCCCCACUGCCAUCCCAUCCGCCCACCCAUUCGUACACCGAGGCCGCGAAAACCCGCGACAAAACCCCACACCCUGCUCCGUCCACCACCCAGCCGGAGCCUCUUCCCCGACGACGUCGUCCAUAGCAACACCUCGACGUCCCUCAUCCACCGUACCGGAUGAGGAUCUGUCGUCGAUCUCAUCGUCCCGCCGGCUCAACCACCCCGUCCUCCACCUCCAAGGAGCCGCCCCAACGUUCCCCUCGUCUUUCGCGCCACCUCCAUUCCCACACCGCCGUCUUCACCUGCACCACCGAUAGAGCAUCAUCAUCACCGUUUCCUCGGAUGAAGCUGCGGCCUAAUCGGCGCCACCAAAGAGGUUGUACACUAAUCGCCGCAUUUUCUUCUUGAUUCGAUCUCACGGUGCUGCCGGCGCUCGGUCCCGAGCCGACAUGGCGCGGCUCCAUCUACGGCGGCGUCGCCGGCCACUUCCUCCACGGCGUCGCUCCCUCGGCGGCGACGUCCACAUCAGUUGGAGCUGCAGCUGCUUUAGCUCUCGCUCGCGCUGCUGCUUUGCUGUUGCUCUCGGUCCCCUGCCUAGUCUGCUCUUGCUAUUGCUCUUGCUCGCGCUGCUGCUCUCGCUCUUGCUCGCGCUGCUGCUCUCGCUCUUGCUCUUGCUUGCAAUGCUGCUCCGAUUUAGCUACACUUCAGUCGACUGAAUCGACUUUGGGUCAGUCNNNNNNNNNNNNNNNNNNNNNNNNNNNNNNNNNNNNNNNNNNNNNNNNNNNNNNNNNNNNNNNNNNNNNNNNNNNNNNNNNNNNNNNNNNNNNNNNNNNNNNNNNNNNNNNNNNNNNNNNNNNNNNNNNNNNNNNNNNNNNNNNNNNNNNNNNNNNNNNNNNNNNNNNNNNNNNNCCCCACUAUCUAUCUUAGGGUUCAGGAUGGGGGCGGUGGUCGCCGGCGGUGGCGGGGCGGUGGCGUGGGGAUCGCCGGAGAAAAAGCUCGGCACGGGGGGGCCUAGAGGGAUGGCCGGGGCGGCGGCGGACCGGUGGUGGGGAGUGUUUUCGGGGCGGGCGGGGCGGCGCAUCGCCGGCCGCGGGCGGCGGGGGGCUGCUGUUUGGCCGGUGGUGGCUGGCGGCUCAGGGGGGUGGAGGUUGAAGAUGAACCACAUGCCCUUGAUUUCGUAUCCAACGGCUGCAAAAUCGACUGACCAGAGAUGAAAAAGUCAGUCGACCGACGUGUAGCCUCACCUUGCUAGUGCGUUCAGUUUCGACCGCAAAAUUCAGUUUCGACAGCAAAAUUCAGUUUCGACAGUUAAGUUCAGUUUCGACAGUUAAGUUCAGUUUCGACAGUUAAAUUCGGUUUCGACAGUUAAGUUCAGAGAUGAGCGGCUGAUGUAUUUUACAUCUAGCACUUUGUGGUUAUGUAUUUUACGUCAUGUAUUGGAGAUGCUAUUAGAAUUCCACUCAGGUUAACGUUGUUCGUUGUCUCUCUUGUCCUGCUUCAGCCUCGGCGUCGUACAACUCACCGGAGCUGCUCCAACGACGAAACCCUCCAUCACAGCGGAGCAGUACCUCGGGCUCCAUCUCCAGACGCCUAAGAUCUUCUUCCCCUCCUCCGACAGCCAAGUCAGCCGGAGCAUCCUCACCGGCCAACCCAAUCACGCUGAGAUCGACAUGGCUUCACCAAAGAGGUUGUACACUUGUUGCAUCUCUUUUUUACUCUACAUGUUAUAUAUAUAUUGUCCACUGAGCACUCGUAGUAACGGGAAAUACGAUUAUUUUAUCCUACUAUAUGACAAGCAGUGAGGUACCAGGCAACAUAGCUAUCCGUGAUGGACUCUCUUGAACGCCGUCAUUAUUUAUCUCUGCGUGUUUGAGCUAUGCAUUUGUCGAUGGGCCUGGGAGUUGAGCUAGUAUGGCAGUGGCCUGGGUCCAAAGUAAUAGAAGUAGCACAAAAACAUUUUUUUAGUGUAGGAUUUUCCUUGCUCAAGCCUGCCUACUAGAAUCGCCAGUGCUUGAAAGGAAAAGUGAAUGAAAAACAUCGGAAUUGGAAAGUUUCCUAUGGUACUACUUUUCAUGAAUUUGGUGCAAAGGAAUGGAGCAAAGGAAAACUGUAGGAUUUGUUCCUUUAGUGUCUCCUUGAAAGAAAAACCGUAGGAAUUCUAAUUUCCACUUCUCCUCCUUUUCAUAUUCCUAUUCAUCAAGCACAAGACUAAGAGAUAGUAGCAUAAUAGCAUUAUAACCGUACAUUUUCUUGUGGUUUGACUUAAUCUCACCAUGCUUUUUUGCAUCCUGUGAUCUUCCAAUUGUUGUGAAUCAAACACCCAGAUUGGCAGAAAUCCUGUGUUUUUAAAUUCUCUGUUUUGCACAUGCAUUCCUAUCCUAUUCCUGUCUAUUUCCUAUCCCUGCAUUGUUAGAAUCCUCAAAUUCAAACAAGCCCUUACUCAAUUACUUUUGUUACAGAUAUGUGUCAAAGAAAACCUUGUGUGGUCUGUCCUACUCCUGCGGCGCUGUGUUCCACCCUAGCUCAGCUGCUCCAACGAUGGAAGGGUUCACCACAGCAGGGAUCCGCUCUCCAGACUGUGUUUCGCCGCCUCAGAUCUUCUUCCCCGCCGCCGGCAGCCACGGCAACUGCAUUACCAUCAUCAACUGAGCAGAUGACCUUGAGGACUACACGGGUCCGCAAGAGAGGUCGCACUCUUCCAUGUCUGCUUACAUUAUGCGUCGCUUAAUAUGAUGACAUGCUACAUUAUCGUCGUGUUCACCUAUUAGACUCCGAGUCAGGUCCAAACUAAUGCUGAAACUUGAGUUUUUAAAUGGUUGUGGGGUACAUAUUGGGGCAACAAUCAGUACUAUCUGUCUACUAUCUGGUUAAUCUCCGGUGUCUACUAUGAGUUUCAUAUUGGGUGCAAACAAACAUUAAAGGAGCCAUUAUCUGUAUUUUUUAACUAAAGCUAUUAUCUGCCUGCUAUCAUUGGUUUUGGGUCUAUGCACAGUUUGCUACCAUCACUCUGGAUUUGUGCAUGCACUCCUUACAUAAUCUCACUAUGUUUUAUUCCUAUGCAUGCCAGUUAUUGUACACAAUGGAACUGAUCAUGUAGAGCAAAAGAGACGAGCCUUGCGUGGCAAUAAAAUUUCAUGCAGACGUCGUUCCAUGGUGGGUGCAAAGGUAGCUCCCCUCCACCCAUUUCGGAUCGUAAUCAAGAGGAAGAUAACUGUUCUGAGGGGGAUUCAGAAGGAGAAGACCACUCCUAUUUACCCCAUGAGGUCUUCGCUCUAACUUGGCAUGCUGAUGUUGGUAAUAUCAUGCAUAUGGUGCCUUGCAUUGCUUACUGUAUACAUUAAAGAUGUCAUCUGCUUAGUUUAGACAUGCUUUGUGUCAAUGCCAUCUGUUUAGUUUCUUUAUCGUAUAUGUGAAUCAUGCAAUGCCAUCUUGUCUAGCCAGGCAUCAUAUAUGUGAAUUUUACAAUGCCACCCUGGUUAGCCAGUCAUCUUAUAUGUGAAUUAUAUCAUGCCAUCAUUUUUUUAUUACGUGUUAAAUUUGUCAACAAUUUUAGUACAUUCAAUUACUCUUCCUGUGCAUCAGCCAUUCGGCACGGUCAUGGAAAAACCUGGAGUGGAAACAAGGUCUUCAGAGCAGACAAUGCUAUCUGACGAAGCGCAUGUCUUCCUGGUUAUCGAUAGCUCCUCAGAGGAGGAUUCAGAGACAGAUGACCAGUCAUAUUUCCCCCCGUGGUGCAUGCCCUAACUUGGCAGGGUUAUGUUGCUCAUAUCGUGCGUAUGGUAUCUUGCAUUGCUAUGUCAUUUGCUUAGUUUAGACAUGCUUUGUGUGAAUGCCACCUGUUUAGUGUCUAAUUACCAUAUAUGUGAAUUAUGCAAUGCCAUCUUGUUGCAAGACAUUAUAUAUGUGAAUUAUGCAAUGUUAUCUUGUUGCAAGGCAUUAUGUAUGUGAAUUAUGCAAUGCCAUGCUGUUUAGGCAAGCGUCAUAUAUGUGAAUUAUAUCAUGCCGUCCUUUUUUUGUAUUUCUCAUUGCUUUUGUCGACAAUGUUUGUAUAUUCAACCGCUCUUCCUGUGCAUCAGCCAUUUGAAUUGGUGAUGGAGAAAUCUGGAGUGAAAACAAGGUCUUCAGAGCAGACAAUGCUACCUGCUGAAGCAGAUAUCUUGCUGGUUACAGAUAGCUCUUCAGAGGAGGAUUCAGAGGCAGAUGACCAGUCCUAUUAUCCCCCUGAGGUGUAUGCACAAACUUGGCAGGGUUAUAUUACUCAUAUAAUGCAUAUGUUGUAUUGCAAUGCUUAGUUUUUACAUCAUAUACACAAUAUUAAAUGCCAUCUCCUUAGUUGACACAUCAUAUAUGCGAUUGCCCUCUGCUCACUUCCUUAGUAUAUAAAUCAUAUAUUUGAAUUAUGUCAUGCCAUGAUGUUUACAUAGACAACAUGUAUCUGAAUUAUGGCAUGCCAAUCCAUUUUCUAAAGACAUAAUAUAGUUAUAUCAUCUCAUCCUGUUUACAUAGUCAUCAUAUUUUAAAUUAUGUCAUUCUAUCCGUGAAUUAUAUCAUGCCAUCAUGUUUCCAUCGACGGCAUGUUUGUGAUUUAUGGCAUGCCAACCACUUUAAUAGACACAUCGUAUAGUUAUAUCAUGUCAUCCUGUUUACAUAGUCAUCAUAUUUUGAAGUAUGUCAUUCUAUCCUGUUUAGUUAGCCAUCAUACAUGUGAAAUUGUGUCAUGCUAUCCUGUUUAAUUAGCCAUCAUAUAUGUGAAAUUAUGUCCUACUAUUCUGUUUGCUUAGACAACAUAAAUGUGAAUUAUUUCAUGCCCUGUUUUCUUCCCUACUAUCCAUUGCACCUGUCUAUCUUACAAUGUCUGUACAUUCAAUUACUUUUCUUGUUUAUCAGCCAUUUCAAUUGGAGGGAGUGAUGGCAGUAUCUGUGGGAGUAAAAACACGGUCUUCAGAAAAGAUCAUGCUACCUGUCGAUGCAGAUAGAACCACGGUUGUACUUGCCCAAGAACCAGCCCCACCACACAUAACCCACACUCAUGCAGAUUGUACCCCUACCCAGUUGGAUAGAGAACCAGCUACACCCCUUCUAACCCCAACCCCAGCAGAUAGACACCCAGUUCCCGUUGACACAGCACCAUCUCCACCACAGAGCACACCCAAACACGAGUAGUUAGUAAGGCAACUGCAGUGCCCAAAUCACGAGGACCACCACUCCGAACCCGAAGUCAACGCUUAAAGCAGAAGAAGAAUUGUUCUCAGGUCAGGUUUCGUAGCUAUGGUUCAUACUACUUUGCUCCUGCAUCACUGUGUUUACUGAUACCAACUAAUUUCAAAUUUGAAGGAUGCAAUUGAAACUCCAAUGGCGCAACAGGUAUGUUUUAAACCUGUUUCUUCAACGUGUUUGGCUGUUUGCUGUUGUAACUUGCUCUAUGUUGAUUUCAAUUUCAAUUGAAUAAACAGUUAUGUUCUCAUGCCAUGCACAUUACAAGUGUUGUUAUUGCUGUGUAGUUUCCCACACUUAUAUUCUGUCUAUGCUGCUUUGUCUUAAAUAGAUAUGAUUCGAACUGUAUCUAUCUUGAUUUGGCAACAUAAACUAGAAUGAUAUAGACCAUACAGUGACCAUACUACAUAGAUAUAUGUUUGUUUCAUGCUGUUAUCCUGUCCACCUUACUACUGAACUGGUUUACCAAAUUGAGUUUCAUAUACUACAUUGUAAACCUGAGAUGUGUUUGUUUGUUUCUCUUUUAGAACGCGGAUAAAAUAUUGGAGAAGAGUACCCUGUUAUGCAAUGGUAAAGGAAGUAAUGCAGAUAAGGUUCAAGAUAGUGAGACAUCCCUGUUGGUCUCCAAGAAAGCUGAUAAAAACUAUAUUGAAGACACUGAGACAACCCCAAAGUCCUGUCUUGAUGUAGUGUUCGAGUUACUGGCUACCACUGCUGGCACCAGCUCUUCGAACUCGUUGCCUGAAUCAGUUCGGCUUCUUGAGUCUCAACUUCAAGUUGAAAGACAUCGAUCAGAUGUUAUGUGACAGGAAGCCGAAGGACUGAGGAAGUCCCUGCAGAAUUCAGAUGCAUACUUUCUGGUGCAACAGCAAGCGCUGGAGGACUUAAGCGCCAAACAAGAGAAAGUUAAUAAGCUUGCUAAGCAUCUUGCCAGCAUUAUGGGUACCCAGGAUAUUGUUUCUUGAGCUCUUCUGAAGUGGUUUCAGUUCUGGACUUGUUUUGCUGCGGCGUUUAUAUGCUGCUGUGUUCCCUAUAUUUGCACUGGUGGCGAACUUUGAUGCCCAGUGGAUGUAAUAUGUGUAAUAGCCGUGAUAGCCUAGUGUAAGUUGCUUGCUUAUUUAUUUCCUUGUUGUCUUGUUUAUUUGUUUGCUUGUAGUCAGUACAGUUCUUUUUCUGCGGUUUGCUAGUGGCUACAAUAACCUAUUUUUUAAAACUAGGCCACAAUAACCAUGGGCUAAUAUUUACUGUAGUGACACUGGGCCUCCUACGGGCCGUAGAAACAGUGGGCCUUCUACGGGCCGUAGAAACAGUGGGCCUUCUACGGGCUGUAGAAACAAUGGGCCUUCUACGGGCCAUAGAAACAGUGGGCCUUCUACGGGCCAUAGAAACAAUGGGCCUUCUAUGGGUCGUAUCAUCAAUGGGCCUUAUACGGGCCGUAUGAUCGAUUGGCCAAACAUGGGCCAAACUGACCGCAUUCUGGCCGUAACCGGGCUAGAGUUGGAGAGUUGGAAUCGUCCAUUCAUGGGCCGACCAUAACGGGCCAUCGUUAAUAGGCCGUAUUUGAUGACGCUAUGAAAACGGCCCAACAUAUUAACGGACCACAAACGGGCCGACUGUAACCACGGGCUGAAUUUGGCCCACAAGUAGAAAAUGACAGUAACGAGCCGUAAGUAAACGAAUGCUGGAAAAUAGCCCAAGAAUAAAUGGGCUCUGAGAAGGCCGAAAGAUAACAUGGGUUGGAAACGGCCCAACGGAAUGACGGGCCAUUAAUGGGUAUAAAGUGAUACACUGUUCUUUACGAGCCAGUUUCACCACGGGCCGUUAAUGGGUGUAAAGUGAUACACUAUUCAUUACGGGCCAGUUUCACCACGGGCCGAAAGACGUCAUGGGCCAUACAUGGGCCAGAAGUGAAAAUGGGCUGGAAUCAUAUUGGGUGGCCCAGAUGACGCUACUGGGCCUAAUUCGAAUAGGGCGUAACGGGCCUUGGGUUAGCGGGCUGUAAAUGGGCUAUAUGCGAACAGGCCGUUAACAGGCUUUCCAUGGCCCGGCCCGCCACCUUUUGACCAAGUCAAACGGGCCGGCCUUUUCACAGGAAUGGGCCUCUGUUGGGCCGUGCCACGUGUCGACGCAUCAUAGGCGCCUUCUGUCCAAUGAGUGGAUGACAUCUGUCCCAGCGAUGAGCCGACACGUGUUUCCUCCAGCCAAUGAUGAUUUUACACAUGGAAAAUCCCCAUUGGUCGGGGCUGUUAACGGGUUAUCGGAUCCAAAACCUGACCUAAUAGCUUAACGGCGUUCCAUUACGGUGGAUGCCACGUGUCGGUCACCCUUGACGAAAGCACUUCUGUGACGCGCGAUUUAUCGUCAUGGAAGUGGACACUUCGGUGAUGAUAAUUUUGGUAAUGUCAUGGAACACUUCUACGACAGCACAUGUAUGACUAUCUUGAUUCUGUCAUAAAUUUGUCAUGGAUGUACAUGCAUGACAAAAAACGCGACCUACUGUGACAAACACGUAUCAUCACGGAAGUGUAUUUUUUUUGUAGUGUCUUUUGCAACGCGAGGAUGAGCUGGUUGUCGUCGAGGAAUUUGAUCAGCAUUUUCUUCAGGUGCAUUAGCUCGACGUUCUUCACGUUCUGGAAUGAAUUCUUCAGCAGAUUCUUCGGUAGGAAUGACAUCCUCAGUAGCCUUGAACUUGAUAGUUUCCUCAGGUGCUGGUUCAUCUAUCACAGAAGGUAGGUUCUCUAUUGGGUUUCUUGUCAGUGAGGAGUUCAUAGGCAGUCUUCUUGAAGAAUUUGUGAAGAUAUACUCUGUUGAUGAUAUGACACGCAGUAUCAAUUGCAUCAAUCCAGAAACGACGAGGUGUUUUGUAUUCAUCAAGCAUAGUGCGAGCCAUCUCAGCAAGAGUCCUAUUCUUGCGCUCCACGAUGCCAUUCUGCUGAGGAGUAUAAGGAGCAGAUAACUCAUGAGUAAUACCAAGUUCAUCAAGAUAGUCAUCGAGACCAGAUUUCUUGAACUCAGUUCCAUUGUCACUUCUGAUGUGCUUGAUCUUCACACCAAAGUUGGUUGAAGCCCUCGAGGAAAAUCGUUUGAAGACUUCCUGCACUUCAUGUUUGUAAGUAACAAUGUGUACCCAUGUGUAGCGAGAGUAAUCAUCAACAAUAACAAAGCCAUAUUGAGAUGCAUCAUUUGAAACUGCAGAAUAAUGGUUAGGACCGAAGAGAUCCAUGUGAAGCAAUUCAAAUGGUCGAGUAGUAGUCAUGAUAGUCUUUGCUGCGUGCUUAGCCUUUGUCAUCUUCCCAGCUUCACAGGCUCCGCAUAAGUGAUCCUUGAGGAAUUUGACAUUCUCAAUGCCGAUGACAUGCUUCUUCUUUGCAAGCGUGUGCAAAUUCCUCAUGCCUGCAUGACCAAGUCGUCGAUGCCAUAGCCAGCCUUCUGAAGCUAUUGCAAGUAGGCACACGGCUGGUUGAGGUCCUAUAGAGAAAUCAACAAUAUACAAGUCUCUUCUCCUAAAGCCUUCGAAGACUUUGGAAUUGUCAGCUUCCAUAACCACAACACAAUGAUACUUGCCAAAGAAAACAACCAUAUCAAGAUCACAAAGCAUUGAGACGGACAUGAGGUUGUAUCCUAAGGACUCGACAAGCAUGACUUUGUCCAUGUGUCUAUCCUUUGUGAUCACAACCUUACCUAGACCCAAUACCUGACUUUUGCCUUUGUCAGCGAAGAUGAUAUGCUUCAGAUGCGAUGGUGAUAAGGGAGCAUCCAUCAAUAGAUUCUUGUCACCAGUCAUGUGAUUUGUACAUCCACUAUCGAGGACCCACUCAGUGGCUUUGGGUUGAUCAUCCUGCAGAUGAAUUAGUACAGCUUACGAACUCAUAUACUUCAUCAGUGAAGAAUAUGACAUCAAUUCAUCAGAUCAAUUUCAUCAAGCAACAGAACAGAUAAAGCAAUAUGAGGACGUGAGAAAUGAAAGUUCAUUUCUUCAUGAUUAGCCUGCGUCCUUUCAGGCACUUUUCAGGUCUCCAGCAAAUUCUUCAGACGUUCACGCACGUCUGGAGACUUGACCCUGCAGAAGAGAUUAGUUCUUUUUCUUCACCACACACAUCUGAAGGGGUGGCAAAGAGUUCAUCACUCUGCGAGCUCCAUACGAGAAAGGUGGCAUAGAAGCCAAUCCAUUUCGUUUCACAUAAGAGGAGUUAGGGUAAGCAUAUGAAUAAGCAGAGAAAUUCUUCGAGGACUUAUGAACAUAAUGGUUAGAAGAAUAAUGCUCAUAUUCAUAGUCCUUAGCUCUUCCCUGCGAAACAGAGUUGUUAGCACGAUGAUAUUCAUAUGAGGACUUUCAUCCUUUUGAGGAAUUUGAUCCACGUGAGGAAUUUGGUCCGUAUGAGGACUUGGAUCCAUAUGAAGAAUUUGGUCCAUAUGAAGAAUUUGAUCUGGGGUUCCUAUUCUUCAUGGGUGGUGUCAUGAGGACAUUCACCUGAAGACUUUCAAGGCAUCUUUUGGGAACCCAGAUUUUCUUCAUAGGGGAACCGUUCCUGCAGUUAGUGCCAACAUAUCUAGCAAAUACUUCACCAUUCUGAUUUUUGAACAGUUUAUAAUUGGAGUCAAAUGACUCAUCAGAAGAAUGAGAAGAUUCACAUGUAAAGCCAGAUAAAUUAGAUGGGUCAACUGGAGGACCCUUUGCAGCAACCCAUGAGGUUUUGGGGUACUGCUCAGGCUUCCAAUAUGUAUCAUCAGCAUUGAGUUUCCUCUCAAAGGCAAUACCCUCUUUCCUAGGGUUCUUGUUGAGGAUCUACUUUUUAAGCACAUCACAAAGAGUCUGAUGCCCUUUGAGGCUUUUGUACAUGCCUGUCAUGUACAAUUCCUUCAGCACUGCAUCGUCAGUGAUACUAGCAAUGUCCUCAGAUGAGGAAUUAGUGAUAGCAGAGGCAGGUGAAGAAUUUGUAACAUUAGAAGCAUUUGAACAUUCAGGUGAAGAUUUAGCAUAUUCACGUUCAAUGCAUUUCAAACAUGGAGGAACAAAUUCUUCCUGAGAAGCGCUGAUUUGUUGAGCAAGUAAUGAAUCGCGCUCCUUCUGAAGAUCUUCAUAACUCACUCUUAGCUUUUCAAUAUCUUGCUUUCUUUGAAGAAAUUCAUAAGAAAGCUUCUCAUGAUCAGAUAAGAGAGUGUUAUGAUGACCUUGAAGGUUGUCAAACCUAGUCUGAAGUCUCUGAAGAUUUUCAGUCAAGGUUUUAGUGCGAUCCAUUUCUUCACCCAACAUAUCAUCACUUUUGUCUAGCAUGUUUUGAACCUUUUCAAAAGCCCUUUGUUGUUUCACAGCAAUCUUAGAAAGUUUAGAAUAGCUGGGCUUGAGAUUUUCAUCAGAUUCAUUCUCACUUGAUUCAGAGGAGGUAUAUUUGAGUACCUUGGCACCCUUUGCCAUGAAGCAAUAGGUGGGAGCGUAGUCAUCAUUGCCUUCAUCAGCCUUGUUGGUGAGGUCAUUUUCUGCAGUGUUGAAGAUAGACUUGCUGACGAAUGCAGUAGCGAGGGCUAGGCUCGCCACACAGGAUUCGAACUCCUCAGAUGCCUCCUCUUCCUCAUUUUCUUCAGAUUAAGCCUCAGAGUCCAUUUCCUUGCCAAUGAAUGCCCGAGCCUUCUUGGAGCUGCUCUUCUUGUGAGAUGAAGACUUCGAGGAUUUUGAUGAUGAAGAUUUUGAGGAUUUCUUCUUUUUCUUCGCAUCAUCAGAACUGUAAUCCUUGUAUUUCUUCUUCUUUGAUUCCUUUCCCACUGAGGACAGUCUUGAAUGUAGUGUCCAGGUUUCUUGCAUUUGUGGCAAAGCCUCUUCUUGUAGUCACUGGAUGAGGAAUCAUUGCUCCUUGAGGGUCUUCCAAAGCGACCACGUCUUGAGAACUUCUGGAAUUUCUUCACGAGCAGUGCUAGCUCAUGACUCAGCUCUUCAGGAUCACCAAGGCUACUACCAGAAUCUUCAUCUCCAGACUCAGAAACUGCCUUGGCCUUUAGUGCACGUGAUCUGGCAUAGCUCGAACCAUAGAGAUCUCUCUUUUCAGCAAGCUGGAACUCAUGAGUAUUUAGCCUCUCGAGGAUAUCAGCGGGAUCAAGUGACUUGUAAUCAGCAUGUUCUUGUAUCAUCAAUGCCAGAGUAUCAAAUGAGGAGUCAAGCGAUCUCUGCAAUUUCUUCACCACCUCACGGUCGGUGAUGUCAGUGGCACCAAGCGCUUGAAGCUCAUUUGAGAUGUCAGUGAGGCGAUUGAAGGUUUGUUGAACAUUUUCAUUGUCAAGUCUUUUGAAGCGGUUGAAGAGAUUGCGAAGAACAUCAACUCGAGAGUCACGCUGUGUUGAGACUCCUUCAUUGACUUUGGACAGCCUAUCCCAGAUAAGCUUAGCAGUUUCCAAAGCACUCACUCUUCCAUACUGUCCUUUGCUCAGAUGGUCACAAAUGAUAUUCUUUGCUUGAGAAUCGAGUUGCUUGAAUCUCUUCACAUCAGCAGCAUUCAGAGAAGGUGUGACUGAGGGAACACCAUUUUCCACAACAUACCAGAGAUCGUUAUCAAUUGCCUCAAGAUGCAUUCGCAUCUUAUUCUUCCAGUAGGGGUAGUCCGUCCCAUCGAAGGUAGGACACCCAGCAGAGACCUUGAUCAUACCUGCGGUCGACAUAACUAAAACUCCAGGCGGUUAAACCAAAAUCACACAGAACAAGGGAGUACCUUGCUCUGAUACCAAUUAAAAGUGUGUUAUAUCGACUAGAGGGGGGUGAAUAGGCGAUUUUUAUGAAUUCUUCACUGAGGAAUUUGCCGGUGAGGAAAUUCCUUAGCAAAGAACUACUAGCAGCGGAAUAAGUACUCAAAAGUAAACAUAACAGAACACAAGCAUGGUCAUCAUGAUGAAAUGAAGACAAGCACAGAGUACAGAAAGCGUAAUCACAGGAUAACACAGGAUGAAGACAAACAGACUGAAGAAAUUGAACUGAGGAAAUUGAGAAAGUCUUCAGUCAAAGUCUUCAAACAUAGAUAUGAACAAGCACACAACACAGUAAUGAGGAAAUGAAAGAGUUGAGGAAAUAGAACCAGUAGGCUUGAUGAAGACAAUGAUUUGGUAGACCAGUUCCAACUGCUGUCUCAGUUGUACAUCUGGUUGGAGCGGCUAGGUAUUUAAACCUGAGGACACACAGUCCUGGACACAUAGUCCUCACCGUAUUCACCUUGAGCUAAGGUCACACAGACCGCCCAAUCACUCGUGGUAAGUCUUCAGGUGACUUCCGAACCUUCACAAACUCGGUCACUCGGCGAUCCACAAUUCCUCUUGGAUGCUCUAGACCAUGACGCCUAACCGUCUGGAAGAAGCACAAUCUUCAAAGGUAACAAGCGUCGGAUCCACGCAGGAUCAAUCUCUUCAGUGAUGCUCAAUCACUUUGGGUUUGUAGGUGUUUGGGUUUGGAUUUUCCUCACUCGAUGAUUUUCGCUCAAAGUCCUCGAGAGGAUGGGAUGCUCUCAAAUGACAAGUGUCAGUUUCUCUCGGAGCAGCCAACCAGCUAGUGGUUGUAGGGGGGCGGCUAUUUAUAGCCUAGGGAGCAGCCCGACAUGAUAAGACAUAAAUGCCCUUCAAUGAUAUGACCGUUAGGUGGGUAGAUAUUUUGGUACAGCUGGCGCGUAGCACAGCAAUGGUCGGAAAUUUGAGUAUCAAAUUCCUCAGGGCUAUCAUGUUCCUCACAGUGUAGGCAAUCCGCACUGGCGAAUUCCUAACUCCUCAGUUAGAACAAAUUCCUCAGAGACCAGAAAAACUUCGUCUCUGUCACUGAAGAAUAUGACUGAACUGUAUGAGAUUUCCAAUGGCUUCACUCGAAGGGAUUGGUAGGUGUAGGAUUUUGAGUUGAGCAUCACAUGGAAAUUUUUCCUUAGUAUUUCCUCGAUCCCCUUUAACAGUACGGUGUUUCCUAUGACUCAAGAAAGAGAAAAUGAAACUACGGAAACAAAAGUCUUCACGCUUCAUGUUCCUCGAAUGAAUACCAAGUCUUCAAGGUCACACCAAUUUCUUCACUUUCAAAGUCUUCAGAAAGUCUUCUGAAAUCCAAAGUCUUCAGUCGAAGAACUUCAUUUUAGGGGUCGACUUUCUCUGUAAAUAUCAAACUUCUCAUAGACUUAUAGACAUGUGUACACUCAUAAACGCAUUAGUCCCUUAACCUAUAAGUCUUCAAUACACCAAAAUCACUAAGGGGCACUAGAUGCACUUACAAUAAGUGGCUUCCAUGUGCUGUCAUUCUCCCUGACGAUGUGUAAUAUUGUAGGAUGAUGUGAAAUUAGCUGAGGUACUUAAAAUGAUGGGAGCUAAGGUUACAUGGACUGACACUAGUGUAACUGUUACUGGCCCACCGCGUCAGCCCUUUGGAAGGAAACACUUAAAGGUUGUCGAUGUCAACAUGAACAAAAUGCCUGACGUGGCCAUGACUCUUGCCGUUGUUGCCCUCUUUGCCGAUGGUCCAACUGCUAUCAGAGAUGGUAAACUUUCUAUGGCCUUCCAUACCUAGCAAUCAACCAUGCGCGUCGCGAUUACUCUGUGGCAUCAGGGAGGGGAUAAAGGACUCGAAAUCACUAUGUUAUGUCCUGACACUUGUUCAUUCUCUUCUGCAGUUGCCUCCCGGAGAGUGAAGGAAACUGAAAGAAUGGUUGUGAUCCGGACCGAGCUGACGAAGGUAAUAAUACACAAUGUCUCCUGUUCUUAAAAAUUUCAUAGAAAUUUCUGAAAUUUCGCAGAUUUCAGUGGGGACCGAAAUAUUUUUAACCCCGAAAUUUUGGUGCAGAUUCAAACUGAUUUCAAAAAAAAAUCAUUUUAAAAUUUAUUAAAAUUAAGUGGAAUUUGAAAUCUCAAAAUCCAAAAUAGUUUCAGAAAUAUGUGAAAUUUCGAAAUUUCGCAUAUUUCAGUGAGCUCCGAAAUUAUUUUGUUUCCGAAAUUAAAAAGCUUCCCGAGGUGCUUAAUCUAACCUGUCCUGUAUCCUGUGUCAUAUAGCUGGGAGCAACGGUGGAGGAAGGCCCAGACUACUGCAUCAUCAUGCCACCGGAGAAGCUGAACGUCACGGCGAUUGACACAUACGACGACCACCUGAUGGUGAUGGCCUUCUCCCUGGCGGCCUGCGCCGAGGUGCCAGUCACCAUUAGGGACCCCGGGUGCACCCGCAAGACCUUCCCCAACUACUUCGACGUGCUAAGCACCUUCGUCAAGAACUAGAUGGGGGAAUCCAUGGUCUGAGGAAUUUUUGUCUUUUUCAUCUUCUCGCGAGAUGGUGUAUGAGUCUGUAAUAUUAGUUUUGUAGUGCGUGAGUCCAGAGGUAAAAUGAAAUGUAUUGCACACUAUAUUCGUUUUUUGAAUAAGAAAUAAAUUACUGUUCUGUGAUCUAGAUGCCAUGCUGCUGAUCUUCGGCAUGCCUAUAGGAAAGGGGGCAGCAUUCCCUAAUACUCAAACCUAAAUGAAGUAGUCCAGGUAUGGAUCUCAACAAGAGAUCCUAUGGAGGGAGAGCGCGGUACCGGCAUAGAACAUGAGUGCUCAUUGUUGUUAAUUGUGCGUUAGGCAUGCUAUGAAAGCAUAAUUAGUGUGGCAUUUCAACAGAUACUACUAAUGUGCUGGGCGAAAUAGUUAGCGUAAACAAGCGGGCCCAGUUUGUGUUGCGAAUGGAAUCAUGUGAUGAACAUUUCCUACCCUACAUAAAACAAAUAUUCUAGAGCGCGGAGGUGUAACCUCAUGUCGGAAUGUGCGCAUUUCGCUUCAGUGAGUUUCAGAACACCGAUCGGCGGGGACUAUAUUUGUCUCCCAUAGCGGCUUGCCUGCAAAGGUAUAUUCCAGUCCGGACCGAUCACCGUCCUCGUCACUGCGGUGAGGUGUAAGAAAUGGACUGGUUAACAGACUCCACUUCAUUAUUGUAAAAUCAUUCCCCAUGCCUUCCAAGCCCACACACUUUACAAUGGACACUGUCGCUCGUCUUUUGUUGAUAGUGGAAAUGGACACGUCUCCGUUGCUAAAGGAAAUUGAAAUUGGAGUCAGGAGCCACGGGAGAGAUUGAUAUUUAUUGGUUGGGUGUAUGGUGACAUGAAGUGCCUUGCUGGCCCACCACAUUGCAUAUCUUUUGUGUGCUUCCGGUACUAUUUUAGCACGUGCAUGGCUACACAUCUCUAUUCAGCUUUGAUUUGCUAUCUUCACCUUUAUGCGUAGUAAAAAUCAUAUAUUCGACACAUCAUAGGCCCACGGCUAAAUCAUCGGUCAUCAAACAAGCUACAAAAUCUGGUAUGUAGGGCAACACUAGUAGAAAAAGGGCCUUUAGUUCCGGUUCAUAAGGGCCUUUAGUCCCGGUUCUGGAACCGGGACUAAAGGGUCGUUACUAAAGCCUCCCCCUUUAAUCCCGGUUCUUACAUGAACCGGGACUAAAGGCCCUCCACGUGGCCGCUGCCUGGAGGUCCACCUUUAGUCCCGGUUGGUAUCGGUACUAAAGGAAAUUUUAUGAUUUUUUAUGAUUUUUUUUAUUUUUAAAUUUCUGAAUUAUUUUAACCUCUAAUCUCUAAUCACCCCUCAAUUUAACCUCUAAUCUCUAAUCACCCCUCAUCAUUCCAAAUCAUCUAACUUCCCGGACGGUCCACCCAUCCUCUCACUACUCCAGUCUGAGCACGCUUAACUUCCGGGUUCUAUUCUCCCUCGUUUCCAAGUCUGCACUUGUUGUUUUCCUGACAAUAGUAAGAUGUCAAUCCUAUUAACCCUCAGGAAUUUAGCUUGAGCAUGAAGUCACACAUUUCACUGUUUGAGUUUGAAACUAUUGUUUUAAAAAACAAUAAUUAUUUAUUAACACUAAUAUUUCUUGAAUAAGUAGUUUGACCAUAGUUUGACCACAGUUUGACCAGAUUUGACCAAAAUUCAAAAAAACUGAAAUAAUUAUUUAGUAACACUAAUAUUUCUUGAAUAAUUAGUUUGACCAUUGUUUGACCAUAGUUUGACCAGAUUUGACCAAAAUUCAAAAAAACUGAAAUAAUUAUUUAGUAACAGUAAUAUUCUUGAAUAAUUAUUUAGUAACACUAAUACUUCUUGAAUAAGUAGUUUGACCAUAGUUUGACCAGAUUUAACAAAAAUUCAAAACAAAAAAAAUAGAAAUUUGAGCAUAACUUUUUUUCCUUUUAGAAUUUGAGGAUUCUAAAAAUUUGCAAACAGGCCGUAGGCGGUCAAAAUCGGAUGCGGAUUUUCGUGCUGAACACUAAUAUUAUACUUUUUUUCUGACAUCGUAUGCAAAAGUUAUAGCUGUUUUACAUUUUCCCAACACUUUUUGCAAACUGUCCAAAUUUAAGUUUUUAAAUUUUCCUAACUAGUACAUGUAGUAACAUAACUACAUCUGGAAGGAUUUUAAUUUUUGAAGUUUUUAUCAUUUUCUUUUGCUUUUUACAAAACUGAAAAGGCGAUCCACAGGGGGGGUAGAGUUUGAAAAUGGGACCUUUAGUACCGGUUCGUGCCAUGAACCGGUAUUAAUGCCUCAAACCCCAUUAGUACCGGUUGGUGGCUCGAACCGGGACUAAAGGUCUAACCUUUAGUACCGGUUGGUCCCACGAACCGGUACUGAUGGGCAUCGCACCCUUUAGUCCCGGUUCGUGGCACCAACCGGGACUAAAGGUCCCAUUUGAACCGGGACUAAUGCAUGUACGGUGCCCUAGCCGCUCGAACCGGGACUAAUGCUCACAUUAGUCCCGGCUCGUAAUGCAACCAGGAUUAAUGCUCUUUUCUGGCCGAACCAAAGCCCUGUUUUCUACUAGUGCAACCACAUAGCAUGGGUUCCAUGGACGGCACCAACACACAAAGAGGCGAAAUCAUGAGCAAGUUUACUACAAUCAUGUGGAUAACUCACCCUAAUGGUUUCAUUGAUUUGAAUGGACCGUUGUAGGAAUCCUCAUUCAAUAUAUGAGUCCCUUGGAGGAAAUGGGGAAACAAAUCGAAAGUGAGGAAACAAAUCCAAUUAUUUUAUUUGCAUAGAAGCAGUGACGAUAUCUAGGGAGAGUGUACCACUUCACUCAUGAAGUUAACACAAGUGAGAAUUGAUUUAUGUUAUUCAUAUAAUUCAAAAGAGGAAUAUCAUUUCUCGAGGAAAACUAACCUUCUCGCUAUCGACACAUGUGCGUCUGAGAUUCUUCUUUACAUUCUUGCAUUGAGAUGCCACAACUCUUUCCUAGGGAAUCGGGUAAAUAUGUUGGCUAGUGAAAGCGAGCUAUAUCAGAUCUAAGGAAGAAUGGAGUUUUGCUAGCUCUUUGUUUCCUACAUCCAGUGUAAUUCCCUUCCGAUCCCCUGCGUAAAGGGGUGUCGUGUUCUUUUUACAAUGGGGGUGAUCCCCCAUCCAUGUUUACAUAAGAAAAGGUUGGUUGUAGGAAACCUUUUCUUGCUCAAUCUGUUGCUUGUUAGUUAUGAACAAUAGAAGCCGUUCAACAUGAGCUUCAAUAAGACUAGUCGAGAACCUUUGGCUGCUUGAACAAUUCGAAUGGCACAUAAUUCAUGCUGGGCGGCAAGCAUUGCCUACUCCAAUGCCAUGCAGGCUAGGUAAGGGAACAUUGCAGUUUGCACAAAGAAAAUUGCACAGUACUAUGUGCAAAACAUUUUCUUCCCUUACCCUCGAUGACUAGGGUAAAUUCCCCCCCUCCAGUCUUCGCCGGUGAGCCCAUAGAUUCACCUCCCCUUUGCAUGUCGCUCUGGAGGAUGAUGGCGGGAAGAGGAAUUUCGAUGCCGCCACAUCGGCUAGUAGUUUAGGUUAGAGACUUUUAGUCCUCGCCACACUCGGUAGAUGGAGGUGCUUCUUCUUAGACUUUGUAUUUGGGGCUUUGAUCCUCCUUGGGUUUGUCUGUCCAGACGUAGUCGACGGAGCUCCAGUGUAGAUUUCUGACUUUCUGUCAUCUUAUGACUAUGAUGUUAGGGUCUCUCGCGAUUUGGUGUCACGUGCUUCAGAUCUAUUCAUGGGUUCAACAACGACGAUUACGGCUCCAAGACGAUGGUCCUUAGGGAACAUGCAGGGAGACUUCCUAGCUGUCAUCGGUAAGUUCAAGUCGGGUCGUGCAGGGGAGCGACGACAACGAUGCGUCAGCGGCUCAUUCUGCUGGUGGUAUUGGUCAUUUGGUGGUCCAUGAACUUUGAUAUAAUUUUAGUUAAAAUUGAGAUGCGUUGUAUGAAUUUUUAUAAGUCAAUUACACCGGUCGUGCUAGAACUUGGCGCAAACAGUCACGUUGGUGCUAGAAAUUGCGGCAUAGAUUGAACUGGUGCAAUAAUUUGGCUUGAGCGUGCAAAUACGGUGCAAAUCUCGAUUGUGUAUGCCUGAGCCAUUGACUAGGCGUGCCAGCGUGACGUGGGGCCCGCUGUCAGCCACUGUAAGGCAGAGAGGAGCACGUGUGGCAUUUUUUCUUUGCGAAAACCCCCUCAAAUUUUUUAUUUCACAUAAAAAAGCCCUUGCUUACGCGUUAGAUGGCAUUUAAUUUUUUUCCGCCUCACACAUGGGUCCCACUUGUAAGUAAAGGAAAAUUAAACAUGAAAAUAAACACGUGGGUCCACUCACAUUCUAUUGCACGACAUCGAUAACAAACCUUAAUGUAGUACAAGCUCAAACGCAUGUGGGGCUUAAAUGGGUUGCAAAUAGUGCGGCCCAUUUUGCAUGCAGUAGUUUUUUAAAGAUAUUUUUAAAACAUAAAUAAUAAACAUCAUGUUUAAAUACUCAUGUGUUAUAAAUAUUAUAAUUUUUAGGGGGAUAUAAAUAUUAUACAUAAAACAAACAUUAGUAAAUAAAAGGAUUUAAAUAUACCCCCAUGUAUUAUAUAAAAAGUUUAGUAAAUACGGACAUUUAUUUUUUAUUAAAUAGAAAGGUUUAAUGAAUAAAAAAAUACACACUUUUACUUAUAUUUAAUUAUACAAAAUGAUGAAUACAAACAUUUACUAAAUAUUCAAUUGUGUAUAAGUUUCACUCAUGGCUUAUAUUUGAAAUAUUUAUNNNNNNNNNNNNNNNNNNNNNNNNNNNNNNNNNNNNNNNNNNNNNNNNNNNNNNNNNNNNNNNNNNNNNNNNNNNNNNNNNNNNNNNNNNNNNNNNNNNNNNNNNNNNNNNNNNNNNNNNNNNNNNNNNNNNNNNNNNNNNNNNNNNNNNNNNNNNNNNNNNNNNNNNNNNNNNNNNNNNNNNNNNNNNNNNNNNNNNNNNNNNNNNNNNNNNNNNNNNNNNNNNNNNNNNNNNNNNNNNNNNNNNNNNNNNNNNNNNNNNNNNNNNNNNNNNNNNNNNNNNNNNNNNNNNNNNNNNNNNNNNNNNNNNNNNNNNNNNNNNNNNNNNNNUUUAUUAUAAAAACAUUUUUAAUUCAAAUUUAAAAUAGUAAUACUCAUAUUGUAUUGUUUUAAAUUAUACAUAUAUUUUUAUACAUAAAUAUUGUUUAAAAUAUAUAUGAAUUUUUUCAAAAUAAUACGUGCUUUUUUUAAAAAAUAAGUUAUUUUGAUUGUAUGUAUAUUAGCACAUAUGUCCGUGCGUUGCAACCUGAGAAAAAAUAGUAUGCAUUUAAAGUUAGUGAGAAUUAUAUGUGCAAGCAAAACCCUGUGCGGACAUGAAAAAGGAAUAUUUAGCUUCUCGGUUUUGCUAGGUGUGAAAUAAUCAAUCGGCUAUUUAUCCAUUCAGUGAUCGAGGGCAUUUAAGAGUUUUGUUACAUCACCUUACGCCAGAGAGGGCCCACGAAUUAUUCAUCUAGUUUUCCUUUCAAUCGAGGAGAUUUUAAGGUAUGAAGUUUCUCAAUAUUGUAGGAAACAUGAACCAUUUUUAAAAUCCUGAACAGUGUUUUGAAAAUUAUGUACACUUCCACAAAAACGUGCACAAAAUUUGAAUCAGGAAUAUUUUAAAAUUCACAAACAUUUUUUGAAAGCACCAACUUUUUUUAUAGAAAAAGACCAUUAUGUGAAUUUGUGAACAUUUUUUUAGAAAUGGAACCUGUGUUGAAAAUUCAUAACAUUUUGCGAAAAUGUUUAUCUUUUAACGUUAUUUUUUUUGAGGGACUUUUAACGUUAUUUUGAAUUCUGAAAGACUCACUAAAUCAAGAAUAUUUCAAAAUUUGGAUCAUGUUGAAAUUGUCAUUUUAUUUUUAGAAAUCUUGAACAAUUUUGAAAAACAAUUAAAUUUUCAUAAAAAUGGGAAACUUUUUUCAAGUGCCGAAUAUUUUUCAAAAUAGAAAAAAUUUCGGGUUUCUGAACAUUUAUGUCAUUUGUAUUUUUUAAAAUUUUGAAUGUUUUUUGAGAAUUUUGAAUUCACCAAAUAAUUUCUAUAAGAAAAAUAAACUUGUAAAGUGAAAAAAGAGAUAGGGGAAGGAGAAUAAAAAUAGAAAUAAAACUAAGUAAAAAAUGGGCCAGCCCAUCAUUGGUUGUACCGUGCGAAGUUCCAACUAUUUAUUGCCUUGUGUGGAAAAUGGAUUUUCACACCUGCAUGGACAGAAAAGUAAGUGGGCUGGCUUCGUUGGGCUACAAUGCGCGGCCCAUGUACGAAAUUCAUAAAAAGCCUUUUUUGUCUAGCAGACUACUGAUUAAGGAUUUAGUACCACCUCGGAUAGAAUAUUUUUUUCUUUUUUGAGGUGAACGGAUGAAAUUUUUUGCAAAACACACCUUGCUUUACUAGUCCUAGCACAUAUGCCCGUACGUUGAAACGGGAGAAAAAAAUAGUAUACAUUAAAGUUAGUGAGAAUUAUAUGGGCAAGCAAAGCCAUGUAUGCACGUGAAAAAAAGGAACAUUUAGCUUCUAGGUUUCGCCGGGUGUGAAGUAAUCAAUCCGCUAUUUUUCCAUUCAUUGAUCGAGGACAUUUAAAAGUUUUGUUACAUCAUCGUACGCCAGAGAAGGCCCAUGAAUUAUUCAAUCUACUUUUCCUUUUAAUCGAGGAGACUUUAAGGUAUGAAGUUUCUCAAUAUUGUAGGAAACAUGAACCCUUAUUUAAAUCCUGAACAGUUUUUUGAAAAUUAUGUGCACUUUAAGAAAAUUUUAAAAAGGAUUUUUUUCUAAAAUUCACAAACAUUUCAAAAAAACAACUUUUUUUAUAAAAAUAUGAACAUUAUUUGAAUUUGUGAACAUUUUAUUAUACGGGAACAAGUGUUGAAAAUGCAUAACAUUUUUUGAAAAUAUUUAUCUUUUAUAUGCGAAAGUUAUUUUGAAUUGUGAAAAUUUCACAAAAGCAACAAUAUUUUUCGAAUUUGGAGCAUUUUUUUAAAUUCCGUUAUCUUUUUAGAAAUCUCAAACAACUUUCAAAAAAAUAACUUUUUGGAAAAAAUGGGAAACUUUUUUCAAGUUCCGCGUAUUUUUCAAAAUAGCAACAAAACUUUAGAUUUCUGAAUAUUUCUAAAUUUUGAUUUUUUUAAUUCUGAAUGUAUUUUGAACUUGUGAAAUAAAUUCUAUAAGAAAAUUAAACUUGAAAGGAAAACAAGAAACAGUGGAAGGAGAAUAAAAAAACUAAAACACAGAAACAAAGAAAAAUGGGCUAGCCCAUUAUUGGUUGUCCUGUGCGAAGCUCCGACUAUUUGUCGGCCCGUGCAGAAAAUAGAAUUUUCCCAGCCACGUGGGCAGAAGAAUAAUUGGGUUGGCUUCGCUGGGUCACAGCACGCGGCCCACGUAUGAAAUUCUAGAAAAAGACUUUUUUUUUCUAGCAGACGAACGCAUCAGAAUUUAGUACCACCUCGGAUAGGGAAAAAAAUGCUUUUUCGGUGGUUAACGGAUGAAAAAAUUGGCGAAACGCAACUUGAUUUAUUAGUGGGCGGUAUAGAUAUAGAUAUAGAGGUACUGAUAUAAUAUUUAUACGUCAUGAAUAUUUGAGUGUUAGUUUGAUUACUGCAAUUAGUAUUUACACCCAUUUACAAAUUUCUAAAAGAAACGAGCGGGUGCGAAUGCGCCACACUGAUCGCAGCCCAUUUCAGCUCCAAGACCGCUUUUGUUCAAUUACAAUGUGCAUAGUUGUCCGUUGAAGGCGUGAUCGAUGAAGUUGCUAGGAGUGACUGUGCUAGCUACAGGUCGCUGGUUCGAUAAGCGUAGUACUCCGUUUUGGUUUCAUUUUUCAGAAAAAUGGAAAUGCCACCUCUCCAACAUCAGCAGGUUUUUUUUUGAGAAAUAAAAAAUCGAGAGGUUUUCGAAAAAAAACCGGGCCACAUGCCUUCUGUCCACCUUCUAAUUGCUGACAAGGGGCCCCACACAACGCUGUCACGUCUAGUCAGCGGCUCGAGCGUACACAAUCCAGAUUUGCAUCGUAUUUGCAUCCUCGAGCAAAGUUAUUGCAUCAGUUUAAUGUAUGCCUCAAGCUCUAGCACCGAAGUGACCAUUUGCGCCAAGUUCUACAACCGCCGGGGUAAUUGACUCAAUUUUUAGGACGCCGAUAACCACCACACGUGUGGCACCGAUGCAGCUGGACCGAAUGACUCAUUCGGUAUGAUCGCCUGUUCUUAUAUCUCAGCCUCCUGUUGCAUCCCAGGUGCUUUAUCUUACCCUGUCCUGUGUCCUGUGCCAUAUAGCUGGGAGCAACGGUGGAGGAAGGCCCGGACUACUGCAUCAUCACACCACCAGAGAAGCUGAACGUCACGGCGAUCGACACCUACGACGACCACCGGAUGGCGAUGGCCUUCUCCCUGGCGGCAUGUGCCGAGGUACCAGUCACCAUCAGGGACCCCGGGUGCACCCGCAAGACCUUCCCCAACUACUUCAAUGUGCUAAGCACCUUCGUGAAGAACUAGGCUGGGAAAAUCAACAACGAAUUGCGCUUGUACUAUGUAGCCUGUCCAUGGUUUGAGGAAAUUUUGUCUUAGUCUUGUCGCGAGAUGGUGUAUGAGUCUGUAAUAUUAGUUUUGUAGCGUGUGCGCCUUGAGGUAAAAUGAAAUGUAUUGCACACUGUUUUCUUUUUUGAAUAAGAAAUAAAUUACUGUUCUGUGAUCUAGAUGCCGUGCUACUGGCCGAGGAGGGAUCUUGCAUGCAAGCUAUAGGAAAGGGGGCAUCAUUCCCUAAUGCUUGAAAUAUAAUACUCAAACCUAAAUGAAAUAGUUCAGGUACAUAUCUCAACAUGAGAUCCUAUGGAGGGAGAGCGCCCUACCUGCAUAGCAUAGAAGAUCAGCGCUCAUUGUUGUUAAUUGUGUGUUAGGCAUGCUAUGGAAGCUUAAUUAGUGUGGCAUUUCAACAUAUACUACUAAUGUGCUGAGCGAAAUAGUUGGCGUAAACAAAUGGGCCCAGUUUGUGUUGCGAAAAGAACAAUUGCAUCAUGUGAUGAAAAAUUUCCUAUCCUACAUAAAGCAAACACUGUAGCGCACAUGUCGGGAUGUGUGUAUUUCGGGUCAGUGAGUGUCACGCCACCGUUCAGCGGGGACUAUAUUUGUCUCCCAUCACGACUUGCCCACAAAGGUCUAUGCUAGUCCGGACCGAUCACCGUCUUCAUGAUUGAAGCGAGGUGUAAGCAAUGAACUAGUUAACAAACUCCACUUCAUUACCGUAAAAUCGUUCCCGAUGCCUUCCAAGCCCACACACUUUAUGACGGUCACUUUUGCCUAUCUUUUGUUCUCAGAGGAAAUAGGAAUCAGAACUAAGAGGCACACGAGAGAUUGAUCUCCGUCCAUCGUUGCUAAAGGAAAUUGAAAUUGGAGUCCAUCGUUGCUAAAGGAAAUUGAAAUUGGAGUCAGGAGGCACGAGACAGACUGGUAUUUAUUUGUUGGGUAUGGUGACAUGAAGGUGCCUCGCUGGCCCACCGCAUUGCAUAUCUUUUGUGUGCUUUCGGUACUAUUUUAGCACAUGGGCUACACAUCUCUAGUCAGCUUUGAUUUGCUAUCUUCACCUUCGCCUUUAUGCGUAGUACUAGUAAAAUCAUACUCCCUCCGUCCGAAAAUACUUGUCAUCAAAAUGGAUAAAAAGAGAUGUAUCUAGAAUUAAUAUACGUCUAGAUACAUCCCAUUUUAUUCAUUUUGAUGACAAGUAUUUCCGGACGGAGGGAGUAUAUUCACCACAUCAUAGGCUCUCAUCGGUUCCACUCCUCCAAGGCUAAAUCACAGGCCAUCAAACAGGCUGCAAAAUCUGGUAUGUAGCGCAACCACAUAGCAUGACUUCCAUGGACGGAUCAUGAGCAUGUUAAUUACAGUCAUGAGGAGAACACACCCUAAUGGUUUCAUUUAUUUGAAUGGACUUUUGUAGGAAUCCUCAUCGAUGUAUGAAUUCCCUCGAGGAAAUGGGGAAACAAAUCUAAGUAUUUUAUUUGGAUAGAAGCAAUGCUUUCUAUUUUGUAAAAAAAAUGUUUGCUUAUUCAAAAAAUGUUCGACAUUUUGAGAAUAAAUGUUCGGGAAAUAAAAAAAUAUUCAUGAUUUUUUAAAAAGUUUGUGUAUUAAAAAUAUUAAUGAAAUUGAACAAUUUUUCAGCAAUUCAAAAAAUGUUCAUGAAUUGAAAGAUAUCCUAAAAAUUCAAAAACUGUUCAGGACUAGAAAAUAGUUUAUUCAUUCAUAAAAUGUUCACUGAUUCAAAAACAUUUCGUUAAAUAAAAAAAUGUUUGUGAAUUUCAAAAAUUGUUCCACCAAUUUCCAAAAAAAUGUUCGCCGAUUCAGGAAAUGUUCAGUGAUUCAAGAAAAUUGUUUAAAACAAUGUUCACAAUUUUUUUUAAAAAUGUUUGCAAAUAGUAUAAAUUGUUCAAGAAUUCAAAAAAUGUUCUUGAUUUUAGAUUUUUUUUGGAAAUUUGUAAAAGUAUUCAUGAAUUUGAAAAAUGUUCAGGAUUUCAAAUAUGUUCAUGAGUUUUAUUUAUCUUCAUGAUUUGAAAAAUUGUUCAUGAUUUCUCGAAAUUGAGAGUGAUAGUGUAUCUCGGUGAUGCAGCAAAAUGUAGUCAUGGCCAUUGAAGAUUACGAUUUUUUUUCCUGUUGCAACACAUGGGCCCUUUUGCUAGUAAUAUAGAUACGGAUCAUUUCAAAACUUGUUCCACCAAUUUCCAAAAAAAUGUUCAUAGAUUUAGAAAUGUUCAGCGAUUUAAGAAAAUUGUUUUGAACAAUGUUCAUAAAUUUCUUCGAUGUUUGCAAAUAGUAUAAAAUGUUCAUGAAUUCAAAAAAUGUUCUUGAUUCUAGAAAAUGUUUGAAAAUUAUUAAAAGUAUUCACGAAUUUCGAAAUUGUUCAGCAUUUCAAAUAUGUUCACGAGUUUAGUUAUUUUAUGAUUUAAAAAAUUGUUCAUGAUUUCCCGAAAUCGAGAGUGAUAGUUUAUCUCGGCGAUGCAGCAAAAUGUAGUCAUGACCAUUGGAGAUUAUGCAUUUUUUCCCGUUGCAACGCGCGAGCCCUUUUGCUAGUAGUAGAUACGGAUCAUUUCCUCAAUUUUUUACACAAUACCCAAAGUGGCCCAGUUCAUGUUGCAAAAGCUAUCAAAACGACCAGAAAAAAUGUUGGUCAUCCUCUUACGACUACAUGUCUGGAUUGUACAACAAAGAUCCAAGAAGCAUCAAAUCACAUCACUGAACUUGGAUGGCCUGUGCACCGCGUACGCCAUGUACGCCGCCCGCGUCCGCGAGUUUGUGGGCCGCAGCAGGGAAGCCCUGCCCUCUUGUAAUCAACACAUACGCCACUUUCUCAUCCACCAUAAUUUCUAGUUUCUCACUGUGAUCGUUUCCGUCUGCUUGCAGCGACAUGAUCGUGUGGGCAGCAAAGGGCGUGCUCGAGCUGGAGGGGGCGGUGGAGAGCAUGGUCGUCGAGGGCCUCGGCGUCCAGGACGAGCACAUCGAUGCGCACCUGGUGCUUAAUCUGACCUGUCAUGUGCCCUAUAGUUGGGAGCAACGGUGGAGGAAGGCCCGGACUACUGGACCAUCACGCCGCCAGAGAAGUUGAACAUGACGGUGAUCGACACCUAUGAGAGGAGCACCGGAUGGCGAUGGCCUUCUCCCUGGCGGCUUGCGCCGAGGUGCCAGUGACCAUCAGGGACUCGAGUGCACCCGCAAGACCUUUCUCAACUACUUUGACGUGCUAAGCACCUUCGUCAAGAACUAGAUUGGGACUUGUGCUUGUACUUUGUAGCCUGUCCAUGGUCUGAUUUUUUUUCCGUUUUUUCGUCUUCUCCUCAGAGGAUGGAUGAGCCUGAUAGUUUUGUAGCAUGGUGUGGGCCUUGAGGCAAAAUGACUUUGUUUUGAACACAUAAUUCGUUUGAAUAAGAAAUAAAUUAAUGUACGAAGAAACUGGGCUGUGCCAUUUUCCAUUUCUUCAGCAUGUUUAUUGUUGGCUAUUUAUUUAUAAUCUAGCACUCCAUACAGCCUCCCAGAAUGGAGAUUAAUGAUUUCAAAGUGCGGAUAACAUCUGUCCAAAAUUUGACUGAAUUUGGGAAAUUUUUGUGGGAUAUUUGAAAUUCCAGUCUUUGUUAAUUGUAUCUGAAUUUUGAUGACGCCACUAAUUGGUGGGAUCGGUCCAUCAGACUGAGUUGGCAAAUAAAAAAAUAAAAAAUGCCACAAGGGCAUGUUUACUUUGUCUUCAUCGCUCUGCCCCUCUCUCUCAGGCUGGUCAUAGUGGGAGUAACAUAGCUAUUAACAUAGAUGCCACAUAAGCAAAAUUGAUGAUGCGGCAAGUAGUUAAUGAGGAGAGAGGCAAAUAGAGUAACAUAAUAUGUUACCAUCACAUAGCGUUGUCCAAUGAAAAAUGACUCUAGAGAGUAAUAAAUGAAGACAUCUAUGUUACCACUCCUAUGAUACUACCCACUAUAAAGGUAGUCUAUAUGUCUGUGUGCACGCGUACUGAAGGCCCGAUGCUACCCACAAGGAAACCUACUAGACACUGUGUUUACAGGGCAACCCUCGUCAACUUGGUCUGCUAUAUCUUAUGGGCUGGAACUUCUCAAGGAAGGCAUGAUAUGGCGCAUUGGUAAUGGUGAAUCGGUCUGCAUCUGGCGUGACAAUUGGAUACCAUGCUCGUUCUCGCUCAAGCCGUUUAGGGCUCGAGGCGGGUCCAGACUAAUCAGAGUUUCGAGCUUGCUUGACGAACGAGGUACAUGGGAUGUAGCUGUUGUGUGGGCUAACUUUCUACCGAUCGAUGCUAGGGCCAUUUUAUCCAUCCGUACCUCACCACGACGUGAACCGGACUUUCUUGCCUGGCAGCCGAAAAAAAAACCGGUAUCUUCUCUGUUAAGAGUGCUUAUAAGCUUGGUCUCAGCUUGACAGAGCAUGCUCGUAAUGUGUCAGCCACAAGUACUAGGCCGAAUGGUGAUCGUGAGAUUUGGAAGAAGCUGUGGAGUUUGCCAGUUCCUCCCAAAGUUCGUACAUUUGCAUGGCAUGCAAUUACUAAUUCAUUAGCAACAGAGGAGAACAAGAAAAAUCAUCAUAUCCCAGUCACCGGAGUGUGCACGAUCUGUGGGCAGGAACAAGAGGAUGUAAAGCACGCUCUUUAUCGCUGCCCGCCAGCUCGGGCUUUAUGGAACGCCAUGCGUGACGUUUAGGACCUUCCCUCACAUGCGAUUAUGGAGCGUCUACAAACUGAGUGGAUCCCGGAGCUCUUAUUCCCACGCACUGACCAAGUCUGUGCUCGUAUCCUGAUUUCCUCUGGAGAGUAUGGCAUGGACAUAAUGAGCUUACUCAUGACAAGCCUUUUCCAUCUGUGGAAGGAUCCCGACGGUUCUUAUGCAGUUACCUGGCAAGUUUAUUGCAGGUCAAGAACCAGACUACUGAGCAAAUUAUCAAAGGAAAAGGUGUACUGAAUGGACUGGCCCCAGCUGUAGUUUCGCAUAUAACACAUGCUACAGCCAAUAGUUGGGAGAGACCAACUGCUGGCAUGCUGAAGCUGAAUAUUGAUGGGUCAUACAGUGAGAGUACAGGGGCGGCAGGGGCAGGUAUGAUUCUCCGUGAUGAGCAUGGACGAAUUGUUUUCUCUUCCUGCCGUUUUCUUAGUCGUUGCGGAUCAGCACUUGAGGCGGAACUAAGUGCUUGUAUGGAAGGCAUGUCCCUUGCACUGGAGUGGAGUCAGCAGGAUGUCCUUGUUGAAACAGAUUCCAUGGAGGUCGCUAAGAUGAUUAAUAAUCCAUCUCGAGAUAGCUCACAGCUGGGUCAUCUAGUUGAGCACGUGAAGCAUCUCAUGAAGCAAGGGAGGCGUUUCGUUGUCAACAAAAUCUCCCGGAAAUUGAACCAAGCGAGCCAUCUGCUUGCUCGUUUUGGUCGUCUAGAGUAACGAACAACAGUUUGGUUAGGAUCAGGCCUGAUGAAAUAUUAGACCUCAUCCUACGAGAUUGUAUUGUGACUAUUAUUUAAUCAAUACAAUCCCUUUACCCCACAAAUAAAUAAAUAAAUAAAGGUAGUCUAUACUACUAGUCUAAGUUACUCUCUGCUAUGACUAGCCUCAGGCAUUUGAGCUUGCCCGUGAUAGCCGGUUGUCGGGCUUGAGGUGUGCGACGCUGCGCGCGUGGAGGUGCGCCAGUCCGAGGGCACGCCGCGCGGCCACUUCGGCUAGUGCAGGCUCCGGCAGGCCACCCCGAUGGUGAACGACGUCGUGGGGCGACCCGGCAUCCUUGAGCUCGAGGAGGCACGCGGGCUCGCCGCCGCCGCCCCAGAGGACGGUGUGGCAGCGCACGGCGUACGGCACGGCUACCCACUCGGCACAGCGUACGGCAGCGCACGGCGUAAACGUAUACACCGUAUGAAGGCGAGAGCACCAGACGUAGAACGUAGGCCUCUUUAGAGGGAGCACCCGUCAACGUAAUGUAGCAGCAGCGUCACGUCUUCAAAGAAAUGAGGAUACGCGAGCCACCGUUGCUGGGAUUCCAACUCCCAGCCUCCUUAUGGAGCAACGCAACUAACCACUCGGCUAGCAGCUGUUGCUCAACAAAAAUGAACCUUAAAAUGUUUAAGAAUUACUCCCUCCGUCCCAGAACAAGUGUCUCGACCUUAGUACAACUUUGUACUAAAGUUAGUACAAAAUUGAGACACUUAUUUUAGAACGGAGGGAGUAUAUACAACACAGGAUCCAGAAGUUUUUGAAUAUAUUUUUUCAAAACAAGCCCAUUUGAAAAUCAUACAAUUAUUUAGUAACAUGAUUUUUUUUGAAAUUUCACCUUCUUUAAAGUUGUAAUAAGGUCGAGACACUUAUUUUGGGAUGGAGGGAUUAUAUACAACACAGGAUCCGGAAGUUUUUGAAUAUAUUUUUUAAAAAACAAGCCCGUUUGAAAAUGAUACAAUUAUUUAGUAACACGAACAAAUUUUGAAAUUUCACCUUCUUUCAAAAAAGUGUGAACUUUUUUUGAUAGAAAGAUUUUUUUUCAAUCCUGGAUAUUUUCUACAAAAGUCGAAAAUUCUUUUGCAAAACAACGAAUUUUUUUUUAAAUUACCAAACAUUUUUGAAACACACGAACAUUUUUUAAAUAUCUGGAAAAAUUUGAAAACCAUAACAUUUUUUAAAUAAUCGAACAACUAUUGAAUUUAUGAAAAAUAUCACCAAAAAAGGAAUGGCAGUGCGACGAAUCGAACCCGUAACUCCUGCUAUUGACCGCUCAUCACUAGCCACACGAGGUAGUAAGCUCCAACAUCUAACUAAGAAACGCGGACUACAAAAACCUGGUCAUUUUUAAUAUUACAAUUUUUUUCUGAGAGCGCGAACAUUAUUUGAACCUGGUCAUUUUUUUGAAUUUGUGAAUAAGUUUUGUGAAAAGGGAACACAUUUUGAAUAUGGGGACAUUUUAUGAAUCGAUAAACUUUCUCGAAACCCGCGAGCGGUUGGGCCGGUCCAAUAGAUGCUCAACGGGAGCGAUAUCGUUGCCUAGUUGUGCCAGGUCCUAAGCAUUUUUUUACUUUUCUAUUUUUCAUUUUUCUUCACUUUCUUCCUUAAUUUAGUUUUCUUCUUUAUGAACUUUAUCAUAAUUUUUUGAAAUUUGUUAUAAAAUUUAAGUCACAAUUUUAAGUAACUGUUUUAAAAUAUGAUUCUAAAUUCCUUUUUAUUCAAAUACUAAUUGAAUGCUUUCCGAAAGAAGCAUUUAUUGUUUUUAAUUUUAUCCCUUUAUAUUUAUUAGUUAGGUUAAAACUUAUAAGAAUAGUUAUAAUUACCCGUUUAAAUUAUGAUUUUAAAUACUUUAGUCCUUUAAACCUGGUAUGGAUGCCCAUCAUGGGCAUGCCCACUGAUGGAAUUAUGCCCUAGAGACAAUAAUAAAAUGGUUAUUAUUAUAUUUCCUUAAUCAUGAUAAAGGUUUAUUAUUCAUGCUAGAAUUGUAUUGACCGGAAACUUAAAUACAUGUGUGGAUACAUAAACAAAUACCGUGUCCCUAGUGAGCCUCUACUAGAGUAGAUCGUUGAUCAAAGAUGAUUAAGGUUUCCUAACCAUAGACAUGAAUUGUCAUUUAACAAUGGGAUCACAUCAUUAGGAAAAUGAUGUGAUGGACAAGACCCAACCGUUAGCAUAGCAUAUGAUUGUUCAGUUUAUUGCUACUGCUUUCUUAAUGUCAAAUACAUGUUCCUUCGACCAUGAGAUCAUGUAACUCCCAGAUACCGGAGGAAUACCCUGUGUGCUAUCAAACGUCACAACGUAACUGGGUGAUCAUAAAUAUGCUCCACAGGUAUCUCCGAAGGUGUCUGUUGAGUUGGCGUGAAUUGAGAUUGGGAUUUGUCACUCCUACCAUCGAAGAGGUAUCUCUGGGCCCUCUCGGUAAUACACAUCAUAAGCUUGCAAGCAAAUGACUAAGGAGUUAGUCACGACGUGAUGUAUUACGGAACGAGUAAAGAGACUUGCCGGUAACGAGAUUGAACAAGGUAUAAAGAUACGGACGAUCGAAUCUCGGGCAAGUAACAUACCGAUGGACAGAGGGAAUUAUGUAUGUUGUCAUAAUGGUUCGACAGAUAAAGAUCUUCAUAGAAUAUGUAGGAACCAAUAUGGGCAUCUAGGUUCCGCUAUUAUUUAUUGACAGAAGAGGUGUCUCGGUCAUGUCUACAUAGUUCUCGAACCCGUAGGGUCCGCACGCUUAACGUUCGAUGACGAUUUAGUAUUAAAUGAGUUAUGUGAUUUGGUGUGCUAAUGUUGUUCGGAGUCCCGGAUGAGAUCACGGACAUAACGAGGAGUCUCGAAAUGUUUGAGAGGUAAAGAUUUAUAUACAAGACGAUGGUAUUCGGACACCGGAAGUGUUUCGGGGGGUACCGGGUACUUAUCGGGUCACUGGAAGGGGUUCCGGGCACCCCCCGCAAAAGAUAUGGGCCUUAUGGGCCAAGAGGGGAAACACACCAGCCAUAGGGGCUGGUGCGCCCCCAUAUGGGCUGGCCUAAGGAGGAGAAGGAAAGGGGAGAAGGGAAAGUAAAGUGUGGAUUAGGAUUCCCACUUCCUUCCCUCUCCCCCCUCUUUCCUUCCCUCUCGGUUGCAUAUGGCAAGGGGGCACGCGGCUUGGGAGGGACUCCAAGUAGGAUUGCUCCUACUUGGGCGCCUCCUAUGGCUGCUACUCCCUCCCUCCCACCUAUAUAUAUGUGGGGGCGCGCCCUAGCACACACCAGACAAUUGCCUAGCCGUGUGCGGCGCCCCCCUCCAUCGUUUACACCCCGAUCAUAUUUUUGUAGUGCUUAGGCGAAGCCCUGCGAAGAUCACUUCAUCAUCACCGUCGCCACGUCGUCGUGAUGACAGAACUCAUCUACUACCUCGACGUCUUGCUGGAUCAAGAAGGCGAGGGACGUCAUCGAGUUGAACGUGUGCAGAACGCGGAGGUGCCGUGCGUUCGGUACUUGAUCGGUUGACGCGCGAAGAAGUUCGACUACAUCAACCACGUUGUGAAACGCUUCCGCUUACUGUCUACGAGGGUAUAUAGACACACUCUCCCCCUCGUUGCUAUGCAUCUCCAUGGAUAUAUCAUUGCGUGUGCAUAGAAAUUUUUGUGUUUUCCACGCAACGUUUCCCAACACCCACUUGGUGGAUAAGUUGGGGUAACUUUAAGGUUGUCCACAAAAACACCACGCUCAAUGAUACGUAUCCAUCGUAUAUACUUUUCCAAACACUUUUGCCCUUGUUUUGGACUCUAACUUGCAUGGUUUGAAUGGAACUAACCCGGACUGACGUUGUUUUCAGCAGAAUUGCCAUGGUGUUAUUUUUGUGCAGAAAUAAAAAUUCUCGGAAUGACCUGAAACUUCACGGAGAAUAUUUUUGGAAUUAAUAAAAAUACUGGCGAAAGAAUCAAGGCCAGGGGGCCACACCCUGUCCAUGAGGGUGGGGGGCGCGCCUACCCCCCUGGGCGCGCCCCUGCCUCGUGGGCCCCCUGGUGCUCCACCGACCUCAACUCCAACUCUAUAUAUUCACGUUCGGGGAGAAAAAAAUCAGAGAGAAGGAUUCAUCGCGUUUUACGAUACGAAACCGCCGCCAAGCCCUAAUUUUUCUCGGGAGGGCUGAUCUGGAGUCCGUUUGGGGCUCCGGAGAGGGGAAUCCGUCGCCGUUGUCAUCAUGAACCUUCCUCCAUCACCAAUUUCAUGAUGCUCACCGCCGUGCGUGAGUAAUUCCAUCAUAGGCUUGCUGGACGGUGAUGGGUUGGAUGAGAUAUACCAUGUAAUCAACUUAGUUUUAUUAGGGUUUGAUCCCUAGUAUCCACUAUGUUCUGAGAUUGAUGUUGCUAUGACUUUGCUAUGCUUAAUGCUUGUCACUAGGGCUCGAGUGCCAUGAUUUCAGAUCUGGACCUAUUAUGUUUCCAUGAAUACAUGUGAGUUCUUGAUCCUAUCUUGCAAGUCUAUAGUCACCUACUAUGUGUUAUGAUCCGGCAACCCCGAAGUGACAAUAAUCGGGCCCACUCCCGGUGAUGACCGUAGUUUGAGGAGUUCAUGUAUUCACUAAGUGUUAAUGCUUUGGUCUGGUACUCUAUUAAAAGGAGGCCUUAAUAUCCCUUAGUUUCCAAUAGGACCCCGCAGCCACGGGAGGUAGGACAAAAGAUGUCAUGCAAGUUCUUUUCCAUAAGCACGUAUGACUAUAUUCGGAAUACAUGCCUACAUUACAUUGAUGAACUGGAGCUAGUUCUGUGUCACCCUAUGUUAUAACUAUCGCAUGAGGAAUCGCAUCCGGCAUAAUUCUCCAUCACCGAUCCAAUGCCUACGAGCUUUUCACAUAUUUCUCUUUUCUUAGUUACUUUACCGUUGCCACUGUUACAAUUACUACAAAACUGCUACUGUUACUUUUGCCACCGUUAUCAUUACUUCCAUACUACUUUGCUACUAAAUACUUUGCUGCAGAUAUUAAGUUAUCCAGGUGUAGUUGAAUUGACAACUCAACUGCUAAUACUUGAGAAUAUUCUUUGGCUCCCCUUGUGUCGAAUCAAUAAAUUUGGGUUGAAUACUCUACCCUCGAAAACUGUUGCGAUCCCCUAUACUUGUGGGUUAUCACUGUUGGAAAUAUGCCCUAGAGGCAAUAAUAAAGUGGCUAUUAUUAUAUUUCCUUGUUCAUGAUAAUUGUCUAUUGUUCAUGCUAUAAUUGUGUUAUCCGGAAAUCGUAAUACAUGUGUGAAUACAUAGACCACAACAUGUCCCUAGUGAGCCUCUAGUUGACUAGCUCGUUGAUCAAUAGAUGGUUACGGUUUCCUGACCAUGGACAUUGGAUGUCGUUGAUAACAAGAUCACAUCAUUAGGAGAAUGAUGUGAUGGACAAGACCCAAUCCUAAGCAUAGCACAAGAUCGUGUAGUUCGUCUGCUAAAGCUUUUCUAAUGUCAAGUAUCAUUUCCUUAGACCAUGAGAUUGUGCAACUCCCGGAUACCGUAGGAAUGCUUUGGGUGUGCCAAACAUCACAAUGUAACUGGGUGGCUAUAAAGGUACACUACAGGUAUCUCCGAAAGUGUCUGUUGGGUUGGCACGAAUCGAGACUGGGAUUUGUCACUCCGUAUGACGGAGAGGUAUCUCUGGGCCCACUCGGCAAUGCAUCAUCAUAAUGAGCUCAAUGUGACUAAGUAGUUAGUCGCGGGAUCAUGCAUUACGAAACGAGUAAAGUGACUUGCCGGUAACGAGAUUGAACGAGGUAUUGGGAUACCGACGAUCGAAUCUCGGCAAGUAACGUACCGAUUGACAAAGGGAAUUGUAUACAUGAUUGAUUGAAUCCCCGACAUCGUGGUUCAUCCGAUGAGAUCAUCGUGGAACAUGUGGGAGCCAACAUGGGUAUCCAGAUUCCGCUGUUGGUUAUUGGCCAGAGAGCUGUCUCGGUCAUGUCUGCAUGAUUCUCGAACCCGUAGGGUCUACACACUUAAGGUUCGGUGACGCUAGAGUUGUUAUGGGAAUUAGUGUGCAGUUACCGAAUGUUGUUUGGAGUCUCGGAUGAGAUCCCGGACAUCAUGAGGAGUUCCGGAAUGGUCCGGAGGUAAAGAUUUAUAUAUGGGAAGUCCUAUUUUGGCCACCGGAAAAAUGUUCGGGAUUUUUCGGUAUUGUACCGGAAAGGUUCUAGAAGGUUCCGGAGUGGGGCCCACCUGCAUGGGGGGACCCACAUGAACGUGGGUAGUGGGGGCAAGGCCCCACACCCCUGGUCAAGGUGCACCAAGAUCCCCCCUUAGAAGGAAUAAGAUCAUAUCGCGAAGGGAUAAGAUCAAGAUCCCUAAAAAGGGGGAAUAACAAUCGGUGGGGAAGGGAAAUGAUGGGAUUUCUUUCCCCCACCUUUGCCAACGCCCCAAUGGACUUGGAGGGCAAGAAACCAGCCCCCUCCACCCCUAUAUAUAGUGGGGAGGCGCAUGGGAGCCGCACCCCUUCCCCUGGUGCAGCCCUCUCCCUCCCCAACACCUCCUCCUCCUCCGUAGUGCUUGGCGAAGCCCUGCCGGAGAACUGCAAGCUCCACCACCACGCCGUCGUGCUGCCGGAGCUCUCCCUCAACUUCUCCUCUCCCCUUGCUGGAUCAAGAAGGAGGAGACGUCCCCGGGCUAUACGUGUGUUGAACGCGGAGGCGCCGUUGUUCGGCGCUUACAUCGGAAUCAACCGCGAUCUGAAUCGCUGCGAGUACGACUCCUUCAUCCGCGUUCUUGUAAUGCUUCCGCAUCGCGAUAUUCAAGGGUAUGAAGAUGCACUCCCCUAUCUCUCGUUGCUAGUCUCUCCAUAGAUUGAUCUUGGUGAUGCGUAGAAAUUUUUUAAUUUCUGCAACGAUCCCCAACAGUGGCAUCAUGAGCCAGGUCUAUGCAUAGUUUCUAUGCACGAGUAGAACACAAGUUGUUGUGGGCGUCGAUUUUGUCAAUUUACUUGCCGUUACUACUCUUAUCUUGAUUCGGCGGCAUCGUGGGAUGAAGCGGCCCAGACCGACCUUACACGUACGCUUACGUGAGACAGGUUCCCCCGACUGACAUGCACUAGUUGCAUAAGGUGGCUAGCGGGUGUCUGUCUCACCCACUUUAGUCGGAUCGGAUUCGAUGAAAAGGGUCCUUAUGAAGGGUAAAUAGAAAUUGGCAUAUCACGUUGUGGUUUUGGCGUAGGUAAGAAACGUUCUUGCUAGAAACCUAUAGCAGCCACGUAAAAACUUGCAACAACAAUUAGAGGACGUCUAACUUGUUCUUGCAGCAUAUGCCGUGUGAUAUGAUAUGGCCAAAAGGAUGUGAUGAAUGAUAUAUGUGAUGUAUGAGAUUGAUCAUGUUCUUGUAAUAGGAAUCACGACUUGCAUGUCGAUGAGUAUGACAACCGACAGGAGCCAUAGGAGUUGUCUUAAUUUAUUGUAUGACCUGCGUGUCAAUGAAAACGCCAUGUAAUUACUUUACUUUAUUGCUAACCGUUAGCCAUAGUAGUAGAAGUAACAGUUGGCGAGACAACUUCAUGGAGGCACGAUGAUGGAGAUCAUGGUGUCAUGCCGGUGACGAUGAUGAUCAUGGCGCCCCGAAGAUGGAGAUCAAAAGGAGCAAAAUGAUAUUGGCCAUAUCAUGUCACUAUUUGAUUCCAUGUGAUGUUUAUCAUGUUUUUACAUCUUAUUUGCAUAGAACGACGGUAGCAUAAAUAAGACGAUCCCUCGCUAAAAUUUCAAGAAAGUGUUCACCCUAACUGUGCACCGUUGCGAAGGUUCGUUGUUUCGAAGCACCACGUGAUGAUCGGGUGUGAUAGAUUCUAACGUUCGAAUACAACGGGUGUAAGCUAGAUUUACACAUGCAAAACACUUAGGUUGACUUGACGAGCCUAGCAUGUACAGACAUGGCCUCGGAACACGAGAGACCGAAAGGUCGAACAUGAGUCGUGUAGUAGAUACGAUCAACAUGGAGAUGUUCACCGUUGAUGACUAGUCCGUCUCACGUGAUGAUCGGACACGGCCUGGUCGAUUCGGAUCAUGUAUAACUUAGAUGACUAGAGGGAUGUAUCUGAGUGGGAGUUCAUUAAAUAAUUUGAUUAGAUGAACUUGAUUAUCAUGAACUUAGUCUAAAAUUGUCUUUACAAAUCUAUCUUGUAGAUCCAAUGGCCCACGCUAAUGUUUCCCUCAACUUCAACGCAUUCCUAGAGAAAACCAAGCUGAAAGAAGAUGGUAGCAACUACACGGACUGGGUCCGUAACCUGAGGAUUAUCCUCAUAGCUGCCAAGAAAGCAUAUGUCCUUGAAGCACCGCUAGGUGACGCACCUGUUUUCCCAGCAACACAAGACGUUAUGAACGCCUGGCAGUCGCGUAGUGAUGAUUACUCCCUGGUUCAGUGCGUCAUGCUUUACAGCUUAGAACCGGGGCUCCAAAAGCGUUUUGAGCAACACGGAGCAUAUGAGAUGUUCCAAGAGCUGAAAAUGGUUUUCCAAGCUCAUGCCCGAGUCAAGAGAUAUGAAGUCUCCGAUAAGUUCUACAGUUGUAAGAUGGAGGAGAAUAGUUCUGUCAGCGAGCACAUACUCAAAAUGUCUGGGUUGCACAACCGCUUGUCUCAACUAGUAUUUAAUCUCCCGGAUGACGAGGUCGUUGACAGAAUCCUUCAGUCGCUUCCACCUAGCUACAAGAGCUUUGUGAUGAACUUCAAUAUGCAGGGGAUGGAGAAAACCAUUCCUGAGGUAUAUUCAAUGCUGAAGUCAGCGGAGGUGGAGAUAAAAAAGGAACAUCAAGUGUUGAUGGUCAAUAAAACCACUAGUUUCAAGAAAGGCAAUGGUAAGAAGAACUUCAAGAAGGACGGCAAGGGAGUUGCCGCGCCCGGUAAGCCAGUUGCCGGGAAGAAGCCAAAGAAUGGACCCAAGCCCGAGACUCAGUGCUUUUAUUGCAAGGGAAACGGUCACUAGAAGCGGAACUACCCCAAGUACUUAGCGGAUAAGAAGGCUGGAAAUACCAAAGGUAUAUAUGAUAUACAUGUUAUUGAUGUGUACCUUACCAGCACUCGUAGUAGCUCCUGGAUAUUUGAUACCGGUGCGGUUACUCAUAUUUGUAACUCAAAACAUGAGCUGCAGAAUAAGCGGAGACUGGCGAAGGACGAGGUGACGAUGCGCGUCGGGAAUGGUUCCAAGGUCGAUGUGAUCGCCGUCGGCACGCUACCUCUACAUCUACCUUCGGGAUUAGUUUUAAACCUCAAUAAUUGUUAUUUAGUACCAACUUUGAGCAUGAACAUUGUAUCUGGAUCUCGUUUAAUGCGAGAUGGCUACUCAUUUAAAUCCGAGAAUAAUGGUUGUUCUAUUUAUAUGAGAGAUAUGUUUUAUGGUCAUGCCCCGCUGGUCAAUGGUUUAUUAUUAUUGAAUCUCGAACGUGAUGUUACACAUAUUCAUAGUGUGAAUGCCAAAAGAGGUAAGGUUGAUAAUGAUAGUCCCACAUACUUGUGGCACUGCCGCCUUGGUCACAUUGGUGUCAAACGCAUUAAGAAACUCCAUGCAGAUGGACUUUUAGAGUCUCUUGAUUAUGAAUCAUUUGACAUGUGCGAACCAUGCCUCGUGGGAAAAAUGACCAAGACUCCGUUCUCCGGAACAAUGGAGCGAGCAACCAACUUAUUGGAAAUCAUACACACUUAUGUGUGCGGUCCAAUGAGCGUUGAGGCUCGCAGUGUUAUCGUUAUGUUCUCACCCUCACUGAUGACUUAAGUAGAUAUGGGUAUGUCUACUUAAUGAAACACAAGUCUGAGACCUUUGAAAAGUUCAAGGAAUUUCAGAGUGAGGUUGAGAAUCAACGUGACAGGAAAAUAAAGUUCUUACGAUCAGAUCGUGCAGGGGAAUAUUUGAGUCACGAAUUUGGCACGCACUUAAGGAAAUGUGGAAUUGUUUCACAACUCACGCCGCCUGGAACACCUCAACGUAAUGGUGUGUCCGAACGUCGUAAUCGCACUCUAUUGAAUAUGGUGCGAUCUAUGAUGUCUCUUACCGAUCUACCGCUAUCAUUUUGGGGUUAUGCUUUAGAGACUGCCGUAUUCACUUUAAAUAGGGCUCCAUCAAAAUCCGUUGAGACGACACCGUAUGAAUUAUGGUUUGGAAAGAAACCUAAGCUGUCGUUUCUGAAAGUUUGGGGUGGCGAUGCUUAUGUCAAGAAACUUCAACCUGAAAAGCUCGAACCCAAAUCGAAAAAUGCGUCUUCAUAGGAUACCCUAAGGAAACUAUUGGGUAUACCUUCUACCUUAGAUCCGAAGGCAAGAUCUUUGUUGCCAAGAAUGGAUCCUUUCUAGAGAAAGAGUUUCUCUCGAAAGAAGUAAGUGGGAGGAAAGUGGAACUUGAUGAGAUGACCCCUCUUGAACCAGAGAGUAGCGCAGCGCAAGAAAAUGUUUCUAUGGUGCCUGCACCGACUAGAGAGGAAGUUAAUAAUGACGAUCAUGAUCAAGUUACCACUAAACUUCGUAGGUCCACAAGGACACGUUCCGCACCAGAGUGGUACGGCAACCCUGUCCUGAAAAUCAUGUUGUUAGACAACAGUGAACCUUCGAACUAUGAAGAAGCAACGGCAGGCCGGGAUACAACAAAUGGCUUGAAGCCAUGAAAUCCGAGAUAGGAUCCAUGUAUGAAAAUGAAAUAUGGACUUUGACAGACUUGCCCGUUGAUCGGCAAGCCAUAGAGAAUAAAUGGAUCUUUAAGAAGAAGACUGACGCGGAUGGUAAUGUGACCAUCUAUAAGGAUCGGCUUGUCGCUAAGGGUUAUCGACAAGUUCAAGGGGUUGACUACGAUGAGACCUUCUCACCCGUAGCGAAGCUGAAGUCCGUCCGAAUCAUGUUAGCGAUUGCCGCAUUCUAUGAUUAUGAGAUCUGGCAAAUGGACGUCAAAACGGCAUUCCUUAAUGGUUUCCUUAAGGAAGAAUUGUAUAUGAUGCAGCCGGAAGGUUUUGUCGAUCCUAAGAAUGCUGACAAGGUAUGCAAGCUCCAGCGCUCAAUCUAUGGGCUGGUGCAAGCAUCUCAGAGUUGGAACAUUCGCUUUGAUGAGAUGAUCAAAGCGUUUGGGUUUACACAGACUUAUGGAGAAGCUUGUGUUUACAAGAAAGUGAGUGGGAGCUCUGUAGCAUUUCUCAUAUUAUAUGUGGAUGACAUACUAUUGAUGGGAAAUAAUAUAGAAUUUUUGGAAAGCAUAAAUGCCUACUUGAAUAAGUGUUUUUCAAUGAAGGACCUUGGAGAAGCUACUUACAUAUUAGGCAUCAAGAUCUAUAGAGAUAGAUCGAGACGCCUCAUUGGUCUUUCGCAAAGCACAUACCUUCACAAGAUAUUGAAGAAGUUCAAUAUGGAUCAGUCCAAGAAGGGGUUCUUGCCUGUAUUACAAGGUGUGAGAUUGAGCACGGCUCAAUGCCCGACCUCGGCAGAAGAUAGAGAAACGAUGAGUGUCAUCCCCUAUGCCUCAGACAUAGGGUCUAUUCUGUAUGCCAUGCUGUGUACCAGACCUGAUGUGAACCUCGUCGUAAGUUUGGUAGGGAGGUACCAAAGUAAUCCCGGCAAGGAACACUGGACAGCGGUCAAGAACAUCCUGAAGUACCUGAAAAGGACUAAGGAUAUGUUUCUCGUUUAUGGAGGUGACGAAGAGCUCGUCGUAAAGGGUUACGUCGAUGCUAGCUUCGACAUAGAUCUGGAUGACUCCAAGUCACAAAUCGGAUACGUGUAUAUUUUGAAUGGUGGGGCAGUCAGCUGGUGCAGUUGCAAGCAAAGCGUCGUGGCGGGAUCUACAUGUGAAGCGGAGUACAUAGCAGCCUCGGAGGCAGCACAGGAAGCAGUCUGGAUGAAGGAGUUCAUCACCGACCUAGGAGUUAUUCCCAAUGCGUCGGGCCCAAUGACUCUCUUCUAUGAGAACACUGGAGCUAUUGCCCUUGCCAAGGAGCCCAGGUUUCCCAAGAAGACCAGGCAUAUCAAGCGUCGCUUCAACUCCAUUCGUGAACAUGUUCAAGAUGGAUACAUAGAUAUUUGUAAAGUGCAUACGGAUCUGAAUGUCACAGAUCCGUUGACUAAACCUCUUCCACGAGCAAAACAUGAUCAACACCAGAACUCUAUGGGUGUUCGAUUCAUCACAAUGUAACCACAUUAUUGACUCUAGUGCAAGUGGGAGACUGUUGGAAAUAUGCCCUAGAGGCAAUAAUAAAGUGGUUAUUAUUAUAUUUCCUUGUUCAUGAUAAUUGUCUAUUGUUCAUGCUAUAAUUGUGUUAUUCGGAAAUCGUAAUACAUGUGUGAAUCCAUAGACCACAACAUGUCCCUAGUGAGCCUCUAGUUGACUAGCUCGUUGAUCAAUAGAUGGUUACGGUUUCCUGACCAUGGACAUUGGAUGUCGUUGAUAAAGGGAUCACAUCAUUAGGAGAAUGAUGUGAUGGACAAGACCCAAUCCUGAGCAUAGCACAAGAUCGUGUAGUUCGUCUGCUAAAGCUUUUCUAAUGUCAAGUAUCAUUUCCUUAGACCAUGAGAUUGUGCAACUCCCGGAUACCGUAGGAAUGCCUUGGGUGUGCCAAACGUCACAACGUAACUGGGUGGCUAUAAAGGUACACUACAGGUAUCCCCGAAAGUGUCUGUUGGGUUGGCACGAAUCGAGACUGGGAUUUGUCACUCCGUAUGACGGAUAGGUAUCUCUGGGCCCACUCGGUAAUGCAUCAUCAUAAUGAGCUCAAUGUGACUAAGUAGUUAGUCACGGGAUCAUGCAUUAUGAAAUGAGUAAAGUGACUGUCCGGUAACGAGAUUGAACGAGGUAUUGGGAUACCGACGAUCGAAUCUCGGGCAAGUAACGUACUGAUUGACAAAGGGAAUUGUAUACAGGAUUGAUUGAAUCCCCGACAUCGUGGUUCAUCCGAUGAGAUCAUCGUGGAACAUGUGGGAGCCAACAUGGGUAUCUAGAUCCCGCUGUUGGUUAUUGGCCAGAGAGCUGUCUCGGUCAUGUCUGCAUGAUUCCUGAACCCGUAGGGUCUACACACUUAAGGUUCGGUGAUGCUAGAGUUGUUAUGGGAAUUAGUGUGCAGUUACCGAAUGUUGUUUGGAGUCUCGGAUGAGAUCCCGGACGUCAUGAGGAGUUUCGGAAUGGUCCGGAGGUAAAGAUUUAUAUAUGGGAAGCCCUAUUUUGGCCACUGGAAAAAUGUUCGGGAUUUUUCGGUAUUGUACCGGGAAGGUUCUAGAAGGUUCCGGAGUGGGGCCCACCUACAUGGGGGACCCACAUGAACGUGGGUAGUGGGGGCAAGGCCCCACACCCCUGGUCAAGGCGCACCAAGAUCCCCCCUUAGGAGGAAUAAGAUCAUAUCCCGAAGGGAUAAGAUCAAGAUCCCUAAAAAGGGGGGAUAACAAUCGGUGGGGAAGGGAAAUGAUGGGAUUUCUUCCCCCCACCUUUGCCAACGCCCCAAUGGACUUGGAGGGCAAGAAACCAGCCCCCUCCACCCCUAUAUAUAGUGGGGAGGCGCAUGGGAGCCGCACCCCUUCCCCUGGCGCAGCCCUCUGCCUCCCCAACACCUCCUCCUCCUCCGUAGUGCUUGGCGAAGCCCUGCCGGAGAACUGCAAGCUCCACCACCACGCCAUCGUGCUGCCGGAGCUCUCCCUCAACUUCUCCUCUCCCCUUGCUGGAUCAAGAAGGAGGAGACGUCCCCGGGCUGUACGUGUGUUGAACGCGGAGGCGCCGUUGUUCGGCGCUUACAUCGGAAUCAACCGCGAUGUGAAUCGCUGCGAGUACGACUCCUUCAUCCGCGUUCUUGUAACGCUUCCGCAUCGCGAUCUUCAAGGGUAUGAAGAUCCACUCCCCUAUCUCUCGUUGCUAGUCUCUCCAUAGAUUGAUCUUGGUGAUGCUCAGAAUUUUUUUAAUUUCUGCAACGAUCCCCAACAAUCACUCAAGGGAGGGUGGACAGGUCGGCCAGAAGGGUUAGUUUGAGAACAGUAGGUUUUCAAAACCCUUUAAAUGACCCCAAUUUUUUCAGUGGCCUUGCAUGACCAAUUUAUGGCUCCAUUCUAAGUUAUUUUGGUCUUCAAGAAAGUUUACAUUUUCUGAAAUUUUCUCGAUAAAAGAAUUCCAAUAAAUGGCCCAACAUGUCACAACUUGCAUACGGUGUUGGAAAUCGCUCAAAUAUGGAAAAAAUUCUACCAUGGGCAUGCCCACCUUCUUGCAAAAGUUGGGUUCAUUUUAAGAAUGUCCAAAAUUUGACCAUGUUCAAAGGAGAGUGUUCGGGUAGGUCAGAAGGGUUUGUUUGGGAGCACCUUGUUUCUCGAAAUCCCUUAAAUGUCCCUAAUUUUUUUCAUGGCCUUGUAUGACCAACUCAAGUCACCUUGCCAAGUUGUCUGGGUUUUCGACAAGUUUUCAUUUUCUGGAGUUUUCUCAGUGUAAAAAGGUCGAUAAAUAUGGCCGGACGUGUUGCAACUUGCAUACGCUGUCGAAAUCGCUCAAAUAUGAUAUGAAUCCUACCAUGGGAAUGCCCACCUUUCUUGCAAAAGCUAGGUUCAUCUUAAGGAUGUCCAAAAAUAGACCAUGUUCAACAAUGAGUGUUCGGGUAGGUCAGAACUCAGAAGGGUCCGUUUGGAAGCACCUUGUUUCUCGACAUCCGUUAAAUGGCCUCAACUUUUUUCAUGGCCUUGUAUGACCAUUCGAAGGCACCAUGCCAAGUUGUUUGGUUUUUUGGAAAUUUUGCAUUUUCUGGAGUUUUCUCGGUUGAAAGAGGUCAAUAAAUGGCAGGACGAGUCGCAACUUGCAUACGGUGUUGAAAUUCAUUCCAACUAGGUAUUCAUGCGUACCAUGGGCAUGCCCACCUAAUUGCUAAAGUUGUGGUCAUUUCAGGGAUGUUCAAAAGUAGACUCAACGGAGGGUGUUCGGGCUGUUUGAAUACAAAUUGUUUUUGGGGUGUUCGGGCUGUUUGAAUACAGGUUGUUUUUGACAAAUUUUCCAUUUCAGGAGUUUUCUCUAUUAAAAAGGGUCGAUAAAAUGGCUGGACGUGUCGCAACAUGCAAACGAUUUUUAAAGUCAUUCAAAUUUGUUAUGGGUGCCUCAUAUGUCUGUGCCUAAGGAUGGCAAUGGAUCGGGUUCGGCUCGGGUUGAACAAUAUCAAAUCCAUAUCCAAAUCCAUGAAGACAGUAUGUGCCCAUCCAUGAAAAAAAUCCAUGGGCGUAAAAUUAUGCCCAUGUCCAAACCCGAUGAAUAUCCAUCGGGUUUGGAUAUCCAUCGGGUUUGGAUAUCCAUCGGCUUCUCUCAACACGUAUCUUACAUUCUUAAGAAGUUGCUUCCCAGUACAAAGGUAUUCUCUUGACAUGCAAGUGGUCCAACUCAGCACGCCAUGUCAUCAAAUAUCAGCCAAUCACAAGUUCGCAACUAUCUCACAGCUCAGCCACAUCAAUAAUUCUUUUAGUUUUUAUUUCAACUAAUGGUGCGGUUUAAUUUCCAUGUAAGACGCAUUUGUUCCUCUUCCUAUUCCGUAACUGACGAGAUAAAUAAGAGGAGAGCCCUCCACUCACCACGACCCAUCAAAAAGCUGGAUCGCGCCUGCACUGGGCUGUCCGCGCCGCCAUGCCGGUCACAACCUAUUGCACACAGGGUCGCCUAUCUCCCCUGGCCGCCCGUGCCGGCUAAGCCGGCCGCACAACCGCCAAUAGCGCACAUAGGAAUCAAUGCUCCUCCGCCACUGCCGCCACCUCGCCGCGACCCCAGGCCACCGUACGCCUCAUGGUCUGCUGCAUGUACAAACUCGUAGUAGGCCAGCUUAUUGGCCCAUCUGCUAAUACAUGCCAAAAUAAAUGCCCACUAUGGCACGACGUUGGAUUCCUACCUUCUAUCUUGCAUGUCCCUGUUCGGCUGUUGACUCUGCCUAAUCGGCUCCUCUUCCCCACAAUCUCCUUUCCUGCAAAUUGCCAGAAACGAACGGCCGCACCACACAAUAACACAAAUGCGGAGGAGGUAACUGAACCGCUCGCUUAUCCUUUAAAUAUCAGCCUGGAGUGCACAAGUGUGUAUGAAUCUUACUUUCUGAAAGAAGAGAAUCGUCUUCCACCACAACUGGACUCAGAUCUUUGAUUACACUUCCCAACAUGUACAUGCUGAUUGAUUGGGUCCCUCUCUAGCCCUCUUUUCUUUGUCUAAUCCAAUAUUUUAUCUGAUUUCUUAUUUUGUAAGAUUUGGCCACAGGUUGCUCGAUGAUUUGUUGCAGAUUGCGAUGGUUAUUUGUGCUUUCUUCCUGCAUAGGUUUCUUACCACUUGAGUUAGUAGAUAAUCAUCCCAUCUGUAAAAUUUAUUAUCUGAACUUGAUGAACGCAUGACAUGCAUCUUAUAUUUGUUUCACUACAUUACAAAUCACAUUCAUAUGAUCCCCUUCACUCCAUGCAAUGCAUUGGUUGGAACAAAUCAUCUACUACAACCCAGGACGAAAUCUCAUUAUCCCUUCUAUUCAAGUAAGUCAUAAUUGCCACUCAAUCAAGAAGAUAGGCUUGGAUGAAUUUAGGUAGGCAUAUAUGUGAGGCAACUAUUUUGUUUUCACAAUUUCAUUUUCCUGUCUUCUACACAGGGUGGACAUACUGGUAUCGCGUACAGAUCAGCAGAGAAAUGGUGACAGACCCAUCCGCUUGCUGCACAUUCAUUGCUGCGGCAUCUCGAUCAUUCUACAAGACACGCGCCACUAAGCUUCGCCGAUUUGGAGCAGCAAUUUACUGGAGCGCAUGCGAGUUGCCAAGGACAUCUUCUGUCCUCUGUUACACGUCCAGGUUUCCACAUCACUUUCUUUUAGCAUAUCUUGAUAAUGUCACUUAGAUCAUUAUUACUUAGUAGAUGCACCCUAAUUUUUGUGAUCCUUUAGUUUUGGUGGACCUAAACAUCGCGAGUUGGAACGAUCAGAAAACCAUGCCCAUUGUUAUCACUUUUUCCCUCCUUCAGAUAUUGAGACCAGUACUAAUUUCAGUGCUUCACUUUUGUCAUUCAAAAGCUUGGCUUCAGGAAUUUAGAGAGAAGGACAUUUAGUGGCUCAUUUGCAGGUGCUUUCCGAUUCAGUCAUUGGUUAUGGAGUUCAUUUCACAUACGUAUUGUGUUCUUAUCACCAAUAUUCUAUUUACGACAUGUUCUAAGGCAUCAUUUAAUCUUUGUGAACAUCACGCUAGAUUACAUAGGUCGUUGACUUUAAAUUAUAUCUUUUUUGUUGUUUCUUUAUAAGACAAUAUAGUUGUAGCAAAUGGUCCCGCAGCAACGUGCGGGGCAUCUUCUAGUACAUAAGACAUAGCACAACAUUCACAUAAGCUCUCAAAUUCUCACAAAGUGACAUAGCACAAGUGCAUGACAUCAAAUAAGCUCUUAGAUUUUCACAAAAUGACAUAGUACAAGUGCAGAUCGCCACAUAACCUCUCAAAUUCUCACAAAAUAACAUAACAUCAAAUAAGCAUAACUACCAUUCUAAACAUUGGAUGUCAUGUUGAACAAAAUUUCUGAAACCCAAGUGACCAACCAUAGAUAGAGGGUACUCAUGAACACAAAUCAUUAGUGGAAGCUCUUUCCUGGCAACAUCUUGAUCAAAAAUAAUAUUCUCCAAAUUGGCGUUUCCAUCAUCAACCUUUCUCAACCUUAACUUUUGUUGCUUUGGGCCUAUUGGUGCAUGCCUAGCACCACAAGAGCUCAUGUGACUCUUCAAAUCUAAAGUGCCACUGGUUCCAUCAUGAGAAGCUAUUGACCUAUACAUGUAAAAGAAAAUCUCCAGUUCAGUUAAAGAGAGCGAUGGAACAUAAUGUCUGAACUAUACAGAUUUGGAAAGAUUGUGAUCUCUAAAUUGUAGUGAAUGGUAACUACAAACCGAAACUAUUUUUUUAUAUCUCUUCUUUUAGGGAAUAAUGUAGAUCUGCCCAGAUUACAAGUCAGAUUCUAAUGGAUCUUAAUGAUUCGUAGCUCUCUAGAUUGAAAUACACUAACGUGGUAAAACCUAAUUGCUAAUUAACAUGCACAGCUACAGAUCACGCCAUGUUCCAUAUCUGAAAAAUGCUCAUUUGGUAACCAACGAAAACUACCUAACUCUAUAAAUCUCUUCUAAUUGGUACAGUAAACUACAAGAAAUACUUAAUUUGUAGACAUGCAUGAGAAUGAUUCAUCGAAAAUUACUACCGCUCCAGUUAGUACUGUAAACUUCAAGAAAUACUUAAUUUGCAGACAUACACGAGCGGGAUUCAUGGAACAAAAAUAUUACUAUGCUCCAAUUAUUACUGUAUAACCUGAAAAAAAAACUUAAUUUGCAGACAUACAUGAGAGGUAUUCAGGGGAAUUUUUUGACUACUUCUCCAUUUACUACUGUAAAUUGAAACAAAUAAUUUGCAGACAUACAUGCGGAUUCAGGGAACAAGCAGGAACACCACACAGAAAAACUUACCCUGAGACUCUCAGAGGAUUCGGGGAUUUUGGGAACGAGUAGGAACACCACACAUAGAAAAAUUACUACUGCUCCAGUUGCUACAUGCUCAUGUUGGACACCCACGUACAGGAACACACACAUACAUGAGAGGAUUCAGGAAACAGCAAAACUUACGCUGAAUGCCGACUAUUCGGUGUGUCCAUCACCUUCUCAGCAAGGUCAUGAUUCACUUCUUGGUAUGCGCCCGUCUCCCUACACUCACGUGCUGCCAUGCUCCUAGUCCGGCGCGGAGCGGUACUCGUGCGUCGCGCUGCUCUGCAUCCCAGUUCAGAGACUUGCGCGGGCUCGCCGCCGUACCCGUGCGAGAAUCCGAGACGGGGGGUCGAGGGAAUAUGGAGUUGGGCUCCACUGGACAAGGGCGUUGGAUGCUGAAGUGCUGCGCGCCUACACCAUAUGUAGAGGUAAAGGCUGGUGGCGCCGACGACUGCAUCUAGAGAAGCGGGAGGAUAAGUCAAGGCGAGGAAGAUGAAGCUUAAUGACAAGUCGUUUAACGAGCAUAUAGUUUUUCUAAUUUCACUGAUUUUGUUAUUUUCAAUUUAUGUCAUUAUCAAUCGACAUGAAUAUUUUAUUAUGUCCUGACAUUUUUUAAUAUUGCCAAUUUUGGCAUUUCAAACUGUGUAUGGAAAUUUAUUUUACAAAGUUGAACACUUUUUUGGAAAUUGUUAAAAUUUUUGAACAACCCAUUAAAAUUUUGAACACAAAUUGCAAACCACGUACUUCUUUAGAAGUUCAUCAACUUUUUUUAAACACAAACUUUAUUAAAUUUGUGAACAAAAAUUCAAAAACAAGAACAUGUAUUGAAAUUUAUUAACAUUUUUAAAAUUGUGUACAGUAUUUGAAAACAAGAUUUUUUUUUUGGUAUUUCAAAUAUUUUUUGAACAGGUGAAAAAAUAAUAAUAAAGCUCAAAAAGAAAAAAUGAAUAAACAAAAAAAGAAGAAAAAAAAGAGAAAAAGCUUAAGCCUCGUCCACCGUUCUCCUGAUCGAAGCACGCUCUUUUUUUCACCCAUGGUGUCAAGGCCUUUAACCAAACUACCACUUAGUUCUUAAUCUUGAGCGUUCCAUCCUUUUCACCAACAGUUGUUAGCUCAAUUGGGAGCUGCGUUGCCCCAGCACCUGGAGGGCGGUAUAUCGGGCUAGCAACCCAAUAUACAUACUGCCUAUCAGUAUAGAAUGAAAAAAUCUUCUCCGUUGUAUUAUGAAGGGGUAUACAAAGAUCUUCUCCGUUGAUGUGUUUAGAAGGGUUGUACCAAAGUAGAAGUGCGCCAGCACUAUGCUCUCCGCAUCCCGGGCCAGUGUGAUGGACGGGUCCGAUCUGUUUGUUAAUUGCAUCUGUAUUUUGAGUGAACAUAGGAAUUUAUGGGAAACGAUGUCUUGGAAUGCAUGUGUAACAAGGCUUAAAAAUGCACUCAAAUAUGACUAUAUUGUUUCUGAAAUGCAGUUUGUUUGCACUGAAAUACACUGCACUAGAAUAUUUCAUCCAUAUAUGUGCGGCAAGACAAUCAUGUCGGCGGCCAAGAGCGUGUUGGAGCUGUUGAAAAGUUAGUCAAUUUCAGUAAAUAAUUUAAGAGUAAAAUAAUUAUUGGCAUGCAUAGCUCUAUCGUAUUACAUGAGCAUGACAACAUAAACAACAACAUCACAACAACCAUAACUAGAGCUUGGAUAAGAUCACGAUGCACAUACUGAUCGUUUGCAGACAAAGUAGCGGUGACUGCUGCAGAGGCGAUGUCGUUGAUGACAACCUUGGUGGAGACCGGUCAAGCAGACGACGGCAGAGAUGAUAGUAUGCAAUGCUGUCCGACUUGAAAGGAAGUCGACUCGUGUGUGACGAACGUGGGCCGUCGUGUGUAGCACUUCCCGAAAUCUUUAGCCGAGAGCAGCGAAGGGAUGAGUGUUGCGGAGACCUGAUCUCCAGCUCGCCGUUGUGUAUUUGGUGAUGGUCGGUAAGUCAUAUAUAUAGGAUAACCCACACGGUGUCAUGUCACGAUCAAGAUCUAAACUGACUAGGUUUCCAAAACUUAAUAAUGGUCAAGAAACCCAUGCCUAGCCCGGCGAGGCAAAGUGAGCAGAUGCGUGUGGUGUUCUUUUUCUCUCCUCAUGCAUAUCACUUAGUGGAGUGGGGAGGAUCCAUUAUCUAAGUUGAUUUCACAUCACCUGCACUCUCGAGGCGGGACUAAAAAUUGCACCUCCAAUUGCCAUUUAUUCCUGGGCUUUAUAAAUUUAUUUGAGUUUUUUUUGAAAAUGCACAUGGAUCAAGCCCGUUAAUUUAAGUUUCUAAUAACAUGAGCUGCAGUGAACAAACAGUGGAGAGGAUAAUCGUCAAGGCGAUGGUGUCCGGGAUCGCUCGCCCACGCGGUGCGGCCCGGCUGUGCCGCUACGGGCGUGCCGCAGGACGCGGAUACCGGCGUGUCCUUGCUGGCACAGCAAAGAGACAAUGUUGAUGACCAACAUCGUGCAACACAAGGUGUAGGGACUGGAGGUGCGGGCAGGGGACGGGAGGUGGCUCGCCGUGCUGCCAGAUCCGACGACCUUCACCUUCGUGGGCAGCAAGAUGUUGACGGUAAGACAAAAGCUGAUCGCCAUCUCGCUCACGAUUGCAGCCCUCAUGUCCAGAUGUGCGUAAAUCGGGCCUGAGAGUGACACUUUUGCCGCUCAGGUACUGGAGCGCGAAGGUCUCUUCCGCCUGAGCCAAUGGCCAUGUUGGUAGCUAAGUCAGGCCAGAGAGAUAUAUCAUGUUAACCAACAGGACUGCUUUGUCGUAAGACAAUUCCUGGUGUCUUUCAAGCCUACACAGUUCGUGUAAAUAUAUGACGACUGGCGCUUUCCACUCUUGGAUGGUUGGAAGCAUCUGGAUAUGUUCAUAUUGACAGAAAUUGGACUUGGAACCAAGUCUCUCGAGAACUCGAUAUUUAUCGAUUGAGUAUAUGUGACGUGAAGGUGCCUCGCUGGCCCACCGCAUUACAUGGUUUGUGUGCACUUCUGGUACUAUGUUAGCACAUGGGGUGCUCUUCUCUUACCAACUUUGAUUUUCCUUUCAUCUGUAUGCCUGAUAAAACCAUAUAUUGACUAUGCCAUAUGCUCACAUCGGUUGCAUUCCUUCCAACCAUUUCCAACCAGAUCCUGGCACAAUUGAAAAGCGAGACCAAACAUCUAGAAUUUUAUUCUAGACAUCGAAUAUGUUGUAAAAUUAUUACUAGGUAUUCCACUAAGACACAGCUAAAUUACAUAGCAUGACAUCCGUAGACGAGACCAAUACUCAAAGGCGUGAGAGCAUGAGCAGGUUUAUUUCAAUCACAAGGACAAAGCACAGUUUGAGCUUCAAUAAGACUAGUUCAAAGGAAAAACUUUAGCACCUUAAACUUUAAUCCCAAGGGCCCAUAAUCCAUGCUGUGAGACAGCAUUGCUUGCUUCAGCGUCAUGCAAUUUCUGGCAAAAAUAACUUGCCCAAUGCUCAGCUAAUCAUCACGCAAGAUGUCGUGAUGAAGCGAUUACUCUGUAGUAUCAGUUUGGGCAUAGAGGACUCAAAAACAUAAUUGGUGGGGAUACGGUGUUUUGUGGGAAAUUUUAUGGUACAUCAUACCACGGCUUUGGGUGGGCAGUAUUAAUUUAAUCCAAUGGUUGAUGUAUAGGGCAGUUUAGUCAAUCUAUCUAUCUAUCUAUUAUAUACAUAAAACAGAAGUAAAACGAGGCAUCACGUUCAUCCACAUAUGCUAAUAUUAUUUUCACGUCCGUGGUAAGGAAGCCGGAUUGUGUUGAAUCUUUUUUGGGUGCAGUGAGGAAAAAAAUACUAGAGAUUUGAGUUGGAAGAAAAUUUGUGUUUUAAAUUCUUUACAAUUUGAAGAUUUAAAAUUUAAAUAAUAAACUUUAUAAAACAAACAUUCCCUACGAUAGUGAAGUAUAUUGUCGACGCCACACAAUAAGAGCAGACAAAAAAAUUGUAUGACAUCAAGAUAACUAUCUAAAAAACAUUCCAUAGGAAGGCUCAUCAAUAUCUACUCUUCACCAUAAUCGACUGGAAAAUCAUACACACUUGAAUAAAUUUUGAAAGGGGGAUGGGAGUCAUGGGCUGAAUACCAGCGCACAAUUGCAUGAGUGGCUAAGCUAUAGGGAAUAGAUGUCUAUUUUUUAGUUGAACUAUAUCGGUGUUGACUGAUAAAAUUUAAAAAACUGCGCCACCAACUAUAACUCGACAUCUCUCACUAUCAUGGCUCGGAGUGUUAUAGAAGUGGCUGCUCAGAGAGAAAAUUAAAUCCUAUAUACCAAGAAUACAUUACAAAUGCCUAAAUUUUUUCUCACCAUAACUUAAUCAUAUUCACAUGAAUUACUUAUGAAAGCAAUAUGAAUCAUAACUGAAUAUAGCGAUGCACAAUACUAUAUUGCUUUUUGUGCUAUAGGUUCUAAACAACUAUUUUGUCCAUUUACAUUAUAAUGUUGUUGAAUAAUUAAAUUUAAAAAACUACUACAGUAAAAAUAUAUCUUUUUCUCAAUAUGUAUUAUUACGUCGAUUGAAGCGACAAAAACUGGUUGACUAGGACGUGUCAAAGUUAAUCAUUCCAGAAUUAAUUUGGAGCAGCAAAUGUUGAAUGGACCAAAAAAUGAGGAUCUAAGUUUGCUUCACAGGAUCCCGUCAAACAAAAAGUUCGAUUGUACAGGAUAACAUUUGUUUCUACAACUUUUCAAAGAAACACAACAAACCAUGAACUCUAAUCUAUUGGGAAAACCUUCAGAAAAUCUAAGUAUCUCCUUUCGUUCUCUAUCUAUAAUCUCUUCAACUAAACAACCCUAAUUAGAAAAUUUCUUCAUUUUUGUUUGUGGCGCGUCAUCUUAGAAAUUCAUCUUUCAUCAGAAUGCAUCUAAUUAUAAAUUUGUGUUUUACCAAUAUCCAUAUAAAUUUGGAUCGAUGAUUUCCCGGUAGUUCCAUGUCAAGGGUAAUAAGUUGAUUCCGAUCGGCAGGAUAAUAUUGCUAUGACAAAAAUAAUGAACAAACUAUGUCGAGAGUGAGUGAUAGAGAAUGUUUUACAGAUCUUUAAUUAGUAUACGCCAAUGAUUACUUCUAUAUCUGACCAAACUAUACUGGAAAUUAAAAAGGGAGCAUAUGAAAAUAUCUUAAGGCAACACAUUGCACAAAUGAUUGUUAAACUGCAUGAAAGUAAAAGCAGUUCGAAACAUUAUAAUUUACCAUACAAUGAGCUAAGAUAUAGGAUGCAAUAUUUUAAAUAGGCAUAUGAUGAUCCUUAGGAAGCAACUCAUACAACUAAGAAAGAUUGGCACUAUGGUUGUGUGCAUCGCUUGAUACAGAGGCCCGGGGUUCAAACUCCUUUUCGGAAAAAAAGAUUGCCACUAAGUCUAAUAUUUAAUACAAGAUACAAAUAGUGUCUCAAUCAUUCUUAUAUAUUGAGGGUGAAUCAACGGUAAUGUAGUGAUGGAUUAAAUAAAAAAUAACCUAUAUGGAACAUGUAUCUAACUAACAUAUAACUUUAGUAUUCGCAUGGUGUAUUUAGGAUACAAUGUUUCUCUGACAUUUUAAAUGUUUGCCAAAUGGACUACUAACACAAUAGCAUACAAAUGCGCGGGUCACCCUGCUAGUUCUUAUUAAUAUGGAAUUUCUUAUCAAUCGUUAUCUUCCUCCCCACAUGGGCACCAAUUAUGUCCAUCUCCCUCUCACUGCAUCAUGGGCUACUCGGCUGCUUCAUAAUCCCUGGCCGGUCGCUAGCUCGUCCCCGCCGCUCGUCCCCAAUACAUACGCAGACGCAGUGGCACCAUGCCCCUCGCCGCCAGCUGUGCUCCUCCUCACCAUGACCAUGAAGCAGUCUAGGUAUUUAGCGCCUACUUGCAGCUAGCGUAGCCACCCACAUGAGCUAGCUCAUGCUUCCAUGGCCGGCUCUGCUUCAAUUUUUGAGACACGGAGGCCGACCCAAUCAUGCCAUCGUUUCUUCUAUGCCGGAGCAGGCGACACAAGUUUCAGCAGCAGCUAGCUGGGUGGAUUGGCGACACGUGUACUAGCGUGCCAUAUUUGUGCAGGCUCGACCUCGUCGGCAUUUGGUUGUCCCGUCCUGAGGCACCGCGGGCCAGCACCGGAGGCUGACGGGCAUCAGAGGCUGGUUUGUCUUUUUGAUGGCUGCCCUCUUGCCGACCAGCUCCGCCCCUCUGGAACUCGAAUCUCUACUCGCCGCCGGAACGGCGGUACCAAUCCUGUCCAUCUUUCCUGCAUCAUCGCGACUCUUCAGAUUGUGCCCUUUUUGCAGAGAAUAGAACACAUCUAAGCCAGUAGUAUCGAUUAAUAUUAACCUUUAGAUUGAAUGGUCAAUAUUUAUCUGAUGUACCGUAAACUCUUAUGUGUUGCUGUUGAUUUCUUUUUCAUGUUUUGGUUCUCACACUUGUUCCUUCUCAUCUGUAGGUGCCUCCUGGAGAGUGGAAGGAACCGAGCGAUAUCCUUGGUUUGCGCCAAGGUGCCAGUCACCAUCAGGGACCUCGGGUGCACUUGCAAGACCUUCCCCAACUACUUCGACGUGCUAAGCACCUUCGUCAACAACUACAUCGGAGAAUCUAUGGCGAAUUGCACUUGUACUUUGUAGCAUAUCCAUAGUUUGAGGAAAUUUUGUCUUCGCCUUCUCGCAUGGUGUAUGAGUCUGUAAUACUAGUUUUAUAGCAUGUGCGCCUUACGGUAAAAUGAAUGUAUUGCACACUGUAUUCAUUUUUUUGAAUAAGAAAUAAAUUACUGUUUAGUGAUCUAGAUGUCACGCUAGAAGGAGGAAGCAUUCCCUUGCACGAAGAACAAU